CUUUUUUUUUUUUUUUUUUUGCGAACUCUGCACUGCACUAUCUUAUAUAUACUGGCGUCAAGUCAAAAUCUUACCGGGGUUGUCAGCGAGGAAGCGGAUGGCCACCCAGCCGCCGGCCGGCACGCCGACGGUGUUCCGCUCGACGGGGUCGACGAGGUUGAACUUGGCCGGGUCGUUGACGGGGUCGUAGUUGCCGUACCCUUGACCGACGACGAAGAAGUUGAAGCCGUGGAGGUGCAGCGGGUGGCUCUCGAUGCCGAGGAUGCUGGUGCCCUGCAUCACCAGCUCCACGUUGGUGCCGUACGGGAUCACCAUCAGCUUGGUCCCGUUGGCCACGUUGGUGUUGUUGGGCGGCGUCCCCGUGUAGUUGAACGGCGUCAGGGGCGCGACGGGGAAGUCCGACGAGUAGACGCCGCUGGACAGGCCGGUGAAGUGCGAGUGCAGCAGCGCCCUGGUCGGGAGCGCGAAGGAGACGUUGUUCACGGACGCCGCGAACUGCGUCGUGUUCGUGGGGCCCUGGCACGUCGUGUUGGCGGGGCACGGGUGCGUGCCGAGCCCGACGGUGAAGAAGAACUUCUUGUCCACCGUCUUCGGCACGGCCGCCGGGUACUGCGCGGUCGCGAGGCUCCGGAGCUUUGCCGUGAAGUUGCCGACGAAGUCGGUGUCGUUGAACCCCGGCAGCGUCGGCUUGUAGAGCGGCAGAGCCUUGUUGAAGCUCGGCGCGGAGGAAGGGGCGUCGGGGUACUCGUACUCGAGGAUGCCGGCGACGGUGGUGUUGUCGAAGGUGCCCGGCCUGGUGGUGGAGUAGGGCGCGGCGGACAUGUAGUAGUUGGCGCCGGGGUAGAAGGGCUUGGCGGUGAGGAGCACGUUGGUGGUCUGCCCCGGGGCGAUGAGCAGGGUGUCGACAGUGAAGGGCUUGACGUAGACGGCGUCGACCUCGACGACGGUGAGCGAGUGGUUGGCGAUGGAGAAGAAGAGCUCGUCGUUGAGCGCGGCGUUGAUGAGGCGGAGCAUGUACGUCUUCCCGGGCUUCACCUUCAGCUUGUACGUGUCUGCGUGUCACACGUGCAGGCAGGCCAGUGCGGAUUACAACAAAGUUUUUCGAUGCCGACGUGUAUCGGAAUAGAAAGCGCACCUAUCUGGAGGCGUAACUAAGAUUUCGUUUACGUCACACACCGGCCGGGACCCACCGCCGGUGAGGUUGCUUUUUAGUGCACCAAAAUGUGUUAGGUCAAGUACAAGUUUAUUGGAUCCCAUGACGGCGACGUUUUGCGUAAAUUCCCACAGCCAACAGCCAAUGCAAAGAUCCCGUUUCCAGAAAGGAACUCGGAAUCUUCUUUGCCUUUGGUGAUUUGAACCCCCCACCUUCGUGAAAACGAGGCCUCUUUUAUGAUCGAGUUUCAAAACGUAACUUGGGCAUGCAUGGAGAAAAUGAAAACCAGGGGGGCGCCCGUAGACGUCACCUUUUCCUUUCUGUUAGCACUGCUGCUUAGACUCUUUGCUUGCUCAUCAGCGUCGUCUUUUCUUUUUGUUUCGUUUUGUAUUUUUAGAUGCCAUGCCUAGCUCGUCCUUGCUUUGAAACUCCGUAACACUGACACGUAGCUUCACUAGUGUAAUCCAGACCAAAAGAAAAAAAAAAGAAAAAGAGAACAUAACCCGUACCUUUGGCAGAGCAGUUGUAGAGCGGUCCUGGGAGGCCGUUGAUGGUGUGGGCGUCAGAGACAUUCGGUCCACCGCCGGUCUGAAGCGCCUGCUUGAUCACCACCUCCGUGUCCGCCUGCCACCACUCACCUACCACCCAAAACGAAUCGCAUUUCGCGAUCGCACACAAAAUGGAUCAGUACCAUCAUCAACAACAGCAACACGAUCGUUUUCUCGUGGCGUUCGGCCGUUCACGUCGGCUGGCGGCGGAGACAGCAGACACACUCACCGAAGAUGACGGGGACCUCCUUGUAGGGCGCCGGGAACGGGUAGGGCACGCCGAGCUUGGGGAGGAUGACGAUGGGCCCGUAGACGGUGGCGCGGAGCCAGGAGAUGUGCGCGUGCCACCACAGGGUGCCGCGCUGCCCGACGACGGUGAAGUUGUACACGUAGCUCUGCCCCGUCUGGAUCGGGCACUGCGUGAUGUACGCCGGCCCGUCCGCCCACCCCGUCCGCAGCUGCCGGAUGCCGUGCCUGAUCAGAGUGUUCAGAGAAAAAUUUUCAGAGCUAGUAGCGUUCCCGGCAGGUGGCAGGGAUGAGAUAUUCUUGGAACGAACUUUUUGCGGGUGUUGUUGUGCCGCUACGACGACGAAGUAAUGCUAAAAGUGGGUGCACCAGCGCGCGCACUUUUGACUUCAAAUCACGCUCGUACGGGAGAGAGAGUAGGAUCGGAUCACUUACCAGUGCAGCGAGAUGUUGUGCUGUGCGUGGUUGGUGACGCGGACGACGACGCGGUCGCCUUCCCUGGCGACGAGCUCGGGGCCGGGGAACUGCCCGUUCACCGUGACGAUGCUCUUGCUGGAGCACAGCCGCGUCACGUUCGCCAUUGUCACCUGCGUGCAUUUAGGGUUCAUCGAUGGUCAAGACCACGUACUAGAGAUAGCACAAUCAAGACGGCCGUACGCGAGUAGCAUGGUAAGGAAAACGUGUGUACUAGCAGGCGAUCAAGAUAACACAAUCAAUGCAACGACGUACAUUGAAGUCGUAGUAUCUCGUGAUGCCUUGCACUUCGACGAUGGAGGCGAGGAGCAUCAGGGCCGCCACGAGGAGGGAGCACGGACGAAGAGCGGAGGAGAUCGCCAUCGCCAUGGCCCUGGCCAAACUUCUAGGCUCUGAUGACCGAUGGAGCAGCUAGCUAUCUGAAGUUGCUUUCGAUCGAGCUCUAGAGGCGACCGAAGAGAUGGAAGAGGAGCAACAAAUGUGUGGGUGUGUUGGGACAAGCGCUAGAGUCCUCUCCAUAUAUAGGGCAUGGCGAGCAAGCGCAAGUGUAUGGCAACUACCACCGCCACAUUUUCUUAGGUUUUUUACACGGUCGACAGGCACGCAGCUUGGGCGGCACUAUUAGUUUGGUGAUUCGGUAGAUGAGCGAUCAAGGGCGCAGGCAGGCCAGCUGCUCGAGCUAGCUGGAGUGCUCUAGCUUUAGAGUGUGGCCAAAGAAUGCGGCAACGAUCCCUUCUCUUUUGACCAUGCACGCACUGGGGUGAUCGCCGGCCGCUAGUUUAGUUUUGGUGAUUUGCAUGCCGUCACGUACCCUUUCCGGCGCAAGAGUUCGCCGACGGAAACUGAAAGGCAAACAAACUGCGUGCGUGCACAAGAGUAAAAACCGUUGUCUUGGUGGUGGUAAAGGAAAAGGUACGGUAGAUGGAUAUUUGCGAAGAAGAAUUCCCAAUCAUCAGAGACAAAAUCUUGUCGCGCUAUUGUUCUGCAAAAGGGCUUGUUAUGUACUCCCUCCGUCCUAAAUUAUACGCCGUUGUAGUUUUUAUAGAUUCAUAAUUUUUGCCAUAUAUCCUAUAUCUAAAUAUAUACUAUGUCUAGAUACACAGUGAAAGCUAUGAACCUAGAAAAACCAAAACGACCUAUAAUUUGGGACGGGGAGUAAUAUACAUGUUCCAUGAAAGAUCUUGUCCUAUACAAUGGGUAAUUUGACAUUUUGACAAUUGAAUGGUGAUGGCUUAUUAUUGGUCCCUAAUUCGUACUUGCUGGUUUAGACGACCCUGAACAAAAUCAGGGAGGUCAAGUGUCAAAAUCUACAGAUAAUAGGUGCUCUACAAGCAAUUGGGAAUCGAUUUCUUGAAGCAAAUAUUCCAUAUCCUUCACACUUAUUAAUAAAGCAAAUUGUUGAUUACACUGGCAUCUAGUGUUGAAAAAUAUGUUUACCUGUAUUUUGACAAGGCCAUCUAGAUAAUGACACCCAAAUAAAAAGAGGAAAAAGAUCUUCUAGGAACUGUGUGCAAAGGUUACUUCCUAAUUAGGUUGUGCAGCUUAAUCAAAACUACAUGAUGCAAAUAAUCCAUGAUUCACGUGGGCCACCAAAAAUUCUCGAAAGGGAGAAAUUUUUUUUUUCAUGGGGCAUCAACUAAAAAAGAAAGAAAACAGUUCGUCGCUGUCACCAACAUACUACGUAGCUUCCUACUACGUUCCCAUUUCUCCAAGUUCAGAAACCGGUUGACGCAGGUUUUUUCACCUACAGUUCAGUGAAUCUACGAGUUGUAGGAGUGUAUGUUUAAGAAUGGAUGCAUGAUCCCUUGCCAUGGAUCCCAAGACACCAUCCAUCCAGUAGGUGCUACCUGCAUGGUUGGUGUCUUAGCGUGUGUUCUUUCCUUGUACAAUGCACAACGGGGAGAAGGAUGCUUGACCCAACACGAUUGAGCGAUGCAACGUUUCCUUCCUCUUACUUUAUUGACUGAAAAAGAAGGAAGGCGGACCAACAGUAACAUGUAAAAAAAAAGGAAUGCAUUGAAUUUGCUCUCGCAACUCUCCCGGCCCUACUUCUAAUGAGGCAUUUCGGCGCAGAAAAAAUGCUUGUUUUGAAAUGCUAUAUGCAUAAUUAGUUAACUUGAUCGUUGGUAUGUGCAUUCAAAAGUAACUAGGUUAAUUGUUCAAGGUAGACAUUGAUAUGUGCUGCCAUAUUUAAUCAGACUUUUUAUCUCUAUUUCAUUUCUAUGUAAAUAAACAGAAAUAUGCACAUCUAUCAACUCUCUUAUAAAGAUCAUAACAUUUAAAAUACCAAAAUAAUAAUGAAAGAAUCACGAAGGUUUUUGACCAAUAAUAAAAAAAAUCAUGAAUUUGCCCAGUGCUGAUUUAACUUCCUGACGAGAUUUUAAGCCUUAUUAGUGGACUUUAUAUUAUGUACUACAAAUAAUCAUAUUUGUUUAUAUUAACUUUUGAAACAAUGAUAAGUACAAGGUUUUCCUAAAUCAUAGAGAAACUAUUAGUAAUACAUGUAAAUCAAUCAUAAUAUUUUCUGUACCAAGUAAUGCAAUGAUUCACUGAUAUGAUGGAGUAACAAGCAGUCUAGGAUAUGAUACUUUUAAAAAAAAUUUAGCUCGCCUCAAUGUUUCAUGUCUCUAUCUGUGAUCCAUACUGAACAAAAAGGUUAAUAAAUGACAGUGACCAAUUUUAAUUAAGCAUUCCCUAAUAAUGAUCGGUGACCGGAUGCCACAGAAUUGGUUUGAUUUUGGGCUCGGCUCAUAUUUCUGAAGUACCCCCAUCAUUAUUAAUUCUUAUGUAUUAUGACUGAAGUAGAAAGAGUGGCUAGGUCUUGCAAUAAUUUCUUAAAAACAAUUACAACACAAGUCACCACAUAUUUACAGAACCACAGGAUCGACUAUUUCCCUUGUUUCUCAUAAAAGUAAAAGAUCGACACAUGAGGAAAAUAGUUUUAUUCCUCAAAGAUCAAUUGCAAUCAUGGAAGCAAGGAAUAAAAUUAACCACAAGAUCGACUAUUUUCCUUGUUUCUCAUAAAAGCAGUUGCAGUUCAGGUAUCCAUGGCGUGGAAUAAAACUAACCACAAUAGUUUAUGAAGCACAAAUAGGUGAACAAGUGUUCUCUUCCUUGAUUGCAAUUGCUUUCCUCUCAUUUUCUUGAAAGAACAGAAGGCGCAAGCCCCUGCUGGUUAAUAUACUGAAAUAAAAUUAAGGUUAUUUACAGAGAGUCCAAAAGAAGAAAAAAAGAGACCAAAAAAAGAUUGACAACAAAUUACUGGAAUGAAUCUUUGCAGAUACUGAAAUCCGGGAAGUAACUCUUCUUUGCCCUAUGAAUAAGCAUGGCAAAUUCAUGUCAAAACUUGGUCUUUCUUACUGCAUCUAUUGUUAGGGCAACGUGAUUCAAGAUCUGAGCAUUUCUAAUUUCUGACCAUUUUAGUCCAUGUAUCCCUAAUAUAGCUUAAGUCAAUGCAGUUUUCAAAAUGUGCAUCUCUCUAAAUUUUUAUCUUUGUAUAGCAAUUCAGGGGGCUUCCACCUUGUAUUAAUGGAAAAGAGCCAUUAUGAACGAGCUAGAAAACGGGCACAAGACUUGCAAACCCAACAAGAUACCAUGCAUCCCAGGUACACAAAGAGUAGAAAAGAAAAGGGCAAAAAAACAACCCCGAUGAAGAACAAAGAGAGAAUCAAACAACACAUGACUCUGAAAUUAUUUUUUCAUUGGGUACCUUGAAUAAUUUAUCAGGUUUAAGUUUUUAGUUAAACUCAAAGAGAAGUAGCAAAUUUCUUUUUUUUUCCGUGGAUGGAGAUGUCCCAAGCCCCAGCCCUAGCAUGCAACUCCGGUGACACCCCCUCCCCCCACACCGCCACCUCCACCGCCGCCGCCGCCGCUUCACCUGUCGCAUCCACCUCCUCCGCUCCUGCCGCCGCAACACCCUACUCCCCGCCCGGCAACUCCUCCUCCCCUCUAGUGGGAGAUGAGACAGCCCCUUCGCGCCGCCGCCUCCGGGGGACUCGACAGUCUGCUAGCCCCUCCUUCCGCGUCCUUGGCCGGUCGGACCGCGCCUCGGCGGGGCUUAUCUCCGCCCGGCCUGGGGGCUGAUGGCGUCAGACUCCCAGCCCGCAGCCUCUCACCGGGGGAAGCAUUUCGUGACUUCGCACUUCACAAUUUCCAUGCCACUGUCUUCGCCCAGGUCUCGUCAGCCUCUCCCCUCCUGUCACCCUCCGACCUCUGGGUCUCCCCCUACCCUCACCUUCCCAUUUGCAAUCUUGCUUGGGUUCGGAACACCCUGAACUACUGGCUGGAUAGCGUGGUCCUUGCCAUCCCGCUUGUCCAAGUUGCCACUACCAUCUUCCGCGUCUCCCUUGCUCACCACACCAUCGCCCAGUUCAUUCUCACUCUCGGCGACUUGUGCCACGGCCGCAUCCGCCUGAGGUUCUUCCCUGACCUCUGCUCCGCCGCCGCAUCCAUCCCCAUUUCAAACUCUUUGGUCAUCCUUUCGGCAGGAUCCUAGGCAACCUCCUCUGGGCCAGCUUCUCCCGACCCAUCGCAGCUGCCUCCGGAUGGCCCACCACCCCAGCGCUCGCCUGGCGCCUCCCCCAAGGGUGGCGACCCCGAGGGUGGCGCACCGCUGCAGGCGCAUGCACGUCUCGUCAGCUCUGUCCCAGCUGCUUCGUAGGGCGUGCAUGGCUACGUUGCCCCCUGUGCCCGGUGCACCUUACCUACUAGGGACGGGCCUUCCCCACCAUCUGCGGUGCCAGGUGGCGCCGAUCCACCCGCCCCGUCGUGCGCCGGGUGCCCUGGGCUCCUCCCCCUACCGGUGGACAGGGGUUUCUUUCCACCGCUACACCCCCCUGACUCCUCCACCCUCCCAUCCCCGAAAAACCCCAACUCCACCCUCCUACGUUGUCGUCGCUUCAUCUUCCCCCUUCACCGAUCGCCAUCGCCGCACCCUUUGCCCCCGCACCCACCACGCCACCCCCUCACCACCAACCACCGCCACUGCUUCCGAUGCCUCACGCUUGACCACCGCCAUGCAGCCUGCCGCAACCCCAUCCAUUGUCGUCGCUGCUGGGUCUUCGGCCACAUCGAGUGUUUCUGUCGUGCGCCUCGGCACCCCAUUGCUCGCAGCAUGUUGGGUAUCCAUUCGAUGGUCCACCAGUCACCGACUCCGAGUCCUCCUCGCCAGCGUUGGCCUCCUCGCACUCGGCGGCAACCUCUAGCUCCAACCUGUCGGCUUCCCCGCCGGUCCCUGUCCACGCCGACAUCAAUGACUUGGCGGUGGAUGCCCUGGAGGAGGGUGAGAUCCCGCCGUCCGGGUCUGACCUGGAGGCCAUCGUCGAUGCCAACGUCGAUGAUGAUGACGCCCUCUCCAACGGCCAACAAGAACUGGAGGAGUAGCUGCAGCCGGACUCCAUCGAAGUCUUCAUGCCUCCGGUUCGCAUGUUGCGCUUCUCCCACCUGGCCUUCAUCCUCAUUGACCUGCUGCCUCCCAACCUUAGCUCCCUUGUCCGCCAAGCUCUCAUCGCCCAGGGUGGCCAUCCUCGGGUAACCCUCACCAUCUCUUCCUACAAUGCCGCUUUGAUUAUGUUUGAAAGUAAUGCUGCUCGUGAGGACGCCAUCCAGCUUGCCUCCUACCUGGGGUAUGAACACGUCGUCAACCUGGAGUGCCACAAGGAGACCCCCAACCGUUUCCACUUCUAGCGCGAUGCCUUCGUUGCCGUCGCUAUUUGAGGGUACCCGAUGGAGCAUUGGAAGCGCAUCAUCUUCUCCGUGGGUCCCUAUGCCAAUCCACACUUCAUCGACCCAAUCUACCUGUCUGGUACGGAUUUCUCCGCUGUGCUCCUCAUGCUCAAGGUCGAGGGUGCCAAUGACAUCCCGCUCAAGGAGUUCAUCAAGAACCAUAAUGAGUUAGGCUCCUUCGCCACCAUCGAGAUCCUGCACGUUAGGACCUGGACGAAUCAGACUCGGACGAUGAUGGCCCUCAGCCCCCUGAAUUCGGCCUUGGGUCGCCGCUCAACAACGACAAUGGUGGUGGCCCAGCACCUCCUGGGAGGGGGGGCUGGCCAUGGCCCAGCUACAGCGUCGAUGUUCAGUGCUCCCCUUCACGGGCCAGGUGGUGGUGGUGGCGCUCAACAACUCCAAGUGGUGCGCGCUCCCUGCAGAUCAGGCCUCAGCAUUCCUGUCUGCUGCGGAUGUUCUGCCGGUCCCAGUGGGCAGGCUCCGCAACCAGGUCGUGCUGCCUGAGGCCAACGCAGAGCCCCUCCUCACCAAACCUGCGACCGUGAACAUCAUCCUGCGCCAGGGAUCAUUCUUCGAGAUCUCCACCAUCGCCGAGGAUGGAUCCAAAGGCUUCUUCAAAGUCCCGCUCUAGCUGUACCGCACUGAUGUUCGUGGUGACCAGGGGAUGUUCGUCAUCAACUUCUGCUUCGUCUUCGGCUUCCUACACAAGGUGGCAGCAGUGGGUGCCCGUGGCUGCGCCUCCUUCUCCUCUGACAUCCUCUGUGUGGGGCUGCAGCCACCGGCGAACUUGUCCCUCCUCGAUGCCACCAAGCUCUGCGAUGGGGCUGCUGUCCCCCGCAUCCUGCCGCCUAUCGCUACUGAUGCGAGGGCUCUGGCACCGGAACCUCCAGUGCUGGAGGCUGUGGAGGGCGCAGCUGCUCCAUCCUCACUAAGCUUCAACUCCCUGGAGGAAGGAGUCCGCCACUGCAGCAGGCUGGAAGCGUUCUACGACAUCUGGAAGUGCAACCACAUCAUCGAGGAUGUCCCGGUGCCGCUUGUUGAGCUGUGGUUCAGUGUCUCAGCCUCCUCCAUCACCCUCCAGAGGGAGCUCUCCUCGCUGGAGCCUUUACCGCACGCUCGCGCCACUCCGACUAGCUUAAAGCCAAGGAGCUGGCCGCUUGCGAGAUGGUCUCCGAGGAUGCCAUCCGCAUCAAGAAGUGGAUGCUGGGCACCGUGACUCCACCCUCAGCUCCUAACCCUGCUACCAACGGGAAAGCCAACGGGAACGUGAACGCUGAUGCUGUUGAAGAUGAUCCUACGCACAUCGCGGCCACCACUACUCCUACUGCAAUGGCUGCACCUGCUUUCCCGACCCUAGCCUGGUGUGUGGUGGACCUCAAGCUCCUGGGUCGUGCCUGCUGCUUGCCUCAACACCCUCGACAAUGCCCUGUCACUGAUCGUCGACAAUGUGGACUAAUGCCGUGGUGUAGUCCUCACUUGCUCAUGCUCCAGUCUCUCUUUUGCUCAUGCGAUUGUGGGUCAUGUAAUGUAAUCACCCUCGACAAUGCCCUGUCACUGAUCGUCGACAAUGUGGACUAAUGCCGUGGUGUAGUCCUCACUUGCUCAUGCUCCAGUCUCUCUUUUGCUCAUGCUUUUGUGGGUCAUGUAAUGUAAUCACCUACCAGCUGCCUAGAAUGCUUGUUGUCAGUGAAACUUUGUGCGCUUGUCGUCUGAACCUAAAGAGGUGCCCUUGUGGCCUCCUCUCGCCAUCGGAGCAUGAUAUUUGUGACUUGUUUGCCUAUAUCGUGUCUCUGUGUGUACUGAUUCUCCUUGCCUGGGUCUACUCAUGUUCUAGUUCAUGUGGUUCUUGGGUUUUUUAUGGCUAACAACUCUCUAAACAUGUCAUGGAAUGUGCGUGGCCUGGGGGAUAAGAAGAAGUGCAUGGAUGUCCGAUUGGCCUUCCCAGCCUCUUUGCCUACCAUUGCUAGCCUCUAAGAAACUAAACUACAUGUCAAUGUUUUAUACCUGGCAACCUACCGAGGGGUAUCCCGAGGUAGUAGAUUGAUCGGUAGGGGAUCAUUGGACCUGGAACUCAAAGGUGAAAGCGAAGCCACAAGACACAGAUUUAUACAGGUUUGAGCCACCAGAGUAGCGUAAUACCCUACGUCCUGUUUGGGGUGUUGUAUAUUGCGUCCUACGCUUGGGCGUUGUUUCGUGUUGAGGAUUUGGUCCUCUAUUAUGGUUCUAUGAGGUCUUAGCCUACUGAUCUAGUGACCCCUGCGCUCCUUUAUAUGCUCCAGGGGGCGGGAUUACUUGUCGGUUACAAGGAGUCCUAGCAGGAUUACAUGGUAUGAGUCCUAAUAGGAUUACAGAGGAAUCCUAGUAGGAUUCCAUCUUCUUCCUUCCUUGCGAGUACUGGGGAUCUAUCCCUAGCAAGCCCCCGAGCGCUUCAUAGUUAAAUGUAACAACUCAAGUACUUUUUAGAUCCUCGCCGAGUAGUUUAGUGCUUCUCGAGUACUUUGUCUGGCUAAAUCUUCAAACAUACUUGAGCAUUGUCGUGCGGCUAGAAUGUGCUUAAGCCUGAUUUAACUUGGUCUGGAUGGGGUGCCUAUGGCUACUGCCAUGUUGACUACGUUGGGAUGGGGUGUGUGGAACUGAGUGUAUCGGGUUCUGCUGAUCGAGUUGUUCGUACGUGUGCUCUGCCAGUUCAGCCAAUUGCCUGGUGUAUUUAUCCUGUGGCAUUGCGCGGGUAAUAAGAUCAAUGAACGCGAUGAUGGCAAGAGGGGUACGAUGUUGACGCGAUUGAACCGCUUCAAACUCGUGAUCCAGGUUCAUGAUUGGUAGGUCUGCUGCAAGGUGGUGCUCUGCUCUUGCAGCGUUCCUUACUCGUCGUCGAGUUCUUUGAGCUUCAGUCUCUUCUCCAGCAACAUUAGCGGUGAGCUCAUCCUGCAAGACGUCAUCUAGGUGACAUUCAUGCCACGGAUUUCUCUUUGGUUGCUCUUCAUCUUCACACUCUUGUCCAGCAAUAAGAGCGAAGAGUUUUCGUUUCGGAGAGUAGCUUCCCGAACUUGACGUGAUGACCUCCUUGGUGCCCUCUUCCUCAUAGAUGGGUGACAGACGAGCUCCCUCCUAGUACGGGAGGGUGUAUGGUAGGCAAUAAGGUGUGAAUCGUCGUUCUUGGUAAGAGAGGUGGCUUCAUGUUGAGCCAGAAGAAUCUGCCUUGUGAGGUUGAUGUGAUUACCAGACCCUACUGCAAACCUGAUAAAGGGGUCUCCUCAUCCAAAUCCGAGUAGUAGUCGGGGUCCUCGAUCAUAUUUGUGCCGAAUUGUGAUCUGGACAGGGUAGCUUGGUAAAUAGCACCCGUGUUUCGGAGUCCGAACGGGAAUUGACUUGAGUCGUAGUACGAUUUGCACGAUGGCUUGAGCGUCGGCUCGUGAAAACCAGUCCGACUAGUGGGAAAAGUCAAGUUGUACUCGGAUUCGUCCCCCUGGCCUCUGACUAAGUCAAAAAUUGAAAAUUUGCUGAAUUUGUCGACGAGAUCCUCCAGGGCCUUACGCUGGAGCUUCAUGGCAUGCUGCUUCUUUUCCAAGGCCGGCACGAUUCAGCGGUGGAAGUUUCCAGCGUUGUCUGCGACGCAAACUCGGGAGCCUAAGAGGAACGUCACGCCUAUUUUGAAUGUGAUGAUUGGCUUGAUGACGACUUGGGCCAUCAAGUUCGCUAGUGGAUUCUCAGCGAGCUCCCUUACUUGGCGCGUCAGCCGUCCUGUGUGUUGGUUGUUGUAUAUUGCACCCUGUGUGUUGAGGAUUUGGUCCUCUGUUGUGAUUCUCUAUAUGCUGACGUAGGUACCCCUGCCCUCCUUUAUAUACUCCAGGAGGCGGGAUUACUAGCCGGUUAUAAGGUAGAAGUUCUAGUAGGAUUACAUGGUAUGAGACCUAAUAGGAUUACAGAAGAAUCCUAGUAGGAGUCCAUCUUCUUCCUUCCUUGCGGGUAGUGGGGAUCUAUAGGAUGUCGACCGUUUCAAGGCGGCUUCCAUUCUUUCCCACCCAAUUGCCAUGACCUACACCUUCAACCCCUCCAUUAGCGCCUUCGGCAGCAUCCUCACCGCCUGGAACCCCAACCACCUCUCGCUCACCUCAUCAUCCACCUCUGCUCACACCCUCACCUCCACCUUUCAGUCUACAGCCAAUUGCUCCACCUUCAUUGCGAUGAACUGCUACGGUCCUUGUGCCCACCAGGACAAGCAGGCCUUCUUGGACGAGUUAACUUCGCUUUCCUCUUCUAUUUCAGGUGCAUGGAUUGUGCUAGGGGAUUUCAGUCUUGUUCGUUCUCCUGGAGAACGUUCCAAUGACAACUUCGACAUCCACGAAGCUGAUUGGUUCAACUCAAUGAUUGAUGAUCUCGCACUCCUGGAAGUCCCUCUUUUGGACCGUCGGUUCACUUGGUCCAACCACCAGUAGUCGCCUAUCUUGGUCAUGUUGGAUCGUUUCCUGGUUAACGUUGAUUGGAGUAAGCAGUUCCCGAAUCCUGCUCACGGCCUCCAUGUCCAUUCCACGACUGAUGAUCUUUCGAUUCAACAACCACUGGACUUGGGUGCCAGGCUGCCACGAAGUCAUAAGGGGGCAUGGUCUAGUGUUCAUAGCUGCACGGAUUCUACUAAGCUAAUGCUUUGACUCAAGAGGUGUCGUGCUGAUCUUAAGUCCUAGAAGCACUCUCACCGCUCACCGUGCAACGUCUUGCUCAACUGCAGCUUGGUCAUUGCAAUGAUGGGAGGUCCGCCCGCUCUAUCCUACAGAAUUUGUUCUCCGUUCUCUGGUGCGUGAUGCUACUCGCGAGCAUACUGCACAGCUUUCCAUCUUUUGGUGACAGUGAAGCAAGGUUCAUUCCUGCCUUCUGAGUGAUGCCAAUUCUAAAUUUCAUCACUUAUCUACAACGGUCCGUUGGCGCCGCAAUCAGAUUAGGACACUUCAACUGGAUGAUGGCAUAGAGGUUCAUCGUCACUCUGCGAAGGCUAUGCUUCUACGUGACUUCUACAGUCAGCUCCUUGGUGUUGCUGAUCCGGCAACCUCUUUGCUCUUCACUAUAUCACUGCAACAGCUUUUUGCCUCAACCACUUUGUCACUCACUCAAGUUGCUAGUCUGAUUCAGCCAUUCACCAUUGAUGAGCUCAAGGAUAUUAUCAACUAUAUGCGUAUGGACACUGCUCCUGGACCAGAUGGAUUUCCCCCCAAUGUUCUUCUAGGCUAACUUUGCCAUGGUCAAGGAUGACCACAUGCAGCUCUUACACAACUUCCACAACUGCACGGCUGAGCUCCACUGGUUUAACAAAGCUUAUCUUGCACUGCUAAUAAAGAAAGAUGUCUCCCUGCUGCCGAAGGACUACCGGCCAAUUUCAUUGCAAAACUGCAUCAUUAAGAUUUGCACCAAAGACAUGACAUCGCAGUUCCAACCUCUUAUUCCCCUCUUGGUGCAUUGUGAUCAAACAGGGUUCCUCAAGGGUAGGUGUAUCGCUGAGAACUUCAUCUAUGCCACUGAGAUUGUCCAAUGUUGUCACGAAAGAAAAGCACCUACUGUGGUUCAUAAGUUGGACUUCCGAAAGGUCCUUGACUCUAUCAGUUGGAACGCUCUUGAUCUCAUCCUACAAGUGAAAGGGUUCCCUCCCUAUGGUGUAAGUGGAUUCAGCUCCUCAAUGACUCUAGCCAAACGGCCGUUGUCCUCAACAGCGUGCUAGGAUCUUGGAUACAAUGCAGAAAAGGUCUCUGCCAAGUCGAUCCACUCUUCGCAUACCUCUUCAUCCUUGUUGUGGUUUUGCCGCAACAAAUGAUCCUCCAUGCCUCCAACCAGGGCCUCCUGCAACACUCGCUAGUGAUGGAUUUGCCUUGCUCGAUCCUUUAGUACGCUUAUGACACCUCAAUUGUGCUCAAGGCAGAUCAAGACCAGCUUCUUCACCUCAAGUCACUCCUUGAUAGCUUCUUCUUCACUGGCCUCCAUAUCAACUACAACAAGAGUACCUUUGUGCCAAUUGGAUUGGAUGGUCAACAAGAACAAAUGCUUGCUGCGUCAUUGGGUUGCCCGAUCGUCCAAUUCCCGCAGAUCUACCUGGGACUUCCUCUAUCUGUUCACAAGCUCCGGUGCGAUGAUAUGCAGCCUCUAGUCAACGUUGUUGGCAACUACAUCCCGGGUUGGUGCGGCAAGAUCCUCACGCCUAGUGGGUGUAUGAUCCUUGCAAACGCUGUCCUGGGUGCACGAUCAAUCUAUGCCAUAUGUUCCAUCCGCUUACCCAAGGGCACAAUUGAAGCCAUCGACGCUCACCGGCGAGCCUUCUUAUGGACCGGGGAUGCCUCCUGCUCUGGAGGACAGUGCAAAGCUGCCUGAAUAAUGGUCUGUUUUGACAAGGAUAAGGGUGUCCUCGAUUUUAAGGAUCUUGCAACACAAAACCAUGGCCUCCUACUCAAAUUCGUAGCCAAGCUCCAUCAACCACCUUCGACCAACUGGCAAAGAUGGUUCCAUCGCAUGUAUGUCUCUGGUGUUGGAAGGGAACUUGGAGAGCUGCAUCAUCUUGACACACAUAUCUGGUAAUCUCUUCUGUGGCUGCUGCCUGAGUUCCACUAGUGCACACGAGUGCACCUGGGUAAUGGCGGCAGCACAUCAUUUUGGUUUGAUCACUAGAUUGGAGAGCGAUCGUUUUCUGAAGUGUUCCCAGUUCUAUUCUCUUUCACCAAGAAUCCACAGCUAUCUGUUGGGAAGGCCUUUGUUAAUGGCUCAUGGGAUCUCUCUCUACACCAACGACCGUCUUCUGCUGGAAUCUUUGGCUGUGAUCAACAACACCUCCUCCCCUGACAGGCAUGGAAUCGGGAUUGGCCUACAAUCAUUCUCCUCCUCAGCCUUCUAUGGGUGGACGAUGGAACAGCGCCCACUAGAUGAGUUCGCUGACUACAUCUGGUCCAGCGCCACGACGCCACGCGCCAAGCAUUUUCUAUGGCUGCAGCACCGUGAUCGCCUGCCUUCCGCGAUGUUGCUUCAUCACCACAGCAUCAUUGACUCAACACUCUAUGCUUACUGUGCUGCACACGAGGAUCAGGAUCACAUCAUCAUAAGGUGUGCACAAGCUAAACGUAUCUGGCGUGCCCUAUGCUGGGAUUGUGCUUCGCACCUUGUGUCCUUCCGAGACCUCUGGCACAUCCUGCAACUCCAUGAUGAUGCAUCACCCAAGGUGCGCUCAACCAUCAUCACGGCCAUUACCUGGAACAUCUAGAAAACAUGGAAUGACUUGGUUUUCAAUGGGAUCGUUGCCUCGGCGAACGCAUGCAUCCAUGCAAUCGCGUCGGAUAUUGAUCUCUGGGUUCACCGCACUAGGAACGCGGAUUCUCUCUUUCUCAAGGCGUGGAGUUCAUCUCUUUGUAAUAUACCAUAGCUAAAUUACUCCUUCUCUCAUCCCCUCCUCUCAUAAAUCCUGUAUGCAACAACUUUGUCAUAUUAAUAUAAUGUUCAGGCUAGCUUCUUGCCUGCCGUAGCACCCUUCAAAAAAAAGUAGCAAAUUUGAUGAGUAUGACAACAGAUAGGACAUGUUACAAGCAAUAACUAAAGUGAAAUGUUGCAGUCUUGCAAACGGCGAACACUAGCGUGAUUACAUCUUAACAACGAUACUAAUGCUAUCAAGUAGUUGUCUUUGGAGAAAAAUGCUACCAAGUAGCACUAGUAGAGAAACAACUUUCCAUCUAGCAACAUAAAUCUCGAACGGUUUUGGACCCGGGACUAAAUCCUUUAGUCCCGGGUCUAAAUUUUAGAGUCUCUCAGAUCCCUUUUAAUCCUGGUUGGUGGUUCCAGCCAAGAUAAAAGAGGAGCUUUUAGUCCCGGUUGAAGCCACCAACCCAGAUAAAUGAGCACGGAACCCAUUAGUCCUAGCUAGUGGCUCUAACCAGGACUAAAAGACCCCUUUUAAUUUCGGUUGGAGCCACCAAACAGGACUAAGUAUUUUUACCGCUGGCGGUCCCUCUCUCCACCUUAUCUUCUCUCCUCCUCUCCCCUUCUCCCUUAUCUCCUCUCAUUUUCUCCCUUAUCUCCAGGCACAGGCGUUAUCUGAAUGCGCGUUGGGGGGCACGAGCGGUUGGGGCCGUGUGGCUAGCGUGGGAGCGCACGGGCCGGCGGGGCACGCAGCGGUCGGGACCGCCUCCCGCGGCCGACCUGCUAGGAGCGGCGGAGCGCCAGCGGCCAUGGCCAAGGCCAUAGAGCGGCGUGCGUCCUGGGGGCACGGCGGCCGCCAUGGCCCGACCUCUAGCGGGGGCGCAACUCCACGCGGCAUGCCAUCUCCGUGACGCACGACCGGUGGCAGGAGCGCAGCGGUGGGGGGCACGAGCGCCGGGGCCGUGCAGCUGGCGCGGGAGCGCACGGGCUAGCGGGGCAUGCAGCGGCCGGGACUGCCUCCCGCGGCCGGCCUGCUGGCGGCCAUGGCCAAGGCCAUAGAGUGGCGUGCGGCCUGGGGGCAUGGUGGCCGGCACGGCUCAGCCUCCAACGGGGGCGCGGCUCCCCGCGGUGCGCGAUCGGCGGCGGCAGCGCGACGGUGGAGGGCACGAGCGGCUGGGGCCGCGCAGCUGGUGCGGGAGCGCACGGUCCGGCAGGGCACGCGGUGGCCGGGACCACCUCCCGCAGCCGGCCUACUAGAGGCGGUGGGGUGCCGGCGGCCGUGGCCAAGGCCAUGGAACGGCGCGCAGCCUGGGGGCACGACGACCGAUGCCGCCCGGCCUCCAACGGGGGCGCGGCUCCUCGCGGCAUGCGACCGGCGGCAGGAGCGUGGCGGUGGGGGGCACAAGCAGCGCAGCGCAAGUGGCCCUGCAUGGUUUGUUUGUGAGUGAAUAGUGAUUCGGUAGUGCAUGAUUUGUGCGAAUUGUUUAUUGUGUAUCACGUCUUGUGCGAAUUGAUUGGUUGUGUGUUCUUGCUCAUCACUGGAGACGGCAUGAUUUCUCUAUCUAGGUUUUGGUUAGUCUUUAUGCUGAAAAAAGAUUGCUACCAUCUAUGCUAUCAAGCUCGAUCUUCACAGAGGAAUGCAUCAUAUUGAAGUAUAGAGCUGCAUGCAUCGACCAGUUCAAAUAAAAACUUAUAUUGAUAGGGAAAUCUCAGUUACACUUCAACACAUCCAUUACUUUUCCUUAUAGCACUAGUAGGGAACUGAUCUUCCAUCCAGAUGCUUUUAUCCUGGUUGACUUUGGACCCGGGACUAAAGUGCCUUUAGUCCUAGGUCAGAAACACCAACCGGGACUAAAGACCCCCCCCCUUUAAUCCCGGUUGGUGUUUCUAAUCGGGACAGAAGACCCCCGUCCCACGCACCCCCCCCUCUCCACCUUAUUUUCUCCUCACCCUUUCUCCCUCCCUUAUCCUCGCGCACCACCUCCUCUCUCCCUCCACCGCACCGUCCUCUCUCCGUCCACCGUGCCUACCUCUCCUCCCUCCCUUAUCCUCGUGCUGCGCCUCCCCUUCCCCCUCUGCUCGCCCCUCACUGGCAGUGAGGAGCGGCAGUGGGGCGAGGCAAGGCAAGUGGCGGGCGCGAGCGGGCCGGCGGCUGGCAGGCACGGUGCGGGCGAGCGGGCGGGUGAGCGGAGGCGGAGCAAAGGCGGGCGGAGGCGAAGCCGAGGUGGGCCCAUUUUUUAUUUUGUUUAACUUUUUAGUCCCGCUUGGUAAUACCAACCGGGACUAAAGGGGGUCUUAGUCAUGAGUGAAUGAACCGGGACCAAAGGACCCCCCCCCCCCCCCGUCUCAAAAAUUUAGUCCCACUUGAAUUUUCGGGAUCUAUGGCACUAUCCAACCGGGACUAAAGCCGCGUUUUCCACCAGCGUAGGAAGGAAGAAUAUUGAGAUGUCGCUUGUCCUCUGUAUCCACAGUCACCUGCUUGAUACGUGUUAAAUUAUGUAAAGGAACCUUUGGAGAACAUUUGCAAAAAAAAAGCUAUGCACUUUUGAAUUCUCCAACUGGCUGUGGACUAAAUUGUAGUAAAUCACAAGUAAAUGGAGCCAGUCAUCUGCUCCCAUGUGUUUUGAAAGGUCUCAUUUGUAUUGAAUCUGUGAUCCUCUUCCCCACCAACCACCUUAAGUCUAUUGUCAUCCUAGCAUAAACAUUGGCUGGCUAUUAAUUUGCUUUCUAGCCAUUAUUGUUAUUGCCUCUCAUGCUCAGAUGUUUUACAAGUAUGCAUGCCUCUCCCCUCUUCUGUAAAAAAAGCCAUCGCAUUUUCCUAGCUUGAUCUCUUCCUGUGCCAUCUUCACCUUCGCCGCUGCUUCAUUCACGCACACCCAGCUUGGAAUGAGAGGUACCAACAAAUUAACUGUGUGGCUCAUAUUUUCCACCUGUCACCAAAAAUUUUAAAUCCACUUGAAUAAAUUCCACGGUUUUGGCAUUCACGGGUGUUCAUAACACAUAUCAACAAAACGAUGAGAUAGUAAGAUAUUGAGGUAGCAAUGGAUGGCAAGCUUGAACCUAAUCCCUUAGUUUUACCAUGCCUAACGGGAAGAUUUAAUUUGCAUCAAUACGGUACUAAUAGAUUGAACUUCAUGGUAAAUAUAUGAAUUUGUGGAUAAAAUAAACAAGUCAAAUAAUCGAACAUUGAAGAAAACAUAUAUAGUUCCAAAUAACCAUAGUAGUACAUAAUAUUUUGAAUCAAUAAGGUUGAGAUUUAUUGAUUUUUGCAAUGGUGAAUAAUUUAUAAUUUAAAUCUUGGGUGGAGUCUACAAACUGCAUGGAGUCUACCAUUUUGUUCUGACAUAUAUACAGUACUCCAAUAAGGUAGUAAACAACUAAUCAUUAGGGAUAUUGGCGCUGCCCAAUGCUUAUUAGAAAGGUAGUAAUAAAUAAUCUACCUAUUAUCUUAGUUUUUCACCAAUAAAAGAAGGGCAACAGAAGUCAUAGAAAUUGCCACAUUAGCGAGGGCAAAUUAUCCAUAUACUUGUUUAUAAAGUACCCACCCACUAGUCCACUACCCUUCCACAAAUAAUUAUGCCAAAAUACCCCAUAUACCUACUUCUGCAUAACCCACCACUACCAUAAUGCAAAACUAAGCCAAGCUAUGCGCUAUUGAAUUCUCAAACCGGCACGUAUCUGAAUUUGGGAUGGAGGGGUAUUCUUUAUUUAGCAUGUGCCCAUGCGGCCUCGACCAACCAUCCUUUUCUAGUCCUGCGGGCAGCAAGCUUGCAGCGCCCACGAAUAAAAAUAAAUUGGGACCAUGUAGCCUGUUGCUUCAGUACCUUGUGCCACUCUGAUCGAUAUCGCAUCUGCUUAUGACCAUAUAGUAGUCAAUAAGCUGCAGGUAGGCUAGCUUUCAUUGUCGUUCCGCACUGCAGGACUGCAAUCCUGCCUAGUACAUGCAUAGAAAUCAACUAGCUAGAAAUGGGAGGUAUCGGAAGUUCCUAAUCACUACAUGCAAGCUUUUUCUCUGAGGAUUCUAGAUGCAUCGUCUAAUGAACGUAGAUGAGGAAAGGUUGCUAUCAUCCAUUUAUCUCACAUCACAUCAAGCUCUCAGGACGCUUCACGGAGGACUCAUGGCUAUGGAUUUUGUUGUGCCGAACAUGGGGUUGAGGCUUCCAAGAGGAAGCGGAACCUUUUGGCAUGCUCACCGCCUCUUGCUUGGCACUCGGCACCUGCUGGCUGUAAUGUGCACGCUGCCCACUGGUACCUGGUACCGUUCGUGCUGCCGGUUUGGCGGGCACUAGAAGACAAAAAGUUCCGGGUCUAAAUUUUAUAGUCUCUCGAAACCCUUUUAAUCUCGUUUGGUAGUUUCAAUCAAGAUAAAAGUGGAGCUUUUAGUCUCGGUUGGAGCCACCAACCCUAAUAAAUGAGCAUAGAAACCAUUAGUCCCGGUUGGAGCCACCAACCGGGACUACAUAUUUUUACCGCAGGCGGCCCCUCUCUCUCCACCUUGUCUUCUCUCCUCCUCUCCCCUUCUCCCUUAUCUUCUCUCAUUUUCUCCCUUAUCUCCACAUAGGCGUUAUCUGAGCGCGCAAUGGGGGGCACGAGCGACCCGGGCCACACGGCUGGCGUGGGAGUGCACGGGCCAGCGGGGCACGCGGCGGUCGGCCUGCUAGGGGCGGCGUGGCGCUAGCGGCCGUGGCCAAGGCCAUGGAGCGGCACCGGCCUAGGGGCAUGGCGGCAGGCGCGGCCCGUCCGGCCAGCGGGGGUGCGGCUCCCCGCGCGCACGACAUCCGCAGGAGCACGGCGGUGAGGGGCAUGAGCAGCCAGGGCCGCGCGGCUGGCGCGGGAGCACACGGGAUGGCGGGGCACGCGGCGGUCGGGACCACCUCCCACGGCCGGCCUGCUAGGGGUGGCUGGGUGCCGACGGCCGUGGCCAAGGCCAUGGAGUGGUGUGCGGCCUGGGGGCACAAAGGCUAGCUCGGCCUCCAACGGGGGCACGGCUCCCCACGGCACGCGAUCGGUGGCAGGAGCGCGGUGGGGAGGGGCACAAGCGGUCGGGGUUGCGCGGCUGGUGUGGGAGCGCAUGGGCCAGCGGGGCACACGGUGGCCGGGACCGUUUUCUGUGGCCGGCCUGCUAGGGGCGGCGGGGUGCCGGCGGCCGUGCCCAAGGUCAUGGAGCAGCGCGCGGCCUGGGGGCACGGCAGUUGACGCCGUCCGGCCAGCGGGGGCGCAGCUCCCCGUGGCGUGCGACUGGCGGUGGGAGGCACGAGCGGCGCAGCGCAGGUGGCCCGACAUGAUUUGUUUGUGAGUGAAUAGUGAUCUAGUAGUGCAUGAUUUGUGCGAAUUGUGUAUUGUGUAUCAGAUUUUGUGCGAAUUGAUUGGUUGUGUGUUCUUACUUGUGUGAUGAUCAUGUGAGAUGAGCAUAUUUUUUUUGCUUCAAUUUGUGAAGCAUCAAUUGUUUCUUGCUCUUGAUUUGGUUGUCUCGGUGGUGAAGUUGGAGCUGAGGUGGUACGGUGGUCGAGGCAGAGCUGUAGGGGUGGCGGCGCGAGCAGGCAAGACGGAGGGCGGCCCACUUUUUUUUAUUUUUUCGGAAUACUUUUAGUUCCGGUUGGUGCUACCAACCGGAUCUUUAGUCCCGAAUGAUUAGUCCUGGUUGGAUUUUCAAGACCUAUAUGUCUCUCCAACUGGGAUUAAAGCUCAGUUUUUCAUCAGUGUAGUUGUCAAUAAAAGGUUGUAUGGUGCAACAUAUAACUCAAUAAAUUCCAAUCCCAGUACAUAUUAUUUAGGAGGCACACCUGGAUACACAAUCCAGUUCUCAGAUAAGAUUUACAAAAGAUGAUGGUAACUGAUUGCAAUCAAAAAAUUAAUGGCGUUGCCUUUGAUCAAGGAACCUUCCUGCCCGUGAGACUCACACGCAGCUAACCAGACGACGUCUGAACUGGAAAAAGCAGAAACCGCUAAUGGAAGCGUUUCAUAGCACCAACCACAGCACAAGCAAAAGAUGCUAAAAUAUCCUAUGCAAAUUGGGGAGCACGCAGCAAUCUCUGUAGAUUGCGUCAAUCAGUCGAUGGCGAUUAUCGGCAAUUCCGCGUGUCGCCUAGCAUUUGGGGAGAUCAGACGGCGGAGGCAGCAGCUUCUCUUUAGGCUUGUCUCCGUCCAGCACCAGCCAUGCCAUUUUCAGGCCCCAGCUGACGUGAACCUCCAAGUGGCAAUGCAUGAACCACACCCCUGCACACACGACUACUGUUAACAUUCUCCAAGAAGCUUGGGUUAUCCCAAACCAAAGUCACUUUGCUUCCUCAUCAGAUCGUUGCUGAUCUGGCACAGUUAGUAUGUCACGGUAAUUUUUGAAUUCUUACCUGGAUUGUCUGCACGGAACCGGAUGGCCACCCAGCCGCCGGCCGGCACGCCGACGGUGUUCCGCUCGACGGGGUCGACGAGGUUGUACUGGGCCGGGUCCUUGACGGGGUCGAAGUUGCCGAAGCCUUGGCCAACGACGAAGAAGUUGAAGCCGUGGAGGUGCAGCGGGUGGCUCUCGUUGCCGAGGAUGCUGGUGCCCUGCAUCACCAGCUCCACGCUGGUGCCGUACGGGAGCACCACCAGCUUGGUCCCGUUGGACACGUUGGUGUUGUUGGGCGGCGUCCCCGUGUAGUUGAACGGGAUCAGCGGCGCCGCCGGGAAGUUGGGCGAGUACACCCCGUUGGACCUGCCGGUGAAGUGCGCCUGCAGCAGCGCCGUCGUUGGGAGCACGAAGGAGACGUUGUUCACGGACGCCGCGAACCGGGUGUCGUUGGUGGGGCCCUGGCACGUCCCGUUCACGGCGCACGGGUGCGUGCCCAGCCCGACGGUGAAGAAGAACCGCCGGUCCACCUCCCGCGGCACGUCGGCGGGGUACUCCGCGGUGGCGAGGCUGCGGAGCUUGCCCGUGAAGUUGGCGACGAAGCUGGUGUCGUUGAUCUGCGGCAGGGUCGGCUUGAGGAUCGGGAGGUUCUUGUUGAAGGCCGCGGGGGAAGGGGAAUUGGGGUCCUCGUACUCGAGGAUGCCGGCGACGGUGGUGUUGUCGAAGGUGCCCGGCCUGGCGGUGGAGUAGGGCGCGGCCAGCAUGUAGUAGUUGGCGGCGGGGUACGACGGCUUGGUGGUGAGGAGCACGUUGGUGGUCUGCCCCGGGGUGAUGAUGAGGGUCUCGACGGUGAUGGGCUUGAUGUAGACCGCGUCGACGUCGACGAUGGUGAGUGGGUGGCCGGCGAUGGAGAAGAAGAGCUCGUCAUUGAGCGCAGCGUUGAUGAUGCGGAGCAUGUACGUCUUCCCUGGCUGCACCUUCAGCUUGAACGUGUCUGCAUAUAAACGACAAAACAAUAAUAAUGCAAGCCGUCAGCUCAGUGAACCAUGCAUGCUGCUCGCGUUGGGGCCAUGCAUCUCCAACCUUUAGCAGAGCAGUUGUAGAGCGGCCCAGGGAGGCCGUUGAUGGUGAAAGCGUCGGAGACGUUGGGGCCUCCGCCGGUCUGGAGCGCCUGGCUGAUCACCGCCUCCGUGUCCGCCUUCCACCACUCGCCGAAGAUGACGGGGACCUCCUUGUAGGGCGCCGGGAACGGGUAGGGGACGCCGGGCUUGGGUAGGAUGACGAUGGGCCCGUAGACGGUGGCGCGGAGCCAGGAGAUGUGCGCGUGCCACCACAGCGUGCCGCGCUGCCCCGUGAUGGUGAACUUGUACACGUAGCUCUGCCCGCUCUGGAUCGGGCACUGCGUGAUGUACGCCGGCCCGUCCGCCCACCCGCUCCGCAGCUGCCGGACGCCGUGCCUGCGUCGUCCAUGAAGCUCGCCGGUGAUCAGCCAGCCGGUCGCCGCAGCCAAUGCGUGCUCGUGCUACUACGAGCUAGACGUGAAAGGUGGCAGGCAACCAGGCAUGAGCACGUACCAGUGGAUGCUCAUGUUGUAGGGGACGUGGUUGACGACGCGGACGACGACGAGGUCGCCCUCCCUGGCGAACACCGUCGGCCCCGGGAACAGGCCGUUCACCGUCACGAUGCUCUUGCUGCUGCACAGCCGCGUCACGCUCGUCAUUUGCACCUGCAUUUGUCGCAACAUUAAUUAACCGCAUCUAAUUGCAACUACCAAAUAGUACGUUGAUGUGGGAGGACGCAUCGAUCAUGCUUGCUCUGUUUCUUGCUGCACACUUACAUCGAACUGAUACUCCCUAAUGGCGCCCUCCGCCACGUCAACGGAGAAGAGCAGGACGAGCACAGCGACGAGGACGCAGUAAGGGAGAAGCAGGUAGGAGGUAGCCAUUGCUGCCUUUCCUCAAGCUCUCGAUCAGCCGGAGAGACACUUGACGACGGCUGAUGACUAGCACUCCUUGGCAACAAUGGCUAAGGACGACUGAUCGCUGUGUCUGAGAUGGCAGUAGAUGUUCCUAUAUAUAGUAGAUGUUGGAAGAGCGGGCACGAGAGAGAAGAUGAUUAGCAUGUACGCUUGCUUCCAGAACUUUUUGGCUAUGCAUGCGCGUAGUUCAGAUGUUUAUUGUGCAGAGUUCAGUAAGCUUUGUUUGGUGCAGGGUUGGUUAUUGAGCACGAUGUCGCCGCAAGGCAACACUGCCGGCGGGGCCCGUGCGGAAUGGCUUAGCGACUAUAGAUAGUAGCUUCGGAGUGUGGCUAAAGUCAACCACCCUUCUGUUUACAUGUCAAUCUUGUGUUCUUGACCACCCUCAUAUUUUAGCCUUUUUCAUGACUUAGUUAACACGCAGAAUGUACACCGUACCAUUACUAUACCUGAAAAUAAUGGAAUUACCAAUGGAUAUUUGGUACGGCAGAAAGGUUAGUUCACUGCAUUGAUUUCUUAUUGACUUGAAACACACAAUAUUGUAAAAAAAAAUUGAUUCAGACAGCUUUUGCUUUCAGGACAAAAAAAAAAGGAAGAAAUAGCCACAGAACCUGCUAUUUUACGCUAAAUUAACCGAUAUGAAGUGCCAUUUACUCAAUUAAAAAGAAAAAAAGAAAAGCACAUGUUUAGCAAGAAAUUCUACACUUCACUUUCCUACCGAUGUUGAGCUAACCACACAUUGACACACACAGCACAAGAAGCAUGCUACUUUCACCAGGUCUUGGGUUUGCUGGGCUUACUUCACCUACCACCCGGCCCCUCAAACCCCCCAGAUAAUGUGUUCAAAUCAGGAGUAGUUGCAAAUUCCAGCUGCCCCGGAACAAAAGGUCAGAGGCGACCCCAAGUGGCCCAGUUGAGGAUCACAGCUUUGCAGGGCUCCUAACAUAUCCUUGCAUGCCAAGGGAUCUCGCCGGAGCCAGUGAGGACAGCGACCAGAGAGAGCUGGGGGAGGAUCGGAGGCCGGUCUUGUUCCGGGACCGGCCGCCCAUUCGCAUCGCCGGCCAGGCGUGGCGCAUGAUUAGGGAAAGGGUAUAGUGUGUGAUUGUGUGAACCAGCCAGCCAACCAGGAGAUGAGAUCCGUGGCGCUGAAGCUGCGCCGGUUAGCGGGUCACCGAGAGCCGUGCUCGAACUGUUGCUCUUUUCGGCAAGUCUCCAAAGGGGGAGAAGGAUGCCUCACCCAACUGGCCCUAUUGCUUUUCCUUGCUGUGUGGUAGACGUGAAAAAUCAGCCAUGUUGUCUAGUUUGUUAUUCUAUACGUAUAUUAUAUGUUCUAUAUUUGAUGAGACAUUCUUCUUUCAAAAAAAAUUUGAUGAUACAUUGAAAUGCAUACUCUGCACGCGUCUACUUACUCUAAAAGUUGGGUAGGUAUACGUUCUUCUGAUGCCAAUUUCGAAGUUCCCUUUGGUACUCACAGCAUCGUCAGGUGCUUUCCAAUUUCCAUCGGGCACACGUUCUUUUUUACAGUUUUUUUUCCAGCAGUCCAUGAUAGAUGCCUUGACACAGAUGAAAUGAUUUGCGGGGGGAAAAAAGGAUGCUGUGUUGUUAUGCAAUCAUAGACCCGGGAAGAUGCUGAAUGGAAAUUUUGGAUUCCUUUCCAUGGAAAGGUUUCAGUAAUGUUCAAGUCUCGUCUCACGGCCAUAUCUUGGUGAAGGUUGACUAAGACAAAACGUGAAUCUGCUGUCAGAUUAAUCACUAAUAAGAGGGUCAAGUAUGAAAAGUCAAUGGAAAUGUUUUACGUUGGAAUAAGACUGCCCGGGAUUAUGAUCUGACAGUUCAGCACUCUUAUCACUCUCUUUCAUCUUGGAAACCUUGGUUGAAACGAUCCUAUGGCUCGGCCACCUCAAUGUAGAACCCCGAACAAGAUCAUCUUGGUGAACAACCUCGACCUCCUCAAGCAGCAGCCAGCAGCUAUGCAAUCUGUGCAACCUGCUCCAUGUUGUCUCUUGAUCGAUCGGGUCCACAGUGUUUUUUUUUCCCCAAUAGGCCUUGAUCAGGAUGUUGGUUAAGACAACAGCAUAAAAGGAUAUCAAGCUUAGUAUGUGCAGAUGUGAGGUUGUCCGAUUUGCUGAAGUGCGUGCACACAUAUAAAACUUCUGUUACUACUAAGUAAGAAAUAGAAGAUGAAGGACAGCUGAAUAGGCCACAAACUGUGCUGUUUGAAAUUGUUUGGUGAGCUUGUUGUUCUUGGUGAUUUGAGCAACGUUAUACAUUUGGAUCAAUGCGAGCAUUUUAUGGACUUGGAUGCGAUACAGGGUGGUUGUAGUAUUAAUAUUCUAGCAUGUUGGCUUUGUAAAUUGUAUACCGCAGUGUGGAAGCCUUAAAACAAAGUGAGCUACGAGUCAAUUAUGUGUAUCUGAAAUAUAGAGGGUGGUAGACAUGAACGAGGAUUUGAACAUUGAAUCGAUUAUUUGAGCACUAAGAUGGUUCCAAAUAAAAAGUUUGAACUAUAAAGUUGUACAUCUCAUUAAGAUCUACAAUUUACAUAUAAAGUUUAUCUCCGUCCGAGUUCAUAUGAAAAGGUUAUGAUUUUUUUAAGAUGUGCUGCGGAAAUUCCGCCAUUUGAAUUGGCGGUUAGGUGGAUCCAAGGUAAAUUCCAUCGUUUUAACCGGCUAUAGCGGCUAUAGCCGUUUCAAACAGCUGUAUGCAUAUAAAUUUGUAAUUCUUUUUAUCAAGACAUGUAUUUUUGCAAAACACUAAAAUAAAAAAAUCACUCUCUAGCGUGCCCCUGGGCCGGCUGGUGGACGCUGUGGUGGGACUGCUAGACCAAGAAAGACCAAGUGUCACUGGUGGGUGGCUGGGCCUUCGGUCCUUGGGCUUUCCCGGGACACAUACGCGGAAGAUGAAGAAGAGGCAAUUCGGGCACUUUGUAAUCGUUGAUGUUAAAAACCAUCUGACAGGCAUGGAUGGCGUAACAGAAGAAAAUUGCAACCCAAUAUCAUAAAAGGACAGGUGAUUUUUGUGAUGACUGCUAUAUGGGUCUAAAGAAAAUUGCAAUGGCAAAUAAAAAAAUAGCCCAAAAGGCAUAGUGCAAAGUGCAGACUCAUGCUGUCUCGACAAAAGAGCACGAAGUGCAAACUCAUGCCGUCUCGGCAAAUGGAAUUAAAUAUCGCGACCUUAUCAGGGAACAUCGUAGUGCAGAUCGCCGAGAGAAACACUUCUGUCAGUAUAGUUAAAAAAACAGAAGCCUCAACUAUGUGAGUCGACAGAAGUUCAGAGUCUGCAUGGGAACCAAAUCAUCACGAAGGAACUCUUUUAUACAGCCUUCUGAUGCCAUAUGUGGGGUGGAGGGGUUGAUGCAAUGUACAGAUUGAAGUUGUCAAGGUUUAUGUUGGCACAACAUUUCCCAGGGAUGAUGGAUUGGCAUCUGAAACUUCAGCACUCUUGUCGCUCUCUUCAACCUGGAAACCUUGUUUGAAACGAUCGUAAUUAGUAGGCUCAGCUGUCUUAAAUGGGCGUUCCCCUAGUACCCGGACUAGAUCAUCUUGGUGGAGAACCUCCUUCUCAAGCAGCAGCUCUGCAAUCUGUGCAACCUGCUCCUUGUGCGUCUUGAUCAGGUCAAGAGUUUUUUCAUAGGCCUUUGCCACCCAUUCCCUCACCUCAGUGUCAAUGAUGGAUGCAGUCUCGCCACCAUAUGGCUUGCUCAUUCCAAAACCAUCCUCCCUUUGAGGGAAAGAAAGAAGCCCAACCUUUUCACUGAAACCGUAUACUGCAACCUGGGCAUAAGUCAUCUUGGUGACUUUCUCCAGGUCAUUUUGAGCCCCAGUAGAGAUUUUCCCAAUCAAAACCUGAAACAUAGAACAGUUGCAUCAGUUGCUAGAUCACUUGAAAAUUUGGUCAUACAAAGAUCUACCAAAAUGUUGAGUACCUCCUCUGCAGCUCUACCACCUAGCGUCAUGCAUGUCAUGUCAAAAAGCUGCUCUUUUGUCAUCAAAAGAUUCUCACUAGGGACAUAUUGAGCAAAUCCUAAAGCAGCUGUGCCACGAGGAACAAUUGUAACUUUAAGAAGCGGUUCUGCAUGCUCCAAAAACCAUCCAGCGACAGCAUGACCAGAUUCAUGGUACGCAACAGUUUGGCGCUCCAGCUUGCUAAUAACCUGCAAAUAGCUCAACAAGAUAUAACUGCCACCAAUAAAUGGGAAUAUCUUAGCAUAUUUCCAUGCACACCUUAUUCGCCUUUCAGUUUGAAUAUUUUAACAAAUGAAUAGCAUUUUUUUUCAGUGUGUUGUGCAUUUAAGGGGACAAGGAUGUGGAUUAUAACUUUUGUGCGUAUCGGUUUAGCAUAAGAAAAGUAGCAAAACAAUAUAAUUCCAAAAGGUACCUUGUUUUUCUUCUCCAAGCCUCCAAUAACCCUGUCAAUAGCAGCUUCAAAAUGCUGAAUCGUUAUCUGUGCAUCCUCGCUCCUUGCGGCAAUUAAAGCAGCCUCAUUACAAACAUUAGCAAUAUCAGCCCCAGCAAACCCAGGUGUCAAAGCUGCUAAUCUUUGAGAAUAAAAUGAUGGCUCCUUGUCCAGCUUAAGUUUUUUAAGGUAAAUGCGAAAUAUUUGAUCACGACCAUUUAUGUCUGGUUUAUCGAUGGCUAUCUGACGAUCAAAUCUCCCUGGUCUGAGCAAAGCCUUAUCUAGGAUGUCAGGUCUGUUUGUACCAGCAAGAACAACAACUCCAGAUGUUGUUCCAAAUCCAUCCAUCUCUACAAGCAACUGGUUCAAUGUGCUUUCACGCUCAUCAUUUCCCCCAGAGAAUCCCCCACGACCCCUUGCACGACCAAUUGCAUCGAUUUCAUCAAUGAAUACAAUACUAGGUGCACAUUGUCGAGCUUCUUGAAAUAAGUUCCGAACCCUGGAUGGUCCAACACCAACAAACAUCUCCAUGAAGUCUGAACCGGAAACAGACAAGAAGGGCACAUCAGACUCUCCUGCAGUAGCUUUAGCAAGGAGUGUUUUCCCUGUACCAGGGGGACCCACAAGAAGAGCACCCUUUGGUAUUUUAGCUCCCAGUUCUUCAUAUUUCUUGGGAUUUUUCAGGAAAUGCACAAAUUCCAUUAUUUCUUGUUUCGCUUCAUCACAACCAGCUACAUCCUUAAAGAACACCUGCAACAUAAUACAAAUACAAGUAUUACUAGAGACUAAGAGAAGCACCAUAUGUACAUGAUAUUCUUCAACUUUGAUGAUGAUGUGCCAAGCCAUGACCCCUGAACAACUACAAACCUUAUAGCACUAUGAAAGCGCAAACUUUUCAUUAAAAAUGAGAAAAUAUCAAGCGUCAGAUUCUUUUUUAAUAGCCAUGGAAUGAACAGCAAACAAAAACUAACCUUGUUUUUUGAAUUUUUGUCCAUCUUUGUCACUUGAACUUUUCCAAUACUAAAAAUACCACGAGCUCCACCCCCAGGACCCCCAAUACUAAUACCACCUUUCAUCCUUUUCCCCACCACAUAAAUUAAUCCAACAAGCAAAGCUGUUGGGACAAACCUCAUCAAUUCCUGGAACCAAUUAACUUCAGAAGUAUAGGUUACUGGAACAUAAACAUGUGGAUCUCUCCCCAAUGCUUCCUGGGCCUCUUCUAACUUCUCUUCAAAGGAGUCUACGCUUCCAAUGUUAAAGUAGUACUUGUACUUGCUAGGAGUCUCUCUACCAGGGAGAUGACUGGUUGUGAUAUGGAUAUCACCGUCCUGGCCUUGGUUGCUUGAGGGUGAACUCCUAACAUAAACUUUUGCAACUGAUUUGUUUGAAACAACAAUGUGAUCAACUAACCCUGGUUCCAAUAACUUGUUCUUGAAUUCUUGGAAGCUUAUCUGCAAAAGUUGAAGGAAAUGAUCCUGAUAAUGGUCUAAUAAACUAGAGAAAGUGUGAGCUACACUAAUGCAAAGAGGCAGGAAACCGCAGCUUAUAGUAGUUUGAUGAGAUAAACUGAUUAACAAGGAAUAUAAAAAAAGUAAAUUAACAUCAUACUGUAUCCGCAAUGAUACAGGACUAAAUAAAGAACCAGCAUAUGCUCCCUGGGUCAUAAUAAUCUUAAACAUGGGAAUGUCAUCGGUUGGAAAUCUCCACAAGCUUAACUAUGCAGUUAGCCCUUUUCAGUUGUCUAUGACAUUAGGAACUGUGAAUUAAUCAGCAUCGAGGUCAUGUGUCUAGCUGAGGUGAUAUAGUUUCAACAUUUGAACUUGGGAUGGGAGUGGGACUGCCAUCUGCCUGUCACCACUCAAAUUGAAUUCAAACGGAAUGUCUAUUAUCACAAAAUUUAUACACCAGAAUAAGAGAUAACAACUUUUGCCUAACAUUUUCAGGAAUAAUGGUUUGGACCUACAAGAGAGCACCUGCAACCUGCAGUAUAGUUAGUCUUCUAUUAACCAUGACCAUGUAAUUUAUACACAAGACUGUAGAGUUAUAGGAAACAAACAACUUAUAAACAAUUCCAACUUAUAAGCAUAUUUAAUAGUAGAUAUGAGUAAGCAGCAUACCUGCUGUGCGGAAUUACCCCUGGGUAAGGUAGCCAACACUAGUCCAAGAAAAAGCAGAGGGGCAAGGAGUUCCUGGAAUUUUUUCAUGACAUCCUCUUUGAAAUUCCACUGAAACUUUGAAUUGGAAUCCUCUGAACAUUAAAAAAAAUUGCAACCGCGUUAUGUGCAUGGCUUGCACCAAAUGGAUCGAUUACACAAAGUCUCCAAGUUGCAAACAUGCCCUAUACCAAAGGAAAGCAAAGCAGCAUAACUUCACAAGAAAACCAAAAUACAUAUUUGUUCUACUUCCACUGAAUUGCAGUGCAUCUAUCCUAUUUCAAUCAGAUACUUAUGGUAUAACAACAUUGUAGAAUUCCAUCAUUAUCUAGUCCCCUGUCAUUGCUGCGUUUUCAUGAUAAAUAUUAUGCCAAAACACAGGUCACAUAUAUAGAAAUCCUCCUUGUGAGUUUGGAAUCCAGUAAGGUCAAUAGCUAGCUACCAACAUAUAGAAAGGUGGAAGCUUUCGAUAAUCCAUAUUAUUUUAUAAAGCACGGAACAAAAUUAACAUUUUUUUUCUUCCUGUACAACAGUAAUGUGCAUUGAACGAACUAAAUUACCACUACUUACUUUUGGGGUUAGACUUGUCACUCCCAUCCCCCUUUGGCUCCUCCUGUUUCUCCUUUGGAUGGUACUUCUCGUAAUCUAAAGCCGAAAGAGGCACGUUAUAUACACUGAAGAUAAACCGACCAAAUGAUUAUCCAAACCAGCAAAGAAAACUCACUCUUGUUGGACCCAUCGGAGAAGAGCCGCCGGAACUGCGAGCUGGCGAGCAGGAACCUCCAAUCCCCGAGCUUCCCUUGCCCGGUGGGCGCCGCCGCCCGGCUCCCCAGCGCUGACGUCAAGUAGCUGCGCACAAACCCCAAUCCGCCGACAUCACCGCCAGGCAUCGACGGCCGCGGGGUCGGCGCCGCGCGGAGCCCGGCAUACCCCUCAAGCAGAGAACCCUAUGGAAAAAAAUUAGGGAUGACACGUCCGAAGAAAACCGAGCUGGGCACGGAAACGUGCGGGGGCGGGCUCGAACAGCGACCUACCUGCCGCGGCGGCCGGGUGGAGCGCGCGGACCGGGCGAGGGCGCGGGAGAGGGAGGAGAGGCUCAUGGCGGCGAUGGUGCGGAGGGCAUGGGAAGGGAGGGAGGGAGAGGGCGUGCCCUAGGGUUGGGUCUCCCGAUCCUCCGGCGAUCGCGUGGGAGGGUGACGAACCGACGAGACGGCGGGUGGCGAAAUGGCGGCGGCGGAGGCGGACGCGGCUCCGCUUGUUUCGUUCGCGUUUAACGAACGGGCGGGUCGACACGUUGAAGGGUUCGCCGCCAUCUAGCAGAUAUGCGUCGAUGAUUUGGAUUACGUGGGUUAAAACCAGCUUUGAGCUCGAGUUAAGCUGUGAUUUUUACCUGCCGCCUGCAGCAGAGCAGAGACAGAAAAAGGUGGGCUUGCGGCAAAUUAGAAGGACGAAGUUAACGCGCGACCGUUCGCGCAGGCUAACGCGCGACCCCUAAUUCAUGUUGCAGUACGGUAGUACGCGGGAGCUAAUUGUUUUCCUUUUUUGUUCUAAUUUAAUCAGUCAGUGUAUCAUCUACUUGCAUGUGCGCUUACCAACAGGAGCGGCAGCAUGGUGCAGGAUUGUGUCAAUGUGUUAUUUUCGUUGGUGACAUCAGCCAUGAAAAUAUUUAUAUUUUCUUUAAAUGACCAUUACUCUUUCAACAAGUGUCUUUAAAAUGAGAUCUACAAAACAAGAUCCAUAUAUGAUAUGUUUUAAAAUUAUUUUAUGCGGCUGGUAUAUAUACAUCCUGAUAUCUUAUGUAGAGGUAACAUAUAAAACUUAUACAAUGAUUAUGUACCAACUUCUAUUGUAUGUCUACUAGUUUAGUAAUAAAUUUAUAUAGAAAUAAAUGUAUCAAUUUAUACAAAGAUUGUGCAACAACUCAUGUGCAAAGAAUAAUAGUAUGUUGUAUAUGUUUGGUAGUAACUUAUACAGAGACAAUGUGUUUACUUAUGUAGAUAGUUCAUAGAGACAAUAUAAUGGAGGAUAAAAAUUAUUCUAAUCAAUUUAUCUACAUAUAAUGUUGAGAGGUUUAUAUAUAAGUUGUCACGUAUGUAAUACAUAAAGUAGCUACUGUACUUUUAAUAUAAGUUGCUAGAUUAUAAAAACUAUUUCAAAACAUUGCAUCAUCGAUUUUGUUUUAUAGAUCUUAUCGUAAAAAAUACGAUGGUGCGAUCAGAAUUGAAAAUAGACAAUUUAUGAGAAAGUUAUCGCAUUUUAGAGAAGUAAAAAUUGAAAAGAUUCUCGUGGGCCAUGAUGGUUCAUCUCCUUGCCGCCUGGCUACAGCAGGCCCUGCAGGUGGCGCGCUCGCGCAUUGGCGCUCCUUAGCUUUUUUUUUUUUCCAAAUUAGAAAGAAGGUUCGGCUUUAGCCCGUAAGCCUAAGUGAAAGCCCAUAAGCCCACGACUCAACGCACGACCAAGAAAAUUGGGCCACGUACUCGACAACCAUGGAAAGCCCAAAAUAAUGCUUCUCCAAAACAACGGGUUCUUGGGUGGGGGUUCCGGAAGCUGUAGGAAUUUCGUACAAUAACCCAACAACCCAGCUUACAGUAAAAACAUCAGAAAUUCAGAGGCUCACUGAUGAAGUGAUGAGCCGGAGAAUGAAGUUGGAAAACCAAAGGUUGAAGAAGAAAAAUACGCUUUUAAAACUCUUUUAUUUAUCCUUGAGGGACCGGUCGGUUUUGUUCGCGUUAUUCAGUUAACGGCCUGUCGAAUUUCUAUUCCAGUUGAAUAUGUACCCAACCAAGUCACAACUGAGCAAUUGACUGGAUAUUGGGAUUUCCUUGGUUCGGUGUGAAUUACUGCAGCAGAGACAAAAAUAGGUGGGCUUGCGGCAAAAUAGAAAGAAGGCUCGUUUGGCCCGUAAGCCUAAGGGAAAGCCCAUAAGCCCACAACUCAACGUACGACCAAGAGAAUUGAUUGGGCCACCUACUCGCCAACUAUGAAAAGCCCAAAAUAAUGCUUGUCCAACCAAAACAAGUUGGGUUCUCCCAGCUUACACAAAAGCAUCAGAAAUUCAGAGGCUCACUGAUGAAGUGAUGAACCGGAGAAUGAAGUUGGAAAACCAAAGGUUGAAGAAGAAAAAUACGCUUUUUUUUAACUCUUUUAUCGUUGAUGAGGGACCGAUUGCGCCGUUAUUCAGUUGAAGGCCUGUCGAAUUCCUAUUCCAGUUGCAUGACGCGUGCAUUGGGAUUUGCUGGAUUCUGUGUUGCCCUGCUCUUAGCUACGCUACACCCGACUCUUGCACCCUGUUGAUACGUACUUGUGCCGUACACAACUUAUGUUCUUGGUGGUGAGCAUGAUGUGUAAGACACGCCGCCGAAGUUGGGACUUUCUUCUUCUUGCUCUGAGCCAAUCUUCCUUCGUGCCUCUACAUCGUGAUUUGCCAAUUACCCUAAAAAACAUCCUGAUUUGCCAACUACUCUCUCAGUCCUAAAUUGUAGGUUGUUUUAAUUUUUCUAGAUGUACAUAUGUUUGUAUGCAACUAAGUGCAUAUCUAUGAAUCUAGGACCUAUAAUCUGUAAUUUGAAUCGGAGGAAGUAUUUUUAAGCGCCGCCAACACACUUGGACACGCAACGGAGAUGCCUUCGUAUAUCCAUCAUCCAGUCGGCAGGUCACCAGCAUCACAAAGCUGAAGGCCAGCACACGGACACGUCGCCUCUGGUUCCGUCACAAACGUCCCAGGAUCCCAGCGCACGAGCAAUUGACAUGGUAAUGGAUCAUAUUGGUCCAUCGAUCUAUCCGGUCAAUUCAGCAAAGCUAUCGGAUUCAUCCAUGGAACCCUUGUUGGUUGGCAGCGAUCGGUCGAUUCGUGGCGCGGCUAGCGACCGUGGACUUGGAUUACGAGGUGCUGUUGGGGAAAACAGACGAGUCCUAGAACGGGGACAGCACGUAAUGGCGAGAGCGACGCGGAUGCGCUGGAUGGGGACGGGUAAACCACUGCGCACGCCGCACGGGCAACCAAUUUUUACCUGAAAAUAAACGGCGAGGUCUUGUAACGUCGGGGUAGAAAGGGAAGAACUUCUUGUGGGGGCACGCAUUGGCACUUGUGAUUUACACUUGAAAAGUGCUAGCCUUUUUCACCACUGGCGCUGCACCAACUUAGGUAGCUUGGCUCCAGUGUUGUAGCUUAGUCACUUGGGUUAUUCUCACCUGCAACAUAAUCACUGGGGUCCCGGGUCUUUGAUCCCCGUUGCUAUCUAUGCAUGUAUAUGUAUAGUUAUAAGUAUAUACUCCGCAUACCCUAUUCCUAGACGAGCUUGUUACCGGCUUCUACAGAAGCAGGGGAUCAGCUUCAGGGGACCACACGAAGGGGAAGUCAGGGCACGACCAGGUCGUGGGCGGCGAGUCGCAAGUCAGCGCGGUAGCAGCCCGCGGCGGCGGCGCCGGCACGGAGGCGGUCGAGCCGUCGUCGCACGAGUCCGCCAGGUGCUGCUGCCCGUGCGGCACGGCGUCCUCCGCGCGUCCGCUUCCCGGCAGCGUGGCGGCGCGCCCUCCUCGCGCCCCGGCGUCGUCGUCGUCGCACGCCAUCUGCUGGUCGUUCGGCGGCCAGGCGCCGCCGUCGUCGCUUGCGCGCGCGGCCGGGGAGGGGGUUCUGGCCUGCUUCUUCGCGGCCGCCGCCGCCGCGCCGGACAGGUCCACGGACGCCAACUGGCGGCGCGGGAAGAGCGGCUGCGGGCCGUGCAGGUGCGGGCCCUCGUACGUGACGAUCAGCAUCUCCGGGUCGUCCGUUGACUUCUCCACGUGCUUCUUCGCGCCGCACCGGGAGCUCGUGCACUUGUAGUAGCUCCUGCAUGGCGGCACGGCAAAGGCGUGACGGCAGAUUAUAACAUUAUCAGCAACCAGUGGUUUCAUUUCAUCAAAAUUGGCGGUCAUCAACGGCAUAUACGGAAACAAAUUUCACUCUCGCCAAGUACAGGUGGUACGCACAGAUUAGAGAGUGCUAGAUGAUCUGAAAUGUUGUUAUGCUACUCAAAAAUUUAUUUUAAGGAGCAACGGCGGCGGAGCACACCCAUCUGAACGUUCGUUCAAAGGUCAGGUCGGAGCCAGCAAAGUUUGUUUACAUGCUGCAGAUUAUAGAGCUUUCUACAUGAGGCAUUUUUGAGGUGGGGGGGGGGGGGGGUGGGGGGUUGGCGGGCGGUGAGCACGAAGGGCUAUUAUAUUACACACAAAGGCCCGAGCAUAAGGUUUCUAGGGGGAGAGUGUCGAGGUGACGUGGAGCAUGAUGCACCCAGAGGGCCAGAUAUUCCCCAGCGACUUGGGCAAUGGAAGAGGGGGCUGGUUGAUGGAGUCGAAGACCAUCCUGUUGCGGCGCUUUCAGAUCACCUAGAGGAGCAGGAGUGAGGCAGUGUUGAGGAGCUCCAGGCGGGGGCGGGAUCACAUCGAGCGCCCCGACAAGGCUGGCGAAGAGGGCGCCCGGGCACACCUCCUGCCAAACGCUAGCGAUGCGGGGGCACACCUCCUGCCAAAAGCUAGUGAUGCGGGGGCAUGCGAAGAAUAGGUGGGUGGCAUCCUCAACGACAGUGCAGAAGGGGCAGAUGGGGCUGCCUAGGGCACCAUGACGGUGGAGGAAGUCGCGUGUGCGCGUGUUCACUUACCUGAAGAUCCAGAAAAACAUCCAAACCUUGAUCGGGGUGAGGUUGACGUCGGAAUGUGGCACCGUGCACCCUGUACUCUUGAGCAUGGAGCAAAGGGUGCCGGAGCGUACGUAGGAGCGCUGUGCUACCCAUGAGUAGUGAAACUAUAGCCUAUAGCCUAUAGCCUAGUAUGACUUGGUACAUGUACUGUAUCUUGAGGUUGCUGGAACUAAAAGGACAGCCCAUCUGAAACCAACUUUUUUUAGUUAAUCUAGCGCCACUUAAUGAGACGUGGAUGGUUGUUAGUGGUUGCCGUGCUGUGCACAUCCUGUUUAUGUGGGGGUCAAACCGUGAUAUAUCUUUCUGGAGGUAGUCGAACGAAUGAUCGCGUGACAGGAAGGGGCAAUUAUUAAUUGCUGGAACUAUUGCUGCUCCUAUUCUGGGCGUAAUAACAGACAAAAAUGUCGCCUUCAGGCUUCAGCUAGCCGAUUUCUCUGAACAUGGGAGAAGGUCUUGGCAGGUUCCAUGGAAGCGUAGCACCUUUCUCAGUUGCACUGUUGCACAAUUACAAUUGUGCACUUUACACAGAUGCCCCAGGUGGUUUUCUUUUGCGAAUCCUUGCUCUUUGGACCUUCGCUGCUGGCAAGGCACUGGUACUUAGGGGUGCGUGGAUCUUUAAUCUGGACUAAAAUUCAUGUCACAUCAAAUAUUCGAAAGCUAAUUAGAAGGAUUAAAUAUGAGCUAAUUAUAAAACUAAUUCGCGAGACGAAUCUAUUAAGCCUAAUUAAUCCAUCAUUAGCACAUGUUUACUGUAGCAUCAUAUUGUCAAAUCAUAGAGUAAUUAGGCUAAUAAAUUCAUCUCACAAAUUAGCAUGUGAAUUGAUUUUGUAAUUAAUCUAUAUUUAAUACUUCUAAUUAGUAUCUAAAUAUUCGAUGUGAUAGGAAUAAACAACCAAACACCCCUUAAUAAUUAGCAUUAGUGCAGCGCCAGCGGUGAAUUCAGGCACCGGUACUUAAUGAUUCAGGCACUACUGGUGCUUGAACGGUACGGACUACAUUCCAUCAAAGGGGAAAGCAGGUUCUAAAUGUGUUUUUAAUUAGGCCCUUGUUCACUUUACUCCCAACUCCCAACUUUGACACUAUGCAAAAAGAAGAUUCCCCAUCACAUCAAACUUGCGGUACAUGUAUGGAGUACUAAAUGUAGAUGAAAUUAAAAACUAAUUGCACAGUUUUGUUGUACUUUGCGAGACGAAUCUUUUGAGCCUAAUUAGUCAAUGUUUGGACAAUAAUUCACAAAUACAAACGAAACGCUACAGUGUUGCUACAGUAAUUUGGCACCUCCCAAUUUGGCCAAGUAAACAAGGGCUAGCAUUAGUCUAGGGGACACUAUGACACGAGCUAACUGACAUAGACCGUACCCUUCAUUCUAAUGUACUCCAACGGCCGUGUAAACAAAUUACCCCUCAACACCAAACAACACCCAAACUUAGAGCACUCCAAAUAGGACGUAGGAUAUUACGCUACUCUGGCAGUCCGAAACUGUAUAAAUCCAUGUCUUCUAUCCUUGCUUUUACCUUCGAGUUUCAGGUCUGACGAUUCCCUACCAACCAAUCUACUAACUCGGGAUACCCCUCGAUAGGUUGCCAGGUAUAAAACCCUGACAUCUACUGCGCCUACCUGUGAUCGUUGAGAUCAUCGGGCGAGCUUGAGCUUGAAGGAUCUCAUCUUCAAAAUCAAUCUACUCGACGAGAAGCAAGUCGUCGAGUUCCGAUUCAAAGCAGAUACGAGAAGCUUGCGGGAGAUCAAUCGGUUGUUGGCUCGUAUGCAUUCAAAAAGCUGCAGCACUGGUCGCACUGCAUCCUCCGUGGCUUUGUGCGUCGCUCAAGGCUGAUGAUCUGCUACUACUCCUCACCCGUGAGAAGGAAAAAUGCCGGCGGAAUUAUUUUUCCGUCUCUGAGUCAAAGUCACCAACGAUGCACCUUAAGCUAAUUGCCUCCAGUUGCCAGAUCCUAUACUGAAGCAAUGAAGGCCAACCAAUAUUCCAUCUACUGCUCGUGCAGGGAUCGAGGAAACUAUCAGCUCGAGUACUCUCCGUGCAAGGAUACUUUUUGGAGUUUCAGUACAAGUACCAGGAAGGCUACCAGGAGAUCUGUUGCUCUUCACUACCAUGUGCUAAAGAAAUGCACGUGGGACUUCAGCAUGCAUGAUUGCGUUGGUUUCACCAGAACGCUCGGCGACACAAUAACGACUAUCUAAACUUCUCGUUUCGACUACAAACUAGUUGAGAACGGAUUCCACGUGAUCAACAACUAGUCGGAAUCGACUCCAACUAGUCGGCUUCAUCAACAACCGUCGCGGCUUCACGACGACCGCCACGGCUUCGUCGACAAUCGUCCACGAAUCAAGCUAAGUUACUUUUUUAAUUAUUUUAUAUAAUUUUUUUGGCUUGUUUUCCGCAUGCAGGGCAACGCACCGAGUACUUUUUUGUGUAUGCCUCUCGACGGAAAUUACCCUCUAGAGCUACACUUUGCUAAUUAUUCCUGGGGCAUGUAACCGACAUCCAUGAGCUUGGUACACCAAGUUACGGAGGCUAUAGCCACGGGUUUUGUGCACUAAGUUCUGGAAGCUCCGCCAGCAGGUUUGGUACAUCGAAUUUCAUAGGCUACGGCCACGGGUUUGGUGCACUGAGUGCUGGAGGCUCGCAGCGGCUGCACUCUAAGGAGGUACAAAUCCUAUGCGCAGCAACACGUGCUCUCCUCGCUAAAAAGGCAAAAAAGUCUCAAUAACUACUUUACGCGUAAUCGCGCAGUUUUUUGUCGCAAUCCCGACUACUUAUUUUAAACGUCUUCUCUUAGCGGUUGUUAAUCUAUUCGAGCAGAACAUGCCUCAAUUCGUGAAAGUCUCUGAUCUUCUGUCAUGCCUAAACACUAGGACGUGAGACAAAGAUCUCCAUAGCAGCAGUGUCAGUAUGCGUACACGAGAUAAAGAUCUUACACGCAGUAACAAAUGGCUAAAUAGAGAAUGGGAAUCUAAAUGUAACAGACUAACUACUCGGGAAAAUAUGACCAAAACAAGAGCAUGACACACAAUAUUUACACUACAUUCAUCACUAAAUAAAUUUUAGUAGUUCCAAAUUCUACAAAUGUGCUACAUAAUGUAUGUAUCUCUUUUUGCAGGUCAAACUUUGGCGACAACUCUCCAGAACACUCAACGUACCUCCAAUGGCUCCGCUAGCUCCCAGCUCGAGAGCUAAGUGCCAAUUACUACUCGGAAUACCUCCGAUAGCUCCACUAGCUCUCAAGCUCGGGGGCUAAGCGCCAAAUAACUACUCAACGUGGCUCCUACGGCUCACCUAGCGCAUAAGCUCGAGGACUAGACGCCAAAAAAACUACUCAAAAGAUGAUUGGUGUGAAGACUAAAGCUCGCUGGACCCUUGGAUUGAUUAAUUAAUCAUUCCAAGGCUCAGGGGCUAAUUAACUACACCCAACAGUUGUUUUUUUUCAAAACAAAGGUAGAAGAUUCAAGAUUUUAUUGACCUUCAGGCUGAUUCUUCGAUUCAACUUAAGGCUCGGGGGGCAAUCCAUAUGGAGUGCGACUUUCACCGCCCUCCAUAUCACAUUUCAACAAUGAAGAUUGCAAAAUCAAGACGAUCAAGGGCUUGAGCGCACCAUAGCCUCAUACAACUUUGAGGAACUUUGAAGAUUCAACCAGAUAAAAUACUCGAGUAGCACUAAACUACUCGGCGAGGAUCUGAAAAGUAGUCGAAGACUACUGCAUUCGACUAUGAAGCGCUUGGGGGCUUGUCGGGGAUAGAUCCCUAAUAACCGCAAGGAAGGAAGAAGACGGACUCCUAUUAGGAUUGCUCUGCAAUCCUACUAGGACUCAUACCAUAUAAUCCUAUUAGGACUUCUCCUUAUAACCGACUAGUAAUCUCGCCCUCUGGAGUAUAUAAAGGAGGGCAGGGGUCCCUAGAUCGGUAGGCCAAAACCUCAUAGAACUACAACAGAGGAUCAAAUCUUCAACACCAAACAACACCCAAGUGCAGAGCGCAAUAUACAAUACCCCAAACAGGACGUAGGCUAUUACGCUACUCUAGCGGCUCGAACCUGUAUAAAUCCAUAUCUUGUGUCCUCACUUUUACCUUUGAGUUUCAGGUCCGACAAUACCCUACCAACCAAUCUACUAUCUUGGGAUACCCUCGAUAGGUUGCCGAGUAUAAAACACCGACACGUCGCUCAUGGCCCCAAAGCCUUGCAGGGGCCCUUAAUCAUAUGCUUAAUCCUGUAAUUAUCAUGUGCUUUGGAGAGAAAUUAAUAUUGCACAUAGUGAGAAAUUAACAUUGCACAUAGUGAGAAAGAUGCAUGCAUGCCUCUGCUUAUUAAGAGUUGAGAUGAUAUAUACCUUAACAUACUAUCAUAAUGAUAAAAUGGUGAAGCUUAACUAGCCAACCUUAACAAAGUAGCCUAAUGUAUUUUUAAAUGAGCUUAAUGUAAAACCUGGAGCAGUGUGCUAGUGAACAAACUUUGUAAAACUGAAAACAAAUUCUCAAAAUGAAAUGUUUCAAUAUUACCACCUUUUAGUCUAAACUAAGUUUAGCUCAUCUUUAUGUUCUUCUACAAAUAUAUAUACUCACUGGCGAUGCAACGAUCUAGAAAUUAAUAAAACUUCCUUUAUUGCACUGACAACUUCAAGAACGCAAUUUUCACUUCCUAUAUAUUUUUCCUAUCUUGAAUCUACAUAGCCUGGUAAUAGAUGAAACGAUCAUACCACUCAUGUGGAUUUGAUAUGGCUUUACUUAUGCAUGUGAUUCUGCUACCAUUCAACAAAACAUAUGUAGUCAGGAUUUUUCUUAAAAGGAUAAGAAUAAACAAGCAUUAUUUCCAUGGGACCUAACUCCAUCCAUGGCAAUCGGCACAGGACCUCUCAAACGCUAGGGUUGGCCCUAAAAAAUUGAUUAUAAGAAUGCUACAAACCGUUGAAAAAUUUUGUUGAUCGAGUCUUUGUAGCUGAGCUGCAGCGCCUAAUAACUGGUGAACGAGCAAGGGAGUUAUGAGACGACUCUGAUGAGACAGCAAAUGUAAAGUCGAUCGGCAUGGAACAGUGCAUUCGAAAUCUCGAAAUCUGCCGCGCAUAUGUGUCCCUCUCUCUGAUUAUUUCCUCUGCCGGCCUCUCCUUUCAGUCCAAUCCAAGGAGUAUCUCUUCUUGCUGGCGUCAGUACUUCGGCCUUCCCUCGGCUCCCCGCCGACGGCCUUCAUGGCCUCACCUGCCAUCUCCCCAUCUGCUCGUCUCAUGCAACGCGCUGCUGCACGGCCGCCGUGACCGUGAGGCUCUGCACCGGGCACCAACUAAGCCCAGAAACGUGUCGAUGUCUAGUCUACUCUGAUAUCAUCGGAGACCGGCGGCACACGUGCUGGUGUGCUACGCAUGCGCAGACCGCGACACCGCGUGGCCGGGCGACGACGCGCACGCGCGCUAGCUGCUGCUGCCGCAGCGAUUCUGCUCUCCAGCUGCUAGUCCAUGUCCAUGUACGCAUGCAUGCGGCCACACGGCUCGCUUCCACAUGUGUGCGCUCUCGAUCGGCCGCCGCUCGUCCCCCGGCCCCCGGGGCCCGGGCCGCCUAGUUACCUCCGGUGAGGCGGUGACAUUGCCCAAACUCGCAUGCGUAAUUGCGUAUCAUUGCAUGAUUGCGUCGACGACGACCAUGCCCAAACUCGACAGGAUUUAGAUCUAUACAAGCGACCUUCUACCUAUCGCGGAUAAGCCCCCUGAUCAUGCGUACAUGACCACUUGGCGCAUGUGCAAAUCUGCGAUGCGAUCGGUAUGCCAAAGAACAACGCGUCCAAAUUUGAAACUUUUUCAGUUAGGGGGGGGGGGGGGGGGGGGGGGGGGGCGGGGCAAGUGUAGUAAACGGCCAAAUUUAACAAGAACAACGCUCUAGAAGGUAGAGGUAGGCACCUGGGAUGGGGGUUGUUCUUGAUGGACUUCUGCCCGUACUUCCUCCACUUGUACCCGUCGCUCGGCGUCUUGCCGCCGCAGCUCCUCACCUUGGUCGUGUACUUGCUCUCCGGCGCCGCCCGGCUCGCCGCUCCGAACCUGCCACUUCAAUUCCAUCCAAAAAGCCAUGCGCGGAUCAUUCAUCAUCAGCCUCCUUGUUGCGUCAGGAAUUAUACUGGUCCAUGGAUACACGGAUCGGAUGCACCUACAGAUGCAUCGUGCUGUAGCGGCGGCUGCUCCAGGGGUAGGGCCGCGACGUCGACAGCGCCUUCUCGAUGUCCCGGAUCGUCGGCCCGGUGUACACGGAGCACAGGGCCCUGCUCACCGCCUCCGGCUGCGGCAGCACCUCCUCCCGCUCGGCCCCGCCGCCGCCGCUGUUGCACGGCGCGGGAGCAGCCGGCGACGACGACGCCCCCGUGUUGUCACGCGAGCAGGGCUCCGCGUCGCCGCCCGCGGGGGCCUGCUGCAGGGCGCCCAGGAGGAGGCUUUCGUCGCUGAGGAGCUCGGUUAUGAGCUGCUCGUCGAUCUCGCCGGGCCAGAGCGGCGCCACGUCGCCGGGGCCGGCCUGAGGGUGCAGCACAUCCCCCAUCAAGUGCCGGUCGGGAACUAGCAACAACCCGUGUACGGGGACGGAGUAAUGGGACGGGAGGCUUUUAUAGAGACGUAUGCUGUGGAUCCAUCCACGAUGCUUUUGGUUGACACAGUGGGCAGCUAUCCGUUUCAAAUUGUAGAUUAUUUUAAUUUUUCUAAGUUUAUAGAUACUGUUAUGUCUAGAUAUAUCUAUAUCUAGAUAUAUAGCAACACCUAUAAACCAAAGAAGCUAAAACGACCUACAUUUUGAAACGAAGGGAGUAGCCUGCACGGUUAGGUAUGACUAAUUAGAACAGCCUACCUGUUAAUUGCAACUCUUCUUCACCGAAAAAGAGCUUCGAUUUGAUAUCCUGAUGGUAACUGAACUGGCCUGAAUCCCAAAGACAGCUUAGAUUUUGUAAAACAUUACAAACGGCGAUAUUACCUUCCGGACCUUCUGAAAAAUUGGAUCGAUUCAGUCGACAGUUCGUAGUCAUCCGAACUCAAUCGGAUGGGCGUUGUUGUUGAUUUGUCUCUAAUGAUCCCUCCAAAUACAACAUUUGUCCACUCAUCCGUCUCUAGCAGUGUCCCCGCUGCCCCCCCUGCUAGCAUUUCCUUUCCGUUUUGCGGCUCCCUCGCCACCGACGCCACUCAUCGGCUGUUCUCCAUCCCAUCCACCCCUAUUCGUCGUCUUCGAUGGGUACUAGAAUAGUAGAAUCCAGCAAGAUAUUUGCUGAAGAAGCCCGAGCCCCAACUAUCUCCACUUACUUCUUGGUCGCUUUGUCGGCAUUCGUUUGACCAGGACCUAAACUUAAAAAAGGAAAUCAGUAGGAGGUUGGACAGAACACAGAAGAAAUAGAAGCAGAUUUGAGGGCCUGUUUGGCUCACCAGUGUUAAAGUUUAACACCCGUCACAUCGGAUGUUUGAAUGCUAAUUAGGAGUAUUAAAUAUAGGUUAAUUACAAAACUAAUUGCACAGAUGGAGUGUAAUUCGCGAGACGAAUCUAUUAAGCCUAAUUAGUACAUGAUUUGACAAUGUGGUGCUACAGUAACCAUUUGCUAAUGAUGGAUUAAUUAGGCUUAAUAGAUUCGUCUCGUGAAUUAGCAUAGGAUUCUGCAAUUAGUUUUAUAAUUAGCUCAUAUUUAGUUCUCCUAAUUAGCAUCCGAACAUUCGAUGUGACACUGUUAAAGUUUAACACCUCAUAUCCAAACACCCCCCCUGCGUGAUAAAACUUUAUCAUGUCUGAAAAGUCUGAACCGGCGCGCCUGCCUUUUUCGUUUUCAUCCCACAACCCCCCUGCGUGAGGUCUGCAUCGUCCAGUUAUUGUACAGAUUAAGAUGCUAAAUGCUCAAAUCAAUCGCUAACGGACGAUAACCACCGCCGUACUGCUAGCCUCGUGUAUUCAUAUUUGGCUACAUAUAAUAUAUAUGCAAGUGCUUAAUUUACAGGUAGGCGAAAUGGGUGCAAAACAACCGUGGCUGCAGAGAGCAGAAAUUGGGAGGACAAAAUCAAGCAGCAAGAAUGUCACAGUUGAAAAAACAAAAGGUCCAGGGCCUGACUGCAGGACCGCGGAAACCUGAGACGUCUCUGUCCCCGCCUCGCGCGCGGCUGCCGUAGCGACGUCCGCCCUCGCCAGCCAUCCCAUCGCCCACCCCUCACCAGACAACCAACCCUGCAGAAAAAGGCCGGCGAAGCGCGGACCAUCAGGCAAAGUAGUAGCCGCCCCCGUUUCUCAGCCGCAGCUUCCUCCGGAUUUCUCAAUUUAAAUCACCAAAUAACUCCGGCGACGCUGACGGCUGUCACCACCACGCGUUGCAAUUUGGAGAUGCGCGGUCCCUGUCACACUUCAUUUCAAAGCCGGGGAAGGCGGGACUACUCGUUCAUCCGCUGCGUCAGAUUACACACGCUUGCCGCUGCUUUUGCUCCGGCGAGGUUUCCGGCAGCGAUUACUCACUCGAGGCUCGAUGUGGCAUUAACGGGCGUGAUGGCCGCAGCUCAACUUGUUCAUACAUGCGUCAAUCACAUAGCCAAAGCCAGCUACAAGCUACCCUUCCGAUUUUAAAUGGAAAAGUGGCAUGCCCUUGCUGAAAGGGAGAUGGCAGCAGGACCGCAGGGCUGCUCUCUUUCGAGGAUCGCUUUGCCGACCGAGGGGAGAACUGUCAGGGAGCUCGAUUUGGUUUUAUUUCUCACAAGAACACAAGAUGUCUACUAUUCCCCUGCAUAUCCAUCACUUCCCGUGUGCAGCAACAGCUUAGCGCAGAGAUUGGUCGAGUGUGUCCAUGGAUUUGAUUUCUUCAGCAAGGUGGGGCAAAUGAGGUGACUGCAGUUGAACAAUGUAUCCGUCGAGCACCUUUCCUGUCAGAGGCGUUGAGAUUUCAGACAUCUUCGUCAGUGUAGAGGUCAAUUCAUUUCGAGGGUCAUAAUAUGGUCGAUUAGGUAGGUGCCUAGGCGGCCAAUUCUACUUCAGUCUCCCCCAAGUCCACCCGGGAUAAGGAGAAACGGACGAGAGACCAAUGGGAGAGUGAACAAAGGACGAGCACCAAGUCCUUGUGGCCUAAUAACUCUGCCCAUCGGCUCAACCGCCGCAAGGAUGUGCUGACAUGAACAACAGAGCGUGAUGGUGCGCGCGUUUAGUCCCGGUCGUUUUUACACAGUGCCGAGAAGAGGGCUCCCAGAAGCCCUGAACACCGGGUAUUUCCUAGGAACCCUGCAUGAGGAGACAGCGAUCCCUGCAAUGUGCAGACCCAACGUGUUCCAAACGGGCACCACGAAUCGCAAACCCUAACAUCUGCUCGAAACAAAAGCUUAACGUGGUUGUCCCGCGCGCGGUACGCGAGUCUGCAUAAAUGCGAUUGCUCUGAAGAUGCACGGCUCACUGUGGGCUGAUGGAGCUGUACUAGGUACGAACACUGACUGAGAGAUGAGAGAACUUGUUAGCCCUUUCACUUUCGAAUUUUUGCCAGGCACCUGACCUUGUCCGGCAACGUUGCCCAGUCAGUCCUCGUUGCCGAGUGUCUCACGGUCACGGAUCGAUUUUUAUUGCCGCCCGCCGGCCAUUGCAGACAGGUUCUUGACCGUGCUGCACGCCUGCACUGCAUGCCCAUACCGAUUCGGCGGAGCCGUGCAUAUCUUCAGGACUCAGGAGCCACCAUGGCCAGGGGUUUCGCUUUCGUCAGAGGACGGAAGCCAGCUUCGCAAAGCUAACGCCUGACAGCUCUUUCUUCUCAGGUACGCGCGGAAGUCGCUGCCGCUCGCUCAGCCCGGCCGGCAGGCUCCUCUGGAGUUGACACCGACGGCGGGGGCGCGAUCAGCGCGAGCGGGUCAACCGCCGAUCGAGAGCGAGACGGUCCCGGUCAUGUCAAUCGGCGUCUCACCGGUGCGCGCCGUUAUGGCGCGACACGGCGACAGGUGCGUCCGCGGCCGUGUAAAAUACUCCGACCUGUAUGGCCCUUUUAGGCUGCUAGCUUGUAGUUAGGAGUUUUUUAUUUCUGUAAGAAAAAGAUGUCGUUAGGAGUUGAUCGGGGAAAGUCAAGGCAUUGGACGGAUCGAUGGAGGCCAUUGGAUGCCGGCAGGACCCUGGGCUGACCUUUUGCCUUGGCACGUGGGUGCUGAGUCCACACACACUUCAAUUCAAGAUAUGCAUCUCGCCUCGUCUCAUGAUCUAGAAAAGAAAGAUCUCACCUUGUAUCUGUAUGAUAUAUCUUUUUGAUACAGGAAAGGCCAAUGCACUAGACAAGACAGUCACAUCUGCUAGGAGCCUAGUUGAGCGUAGAUGAGUAUGACUGUUUGGUCAUACGAAAAGGACUAAACAAUUACUAGGUUCCAACUUUGCUUGUCGUUCCUGAAGUUUAAACUAUGCAUAAUGCAGAUAUUGCAUUCAUGUCUUCUUCUUUUUCUCCCCAUUUUGAGAGAGGGAGAUAUUUCUUUCACGUUCUUUUGGGGUCAAUUUGCUUCAAAGAUGCAAGAUUGGGCUAGGCCAUGGGCCAAGAGACCGAACAAAACGGAAAAGGUCCAUCUGCGGAUAAGGCCCACGUAGGCCCGCGCAGCCGUCUGCGUACGACGAGAGUCAACGCAAUACGCCGCGCCGCAGUUUCUCACACGAGACCACCCGAUCUCCUCCCGAUACGGGACCCACGUGCCCCAGGAAUCCGAGGCGGAGGGGAUCAUUCCAGCAGCUCCAAACCAAGGCCCGCACCCGGUUCACGUGGACCAUCCCGUCCCCACACACGGCAGCUAUCCGGCGGGCGGCGGCGCACCAAGACCGCGACCACGCCGUGUGGUGGGGUCGUGGAUAGGGACGGCGCUGAAGCCGGGGACCCCACCGUAUUCGGUCUCCCAUCACUACCCGUACACCUGGCACGCCUAACACCCCAAGUAACGCAGUGGAAUCCAAUGCGGCAUGUGCACCGCUCUUACACAAAGACCCCCGCAAACAAAGUCUACUCGCAGAAACCACCUCCUCUUGUGGUCCAAGAAGGACGGUUCCGUGAUAUCUUAAAGUACAGGUGCUUGAUCGAAAUAGUUUUAAAUCGAAACAGUGCGUCGCGGCUUCCCGCCCAUCGGCGCGGGUUUUCCCGCUUAAUUCCGCCCCCUGGAUCCGACGGCGCCGGACCCGCCACAUCAGCGAUCCCUGCCCGCCUUGCGCAGCACGGAGCCGUCCAGUUCCGUCCUUCGGAAGCCUGAUCCUCCCGCCGCAGCCGCCUCUCCUUUAUUUGCUCCGCCGGCCGCGUCUCUUCCCUCCCAAUCCCGCGUUUCAAAACUAGGAAAGGAAAUUUCUUCUCCCCCCGAAAAAUCCCCCAAUGGAGAGCAGCGUGGAGACUGCGGCGGCGGCGGCUCUGGUGGUGGGCGGCGGAGGGUACGGCUGCGGCGGGUGGGAGACGCCGAAGCGGGAGGAGUGCCGCAUCCCGGCGACGCUCCCCUGCCCCGCGGCGCCGAGGAAGGCCGUGCCGGACUUCGGGAAGCGGCGGAGCCCGCCCAAGAACGGCUACUUCCAGCCGCCGGACCUGGAGGCGCUCUUCGCGCUCGCGCCGCGCCGCCAGGCCUCCUCCUGCGCGUGACUUCGCCGCGGCGGCGGGGAAGUCCUCUGUUCUAGAUUGAUUUUGGGAGCUGUAGAUACUUUGCCACUUUUCUCCUCUGUUGUACUCUAGGGUUCAGUAGCGGGCGGAUUAGAGGAUCGGUAGGAGGGCUUUAGGGAGUAGUAGGUAGGUAGGUGGUGGAUGCUUGAGAUGAGAGCUCAUAAGCAUACUGUUUUGUAUUGGUUCAGAUGAUGAAAUCCUCAAAUGUUUCUUGCCACCUCUGCCUCUCUGAAUGUUGGAGUCACUGGCCCUUUAUGUGAUUGAGAUGUUGUAGUGGAUGUUCACUAAUACCUGCAACUUCUGUGGCGGUGAUUGCGGCGGCUCGAGGAAUGCGGUGGCGCUGUUGCUCCCGCUCAGUUCCACGGCCCUGAAUGAAUAUGCAGGGGAGGGUCACUGUCUGCAUGCAGUUCUUUGCUUCACUUGUAUGCGCGGCAUCUGAUCUGAGCACCUAGGAUACUAGUGGUGAUGUUGAUCGGUGGGCAGGUUGUAGCUUGAAGCUUCGAAAAUCCUCUCCUGUAUGCUUCAUCGCUACUGCUGCAGUCUUCUCCUGCUAAAUCGAUGCCAGGAACAGUAAUCUUAAUGGAAAGUUAGAAACAGUAAUCCGUGCAGGUGAAAUGAUGUUAAGAACUGUUCCUCGCAGCUGUAGUAGUAGUAGUGUAGUACAUGAACUGGAACUCUGGAAGGCAUUAACACAACCGAGAGGGAAGCUGUGGUCUCGAAUCCGGCCGCAGUUAUUGUGGCUGCGGGAGCCGGGAGGGAGCCCCUGCGGCGCGAUGUGGGCUUCGCAUUCGCCUGCCUCCUCGGCGCAUUGCAAUGUAUGUGGCCGGCCCGUGUGUGUGAGUGUGACUAGUGUCAGGGGGGCUUCAGAGCUCGCUUCUGUGGUCCUGAGCGAUCAUCGCGAGAGGGGGUGACGCGGACGGCUUCCAGAUGCUGUGAACGACGAGCCGACAGGAUAACGCGAGCUCGCCGGGUGGGGGGUGUCUGCUUGUUUGGUGAUCGAUGCGGGCAUGUGUUCGUGUUGUGCUUCGAGGGCGCCGGGCAGUUGCCGGCUCCCGUGUCCCGUGCCGCCCCGUGCCCGUGGUGAUGCGCGCGGGACCAGCUGGUAGUGACUAGUGAGAGGAAGGAGAGCAGUGUACAGAACACACUGUGAUGUGGUGUGAUGAUGCUCCUGCUGCAAGUAUUCUGCAAGUGAGAUUUUAGGUUCACUGCAGUCUCCACCAGAAGUCUAAAAGUUCAAUUCUUUUUCUAGAAAAAACAUACUGCUGUGCUCGUAGAUUGACAUCCAUCCAUACACAUGUUUGCGAUAGGUUGCCAAGUAACUUUCCCGGUUCUCCUUUCCCCAACGACCAACACUCGCGACGUGUAAAAUGUCAGUCGGCUUCUACGACGGAUCGGAGCAGGGCAGGGCACCCUGACGGCAACACGGCACCGACCAAUUAGCCACUAGCCAUGCAAUUUGAUUUCGAUUAAUGCCGAUUAUUUACUACUAUAUUCUGCAACUGAAGCAACAUUCUUCCGUUGCGGCUACCCUGGUUGCAUGAUGACACGACAGGAGUGCAGCUCAAGGGGAGCUUCCAACGCCCAACCACUCCACGACGCCAAACUGCGAGACCAGGGAGAGACCUCAGUAGGUUCAGUCAGAUCCUUUGCCCUGAAGCCAGACAUCAGACACAGUUCGGUGGCAGCAUCACAUCUAAAACCGGCGACACAAAACCACUAAAGUAUUUGUCCCAUCGCAACCAACACUGAUUCGCGCUAAUCUAGUCGUAAUCGCAACCCCCAAAAAGCACAGCGGGUAGCAUUCCUUUUCGGUUCCUCGUUUCUGUUGAGCAGGUAGUAGCAAUUUGCAUAGUUGUACAACAGGCAUAUACAAAGGUUUAGGCCUCGCGGUGCAGAGUGACGCACGUUUGGUAGGAGUUCAGGCAAUGGACUGAACUGAUUUGGCAAAAGAAAUGUUACAAUUGGAGGCAAUAAGUCGUUGCAUUCUCUCUGUUUUUUUUUCUUCUCAAUAAUCUGAUCAUGCUUUUCGCUUUGCUUUAUAUUCACUGCGCAACAAACCCUGUUCUCCUGGAUGACUCUUGCCUCCUCACACUGUCAUGACGUUUUGUGUACUAAGUCGGCUGCGUUUUUCCUCGCAAAAAGAAAAGAAGUCAAGAUUUCAAGCUCUAUCACUCAAUACAUUCCAUUUUUUUUUAUAAAAAAACAUGACUGUGUUGUUAUAAACAUCACUCAAUGCAUAUAACAACAAACCAAAAAUGAAUACUCAAACUCAACACAUGGUUUGCAAGACACUAUUAGUCACACAAAUAUCAGGAAAAUGCUAUUUAUCAGAUGCCUAAUGCUUGAACCAAAAGCAAGUUAGUCUUCUGCAAUUAUAUGUGGCUGGAAAUGCAUGUGCUUCUGUGAAUUACAGGUUGAUUUGAUGGCCAAAAUUUGACUUGCCUCCCAACAAAAUAUAAAGCACCUAACUAUUGUUGUCUUUUGGCAAACUUCGAUUCCAAAGAACAUUGUUCAGGCCUUCAGAGACCCUAAGAAAAAAAUAGAUUAGGUCGAGAAUGGCUUCAUUGGCUUGCGUAAAUAAAGUAGGUUGGACGGAAGCCUAGGUAAUCUAGCAUUUUGGGUUUCCGUGCAGCCUCUUGUAUGUUGCCACGUUGGUCUUUGUUCCAGGUUGGCUGCCAAUUCAUGGGCGAGCUUUUUGGCCGCCCAAAACUCGCCCGCGCAGUACGUUGGUUUUCCUUUGGCGCAGAUUGGCAGGCCAAUCAUGGGUAGCAAAGCAAACGAACGCCAAAUGAUGCGGUCGAGCCAAAAAAUUGGUUUGGCCAGCGUAGGCAUCAAAACAAACCGGCUGGGGCUCUGUUGCACAUUGCCCACUCUGUUGCCGGACUAUGUACAGGAAGCGCGUAAUGCCUACAGCUUUUCAACUAACAGGAGCCUAUAACUGCUGGACUUGGCUAACCAACGUGAUCUCCUAGGAUUGAAUUAGUCAAACUACUAUGGUUGGAGUCUGGAGAUAUCUCACAGUGUACGGUAUGGGAGAUCCUCAGGUUGGCAGUGGCACACCUCAAAACAUUGGAUGCGGUGCUUCACUCAACUAUAUGCCAUGGCACGCCCGCCAUUGAUCCCUGACUUUAAGGGCUUCCCUAGAUUACGAAGCCAAACACGAGCUGUUAAUUCAGGUGGUUGUCGUAACCACAAGAUACGAGCAUGUCACUGUAAAUCCACCUGAGGAAAAAAGGCCGCCAGAUUGCUUGGCCAAUCAGUUUGUGCUAGAUGAUCGGAUAAAAUCAAAUGAGAAAUCGGUCCGUUAGCUCCACUUCAACAAACACACAGCUCUAAGCAACGUAACGGCGCUGUUUUGGCUACCUUACCUUGUUUAUGUUCAGACACUGGUCUUAUUAAACAAGCCCCAUAUCGCCACGAAGAAAAGGCAGAAAGGCAUGCAUGUUUAUAAGAUUGACGCAGCGGGGCCAUGGGAUUGACGCAGCGGGGCCAUGGUUAGCUUCAAAGUCCCACAAAAACACAAAGUAAUGGACAAAGUAAAAGGGGCAUGCAAAAGGAGGGGUAAACAGUGCUGGGAGUUGAUCUGUGGUGACAUUAGGAGUUCCUUGCAAGCUGACAGAAAAGGUCAACUUAAAGCGAGUGUUCCAUGUUCCAAUUAGGAAUUGAUAUUUCACCUUCUUGGAGUAAUGUCCUCUCCAAAAUAUUUAACCUUCCACCAUGCAACGCUAGUACAUAAGAAUUGCUUAAUCAGUGAAAAAUGAACUGGGAAUUACUGUCCGGAACUGAAACAUGCAUAUCUGUCCUGAGUUCAUUAAAUUUGUCUGUGUCUUAGUGUAAUCACCAAAGUUAUUUCAAAAAAUAGUGUAAUCAUAAAAAACAGGUCACUUACUUAUGCAUAGGCUUAUGUUUUAAUUUUCAGGACAACUGCACAGUGUUUUAUUAGAAACUGAAAAGGGAAUGAACAGGCUUCACCUCAACCAAACCCACAGGUGACAUGCCCAUACCAUACGGGGCCUGGCCCUGCCGGAGCUAAAGGAGGAGCAACGAGUGGCCCAUCUUCAAGUUUUUCUAUUUGCUUCCACCAACUAGCAGGGCCAACCACCACCGCGCUGUGACCUCCCACCAUGCAGGCCACGAACCCCGCCGGCGGCCAUCAUGGCGCCUAUAUAGACCGGGCACUCAUUCGCUACCGAAGUGUGCACCACUUCACUUGCUUCGAAGCGCAAACACACAAAAGGGCGCAGCGGAGGUUGUCACCAGGAUGGGCGCUCGUCAUGGUCUCCGGCGAGGGCAUGCCGCCGCCGCCUCCACAUGCCCCUUCCUCGCCUUCGCCGUCCUCCUCGCCUUGCCGGCCCUCGCAGCCGGCGACACCCACUACUACACGUUCAACGUGCGUGCAAGUGUACAACUAGUAGCGCACGAGCAUUGGAUCGUGCAAUCUUGUGCUCGCAAGUUCUCGAUCAUUAAUUGGUGUCCCGUGUACACUCAUGCAUGGUUUCGGUUUUCUGCAGGUGCAAAUGACGAACGUGACACGGCUGUGCGUGACCAAGAGCAUCCCGACGGUGAACGGGAAGUUCCCGGGGCCGAAGCUGGUCGUGCGGGAAGGCGACCGCCUCGUGGUCAAGGUCCACAACCACAUCAACUACAACGUCUCGUUCCACUGGUAAGAUCACACCAAAGAUCGGUGCGCUCCUUGCCGUUUGCCGGCGGCUCACCUGCGUGGAUGGAAUGCGCGCGCAUGCAGGCACGGCGUCCGGCAGCUGCGCAACGGGUGGGCGGACGGGCCGUCGUACAUCACGCAGUGCCCGAUCCAGGGCGGGCAGAGCUACACGUACGACUUCACCAUCACGGGACAGCGGGGCACGCUGUGGUGGCACGCGCACUUCUCCUGGCUGCGCGUCCACCUCUAUGGCCCGCUCGUCAUCCUGCCCAAGCGCGCCGAGGGAUACCCGUUCCCGCGACCAUACAAGGAGGUGCCCAUCCUCUUCGGUAAUGCAUCUUCCCUCCCCCGGUGGCCUCAUCUGUCAUCUCCAAUUCUCCAUGGAUUAACUUGAGCCCUUGGCAAUGCCAUGAUGAUGAAUUUGGCAGGUGAAUGGUUCAACGGCGACACGGAGGCGAUCAUCAACCAGGCCCUGCAGACUGGCGGCGGGCCAAAUGUCUCCGACGCCUACACCUUCAAUGGGCUUCCAGGCCCAACAUAUAACUGCUCAGCCCAAGGUACAUUUAAAUCCUCUCUCUCAAUCAAGAAAAAGAAUUCUAAAUCCUGGAUUCAUGUAAUCGUGUUGUUGGUUCAAAGUGAUUGUAACGAAUCUAUCUAUUAUCUUAAUAUAAUAAUAUUAAAAAAAUCACCACGUUCACCGAGAAGGUUUUAAAAUUCCCACAUUAAUUUAAAAAAUAAGAAUACACACCGUUAGAUUUUAUGAAGACGGCCUAGACUAUCAAAGAGUCCAAAAUAUGACUAAUAAAUAUAUAUAAACUUGGAAUAUUUAAAAAUCUACUUUCCUUUCCUUUCCUAACUUAAUACGUGUCUUGCUUGACAUGUGCCCACGUUAAAAAAACGUAUAAUCAUCCGUUAUUUGAUUCAAUAACGUCAUCUUGCCGUAGCAGAAAAAAGAAAGAAAGAAAACAGGUAGAGUCCGAAGCUUAUAACGGAAAGGUACGGCCCUUUAGAGUUAAAAAAAGAAGAAGAAAGACUUGGUUUCUUUAUUUCCCAUAUAUGUACGUCAUCUUGCCGUAGCAGAAAAAAGAAAAAAAGAAAACAGGUUGAGUGCGAAGCUUAUAACGGAAGGGUACGGCCCUUUAGAGUUAAAAAAGAAGAAGAAGAAAGACUCGGUUUCUUUAUUUCCCAUAUAUGUAGCAUGUUAAAGUGUCCAUUGUAUCAAAAGAAGCAACAAGUGAAAGUCAUGUAAAACCAUAUAUGUUCGUGCGCACCAGACAAAGGUCAACCAUGGAACGAACUUAUAGCUGCGACACGUAUAUCCACCUAAGAAGAUUUGUGGAUAGUUAUGAUGUAAACUUUUUUUUUAUUUCCGACCUGUUUAAUCCACUCCCACGGGGAGUUGAAUUCAGACCUACUUGGUGCUACUUAGGUGCUCUAACCACUAGACUAGAGGCCCUUUCGCUAUUUAUGAUGUAAAUUGAUAAAUUGUUCAUAAAGAGAGUGAAAAGAAAAAAAAUAGACACGAUUGGAUUUUAUAACAAAGAUCCCAUGUAAAUUGCCAUGUUAAUAAUAAAGAAAAGGAAAUAUAUGUACCACUGACUCGACUAAUUAUUCUGAUACAAGAAUAAAGUGCAACAAUGCAGAGGAAAAAACGUGAGAUGAGGGCUUGCAUCAUUAACUAUAAUGCAUUGAGAAACUAGUAUAGCAACAGGAAGAUGGAAGGAGAUGACACGAUGGGACUGUGGGGACUGCAAGAUGGCCAGACGAAGAGCAACACAAGACCUCGCACUAUGAGGACCAACAACAUGAGAUCCGUCAAAGUGGUAGCCAUGUAGCAUAGUCCCACGUGGUAUACAUGCUGGCCAUGAAUAGUAAGACAAACAAUUCCAUAAUAUAACAUGAUCACGACAUCUUGCAUACAUACGCUGACCACGCCAUACAUACGCUGCACGCGUCUAAAGAAUGUGAAAUCAAGGUGACUGGAAUGCUCAUAGGUGAAGUGGUCAACGAUGAAAAAAAUCGCUAGAGUGCUGCCACGCUGGAGCUAGAUAUAAAGCAUCUUGAGGAACAAGAUGAUGCUCCUACAUAUGGUGUAUAAGAGACUAGAGCAAAUUAGUGUUCACAACACGAAGAGGAGUCAAAGAGAUCUACCAUGACCAAGAUUUCUACUUUAGCGUCUGUCCUACAAAUGAUAAGUAGAACAUAUGUGAUAAACCGGAAAGAGCAGGUGAAGCACCAGACAGAACGUGACACGAGACAAUUUUUGAAUUAUAGAAUUUUUUGUACAAGCAUAGAAACAAUAAAUGACUCUAAAAGCUAGGAGGCUAAUCGAAAUUAAAGAUCCAUAUGAGUCCAAACAAACAAACAAUAGCAUUAAGUAAAAUGAGUAUUUUUAUUUUUAUAAGGACAUAUUGCUUUAAACUAAAAUAACUAAAUAAGAGUGUCGUAAAAUAGAUAUAAAUAAAUACUUUAGGUUUUUGUAAAAAAAACUAAAUGGAUCAGAUCGGUAUGCAGUUAGAUUUCACAACAUAUUGGGAAGAAAAAAACUAAACAAAGAACUAAUAUAAAAUCUAAUUCAUCCUAACUAAAUUUGAUAUUAUAAAUAGAAAAAGAAUCUAUAUUAAAUACAAUAUAUAGUACAAGAAAAUGUAUAAGAUAUUGGCGAUAGAAGGAGAAAUUUGCAGGAGUCAUAAUCUAAUGUUUAAGGUUCGUUCUUAAUUGUCAAAACUGAGGACACCCAAUUUGAAUCUAUGCUAUAAAUUUGCAUUACAAGAUUAAAAAAACUAUUACUUUUGAUAAACAAGAAAACAUACCAGUUGUCUAGACCAUUUGGUUAAAAUGAUGAUGAUAAAAUAAAAAAAUCAUUUGAAUAAAUUUAUUUCUAAAUUAAAUACGAGCUUAAAUGUACCGCGCUAUUUGCGUGGGCCAUCUUGCCAGUUGCUUCACGACUUGUGUGCCACAGACACGUACAAGCUGAAGGUGCAGCCCGGGAGGACGUACAUGCUCCGGCUCAUCAACUCGGCGCUCAACGACGAGCUCUUCUUCGCAAUCGCCAACCACACCCUCACCGUCGUGGAGGCGGACGCCAACUACGUGAAGCCGUUCACCGUCCAGACGCUCGUCAUCUCGCCGGGUCAGACCAUGAACGUUCUCCUAACGACGGCCCCGAACCCAGCCUCCCCGGCGUACGCCAUGGCCAUCUCGCCCUACACCAACACCCAGGGCACGUUCGACAACACCACCGCCGCGGCCGUCCUCGAGUACGCACCGACGCCGGCCGCCGCCGCCAGGAGCCUCCCCCUUCCGGCCCUCCCUCUCUACAACGACACCGGCGCGGUGACCAACUUCUCCCGCAACUUCCGCAGCCUGGCCAGCGCGCAGUACCCGGCGCGCGUGCCGCUGGCGGUGGACAGGCACCUGCUCUUCACCGUCGGCCUGGGCACGGACCCGUGCCCGUCCAACCAGACGUGCCAGGGCCCCAACGGCACCAAGUUCGCGGCGUCCAUCAACAACAACUCCUUCUUCCGGCCCCGGAGCGCGCUCCUAGAGGCGCACUACCAGCGGCGCUACGCCGGCGUACUGCUGGCCAACUUCCCCACGACGCCGCCGCACCCCUUCAACUACACGGGCACGCCGCCCAACAACACGUUCGUGCAGCACGGCACCCGGGUGGUGCCGCUCAGGUUCAACACCUCCGUGGAGCUGGUGCUGCAGGGGACCAGCAUCCAGGGCGCCGAGAGCCACCCGCUGCACCUGCACGGCUACGACUUCUUCGUCGUCGGCCAGGGGUUCGGCAACUUCGACCCCGUGAACGACCCGCCCACGUACAACCUCGCCGAUCCCGUCGAGCGGAACACCAUCAGCGUGCCCACCGCCGGUUGGGUUGCCAUCCGGUUCUUCGCCGACAACCCGGGUAAUCGACCGAUUGACUUUUCAGCUUGGAUUUGACUUUUGUUGACCGUGCUGCGACUAACGUUGACUCCGGUUGCAUGUGUGGCAGGGGUGUGGCUCAUGCAUUGCCACUUCGACGUUCACUUGAGCUGGGGCCUGUCCAUGGCGUGGCUCGUCAACGACGGCCCGCUGCCGAAUCAGAAGAUGCUACCCCCGCCGUCCGAUCUCCCGAAAUGCUGAUGACUGAUCGAAUCGACUGCCGUCGUCUGAUCCUUUAUUGUCGGAGGGGCGUAGGUGGGCAUUUCCGGAAGGUUUUGGUGCAUGUCUGCGUAUUUUUCUUACCACGUUUGAAACAAUUCGGUUUGGACUAUUUAAUUGCUGUGUGCCGAUUUUGUGGCAAGUGUUUGGGGUUUCGCUCUCCGCCUAAACCCUCUUUUGAAACAGAAUAAGAUGUAACAAUGUUGCUUCUGCUGUUAAUCUUUUGUUUUUAACCAAUUUCUGAACAUUCAGCGUUGCUCUGUGCACACGCUCGAAAGCAAUGAUGUCAGUAUGUAAACCUGUAAUGACUUAUUUUUAUACUACCUUAAUCUGGUGCCAAUUUUCCCCCUAUAUAUCUCUGUACAUCAUUCAGUACUGAAUUCAUCUGGCACAGGAAAGUUUCAUGCAUGCGCUGAUGCACCUGGCCGUAGUAUUUUAUUGGUCACCUACCACAAUGGCACUAACUGAACAAUUGGAAUACAUGAACAUCAUGCAACUGGAAUAGCAUGUGUGGCAAAUUGCCAAUGCGAGUCUACCGUUUCAGUAUAACAGCUAGCUCAAGAAGCUACAGUGUAUGGGACCAUUAGCUAACACACACCUUGUCUCGUAGUGCAUAGCGGUACAAAAACUACUGAACUUGUUUAUACAGGCCCCAUCAGUCUACUGCCAUUGUCGUUAGUCGCUACUGUAGCCUCUAUGCCGCAUUUAUGUUCCGGAAGACGGCUCAACAUGUUACUCGCCGUAAACCCCCUCACUAAAUUACAAAUUUGGGCCUAGUUCGUAGGAUACUCAGCGGACAAAACCUAAUAACACCGUGACAGUGAAAAGCCUACACUGCAUAGUACAAGCACAAAUAGUUUGCAGAGGGAUCACAUGCUCCCCAAGUGACCAACUAGCCGGGAAUCUAGAGCAAAUCAUCAAGCGGCGGUCUGCCUGCGGGCUCUUGACGCUGCCUCCUCGCCUGCCAUGCUCUAUGCAAGAAGAUUCAGGCCACGUCGGAAGCGUAGGAAUUCGAAGGAACGUGUUCUCCUAGAAAUGAUGAUACACACACUUGAGCGCCAAGGCAAGACGACGAAGAGCCUGAUACGUGCAGGCGUGAUCGAAUAAAGCGGCGAUUCGAUUGGAUGGUUUCACCUAUACUGGCUGCAAUACGCUAAUACCACAGGUCAAAGGAACCUGAUUACCUGAACCAGCCCAACCAACAUUGGCAAUUUCUUCACUUGUUUUCUACGGCAUCAUUACUCGGUGCGUGUGACGCCGGUGUGCACGAGCCCCGUGUCUUUCAGAGCUCACUGACCCGCGGAAGCAACACGAUAUGGCAGACAGGGCUUCGUUGCCCGUCGCUUUUCGGCCAAUAUUCUAAGGCACCGUGGCGCCGCGUGAUCACACACGUGUACCUGCUCGUCGAUCGCACGCAGGGCGGUCGCUUCUCCCCCGGCCCGGCCCGAGAGAAGAGUCAAAAGAGGAGACGCGAAGCACUGCCGAGAAACACCGCCCGAUCACCAGACCUUGUCGUGUCGUCGAUCACGCAGCCAGCAUAGCAGCUGGGGCUCAGAAGCAUUUCUCUCUGCUACGCUAGCUGAUGCACAGUGACACUGUAGAGUGUGCAAUGCUCGCAUCAGGUGGUACAGCACGCGGCUGCUGCGUGCGUGCCCGGGCAAGGCAUGGCAUGUGUAUCCUUCGCGCCCUCUCACGCACGCACUAUACAUUCUGACCCGGGAACGUGUUUGUACACCUGUCACUGGUUACAGAUGCGUACUCGGACAGGAAGCAGCACUGUGCCCCCCUGCCCGGUCUUUUCGCGUGCACGUACGCGCGCGUAGCUUCCUGGUAUUUUUGCCAUAUCGGAGGCCUGCGAAAAACCGACCAGGAGGCUUGCCCUGGUCUCUGAAUUUCUGAAUUCUGAUCGAUGUGAAGAGCGAAAAGACAGGGUUAGCUAGGAUGAAGACUACUGUAGAGGAGUGGCGCACCGACGCGCCGCACAGUGCGUCUGUACGGAAGCAGUUGGUCAGAGAAGGCAGCCAGCUCCACAAAUGGCGCUGAUCGGGAAGGGACAAGCACGUCAGGGAGGCCACCAUCUCCAGCGAAAGAACUCAAAAGUGCAUGCUCGCGGUUUCCAUCUCCUCCGAUGGCUACACACGAGUGGAAGCAAUUAGUCAAUUACCCAUUUUUUGUGCUGGCAAAUCAAAUGUAUAACAGACGAUAUUUGGCCUCUCGUGGGCCAUGCGUGUUCCAUGUUUGACCGGUCCACUCAGAAGCAAACCAUCAUAUCCGUUUGCCCCAAUCUGGCUUUAAUCAUUGAUCAUUCAUCUCUCUCGGCAAGCUCCUCUCAUCCUCUGGCUGGAAUGCUUGCUGGAUCUCCCCAUCCAUCACAUGGCAGACAAUGGCUGUGCCCCAUGCAGCACUCUUCCUCCUCCUCCUCCUUGGACCGGGGGAAAAUAUUGGCUGAUGGGACUAGUUGCGCUGCCAUUUCGGACGAACAGAGCGCCGUUCGAGCCGGGCCGGCCGACCGCGGCGCGCGCAUACGAUGCGAGCCAAGUGCGGUAGUACGCUGUUGUCUUUGUUGACCCGGCCCUGCGCUGUGGCCAGGGUGGCCGACCGCCCGUCCAUCGCCACCUUCCCGAGGCCGAGGACGAGGGGAGGACUGAGCCUCCUCUGCCGCCCCGCCUGUAGCCGAGCCGAGCGAGCGCGGCCGGGAGCGGGGAGCCCCCCUCCCUCCACCACCGGUCCACCGCGCCAGUCUGCCGCCUCGCUGCCGUGCCAGCUCGGUUCGCGCGCUACAGUGUAAAGCUGACGCCGCUCGGCUCGGCCGGGCUGCUGACCCCGCGUCCCCGCCCCACCGCAGCACACGAUAUACCACACGGCUCGUCCGCGCCCCCACCGCCCCACGUACGGGUACGAGCUGAGCCGCGAGCUCCGUCGAACCGGUCGCUCGUGAUGACGGGUGCACUGCCGCUGCCGUGCCGCGCUCAAGAGGAGAAGCGAGCGCUGGCGGCGAGCACGGGCGCGGGUCCGUGCGCGAGAGCGGGGCGAGCCGCGGUGCUAAAAGUUUUGGGGCGCCGCGAGCUUUUGACCUCACGCACGGGCCGCCGCGGGGCCGGCCGGGCGGGGCGCAGGGGCACCAGCUGAUCUGCAGCCCUUCACUGUGCACUGCCCGUGCGUCUCCGUGUGCAACUGUGCAUGUGGGGGUAGCUGCUCCGUGUCUGAAGGUUUGAAGAUGUGCACGCUGCAUGCGCGAGCUCUUGGAGCGUUUGUGGCCUCGCUAGUCAAAUUCACUGCUCACCUUCUACAUAGUGUUGGAAGUGACAGUCACCAAAACCGGCAGGCUUGUCAUUUCUCCAACAGUUUGCUUUGCCCUUGCUGUUUGCUCGCACAAGUUGUCCAAGUACUCGAGAAAAAGAAAAAAAAGAAAAGAUGGAAGGCAGCAAGCGAAGUGAGAAAAUUUGUCCCCAUGGGGGACGAGGGACAUACUGAGUAUAAUAAUAGAAAUGCAGGGCAAGAUAGUAGGGUUCAUUUCGGUGCACCGCCGAUGUCAGAAAGGCUGCAGGAUAGAAAAACUAUAAACGAGUGUGAACUUCGAACAGCAAAACCCCUGCAUACCACGCAUAGAAAAACAUCAAGUGGGUCCUUGUUUGGGGGGUCCCUGCAAGCACACACCAGAGACCACCAGCAGUAGCAGUAGGCAGUAGCACCAAGGCUCCCACUAUAUAACAAGAGCUUCUCAAAUCUCUCAGUUCACUCCCUCACUCACUCCUCUCUAGCAGUCUAGUGAUCAUCUGUUCUCCGUUCCAUCCAUCGUCUUCUUCGGCUGGCCGGCAAGAAGGAAGCGCCUUCCAUUCCAUGGAGCUCUUUGCGGCCGAGGAGAAGUCGAGCAGGCUGUUCAGGAAGAGGGGCGGCGGCGGCGGCAAGGGCGCCAUGGGCGUGCGCGCCGACGGCAGCGGCAAGGGCCGGUCCUUCUCCGGGCGGUGCGCGCGGCUCGUCAAGGAGCAGCGCGCGCGGUUCUACAUCAUGCGCCGCUGCGUCACGAUGCUGGUGUGCUGGCGCGAGUACGCCUGAGCUGAGCUGAGGAGAGCAGGGCCGCCGCAGUGCCGCAUCCAGCUUGGUCGGCUGUCGGAGGAUCAGAUCAACAAGACCGAUCGAUCGCCUCCGUUAGGAAUUAAGAAUCAUGUGUAAAAAGGAGAAUUUUUUUUCCCGGUUUCCUCUCUUGUUUUCAUUUUGCCCUCCAGUUUCUUAAGAGCAGAGCUAUGAGACUACUGCUUGAAUCCGAUGGUCACCGCACUGCGCAUUCUGUUGUGUCCUCGAUGAGAUGUGAUGUGAUCAUGAGAGCGCGUCUAAUGUAGAGGGAAGACUUGUGAAAUUCCGCAGGAGCUGAUAGUGAUAGCUUGUUGCGUCUGCUGAUCUGCUCCCAAGUCCCAAGUCCCAACCCAUGUGUUGGCUCCUCCAUGCGGCGAUUCCUCAUCGGAGUGCGGCACUGCGGCGAGACGUUUAGUACUACCGGACUGUUGCUCUGCUCGUUCUUUACGCCCUUUUAUUUGUAAUCCGUGUAAUCCUGAAAAGCAGCCGGAACGUUAGUACAUUACCACCACUACUGACUGGCAAUUGUGUCCGAUCACUGAUCACCAUUUCUCACAGCUGAAUCAGCUACAAUAGUUACAGUUACUGCACUCGAGUGCUGGGCCAGUUGUGGAUGCUGCAUCUGUAUGCAUGCAUGCUCGAUAGCGUUCCCUUGGUGCUGCCUUGGAGGGUUUUACGGGUAUUUUCAGGAGUUACUGUAACGUAACAGUAAUAUGUAGUAGAAGAGAGGGCGGCCGUUACUGCUCCACGACCAUUCUGCGCCGGGAAGACGUUGCUGGCGGACUCCCGAGGCCGGGGUGUGCUGACGCGCUGCAUAAUUUACUCCCAAAACGACGCCUCCGUAUCUGAGCGCCCCUGUGCCCCGCUGUGGACUGCACGCCAUCGCUCGCCUCCCACUUGGACCAAUUGGUCGCGCAGUGUAUUUCCAAUCCCUCUCACACACUCUCUCUCUCAGGCCUCGGUCUCGUCCAUGUACGAUACGAGCAAACAGGCUACUACGACCUCUACUCCACAGUCGUCUACGACUACCCCAAGCAUCGCAACCCACUGUUCAUCCAGGCUUCCAACAUUAACUGAAGCAGUAAGCACCAACGUUCUUGUGGUGACUGCUAUGACCUCUGUCGUCGGCAGGUGAAAUGCAUUUCUUGGGAGGUCUAGCUGUGACCUACGCGUAUAGAUUACUGCGCCAUUUUUCGCAUCCCUGCCAUGCACAUUCCCCUGCCCAUGCUUCUCCCCCUCUUUGCUCUGCUCCUCACCCUUAAACUAACAACGCUUCGCUGCUCCUCUUACGUCGGAUCGGAGCUGAUUCAUUUCAGCGCCCCCCCAGCAAGGCCAGCAUCGAUCGAUCGGCGCUGAAGAUGCCAGCCAGGGGACCCAUACGCUCGCUGCCACGCUACGAACGCUUGCAUACAGUGCAGCGCAGGGAUCAUCAGCACCCGCGCGCAGCGCAGUGGCAGUGGUCCUGCGGCCGAUCGAUCGAUCCCUGCCUAUGGGGUGAGUCCUCGCUCCCUAGGCCUUGGGCCUUGGCAGGUAACCGGGUGUAAGCCAGCACAGGGCGCGCGGCGGCAGGACCCCCCACCCACCCGCCGCGCACUGCCUCGAUGCAAAGUGCGCAGAGCUCAGCACGGCCGCCUGCAUACGGCUUCUGGAUGGAUGCCUCUGUGGCGUGUACCACAAAGCCGGUCCUUCCGGAGAGUUCAUCCAUAUCCGACAUCUGUACUACUGUUCGGGUGCAAGCGUGUCGAUGAUUUUUUUUCUUUUUUCCUUUUUCUGAAUGAUUAGUGUUUUAAAGAGUUUUCGGGAACAGCCACCAAUUGCAGAUCGUAUGCAUGUAUGUGCAAAUAUUUUUUUAUGAGCUUAAUAAGUCCUGCUCAUGUUCCGGCCGUCGGCCGCCUCUCUCCUUUAUUACUCGUUUCAAAAAAAAAAGGUCCUGCUCAUUUGAAAUGAAUACAGCUCUUCUGCCUCUGUUGAGAAAAAAAAGAAUUGUGCAGAGAAUCAGCUAAGCGCCUAAGCAGCAUCACGCUCCACUAUACUAUUACUCUACUAGUUUAGCUUUACACCUACACGCACACCUCAUCUGAUCAAAACGAGUGCCGAAUUGACACGAGCAUUGCCCACAAUGUUCCCCCUAUUUUUAGGGGGAAAAAAACUUCACUGCACAAAGGAAGGCCUGCAAGUGAAGCCUAUGCGUCUCUAGCAACGAAGGAUUUAGGGACACAUGCUUCCCACACAAUCGGGUCUCCUGAACCCCUUUCUCUGCCCGUGCCCGAGGAGCUCGCCGAGGAAGAAGCAGAACAGGAAUAGAGGAUCGAUCUCCUCUUUCAAGGUAAUUUCAUUGCUUGAUCGGGUGCCGCUUUCACAUCUGCGUGUGUUUUGAAUUUUGUUUUUGUUUUUCUUUGAAGCGUGUUCUAUUCUGAAUCCUUAACUGAGGGCAUGCCUGCCUGACUAUCUGUGUCAGAUGAAGAUGAGCCGUUGGUAUUACGGAGUAUUUGAUAACUGAACGAGCAGCGGAAAGAAAAGAAUCUGACUGGAAAGCAGUUUCUGUACCAUAGUUAGUACUCCGUAUUACUGUAACCCUGAAAGAGUUACUGAAGCAAACUGAAGAAGUAAACUGAAUAAAAACCAUAUCUGGAAGUCGAGAAAAACGUCAAUGUUCAUUUCAGACCAAUAAAUAUGCUUUUUAGAUGAAAAUUACAGUAGGAUAGCCGUAGCCUAAUGCUUGGUUUUCUCCUCUCCAGCAGGGUCCCUUUUUGACGAAGAGCUAGCUAGCCAUGUCUGACACUAUGGAUUUAACCGGGGAUGGAGGUGUUGUUAAGACAGUGAUCGGGAGAGCAAAGGCGGACGCUGUAGCACCUUCAGAUAUCCUUCCCCUUGUCGAUGGUAUCACUCCGCAUCUUCCUGUAACCAGCAGUUACCUCUGCAGUCAACCGCUGUUCCCUGAUGCCAAAUUCUGAAAUGUAGAUUUGUGCCGUGGUAAAGCACUGUUGGCUUUUGAUAAAAAGACAGAAAUGAACAUAUAUGAUCCCAAGACACCGUAGAAGCUUGAUGGAAUACUGAAAUGCUACUAAAUCUAUUUUCUAAACCAUAAAUGCUACUACUACUAAAUCGAUCAGAGGUCUGUGAUAUAGCAAAUACCGUUGCAGUUCAUUACGAAGGUACGCUUGCUGAGAAUGGCGAGGUUUUCGACACUACUCACGAAGACAACUCUGUUUUCUCAUUUGAAAUUGGAGAGGAAACUGUCAUCAAGGCAUGGGAUAUAGCCGUCAGAACCAUGAAGGUGGAUGCAUGUUCUGACCACUUAUCCCUAAUGUAGCAUUUCAUCUCUUAAGCAUUUUGUCUCUGAUGAUUGCAUUGCUGCAUCGAAUUAAUGAAGGUUGGAGAGGUCGCAAGAAUCAAAUGUAGGCCAGAAUAUGCAUAUGGAGCUGCGGGAUCACCUCCAGAGAUACCACCUGAGUACGUUUGCUUUUCGGUUUAACUUUGUGGCAUUACAAUCGGAGUUUCUGAAUUUGCGGUUCUGAGGUGGUUAACAGAAAAACCAUGUUUCUUGCAGUGCAACUCUCAUUUUUGAGGUGGAGCUAGUGGCAUGCAAGCCGAGGAAAGGCUCGAGUGUUGAAAGCGUAUCCGAAGAGAAAGCUAGGCUGGAGUAAGAAUCCGCCCUGAGUACUAAUUCUUUUUCUUAUGAUUUUACAGUCAAGAGUGAGUUCCACAAUGUGUAACCACAUGACAGAUGUGAAACUUUGCGUAUAUUCUCAUUUUCCAUUGGUGAUUUUGUAUGGGUUCGAUAAUUUGUGAUGGGACUCGUUAGCGUGGAGAUGUAGAGCUUACACUGAAAAGGCAUGUUGAUUGUUGAACAGGGAGUUGAAGAAGCAGAGGGAGGUAGCUGCUGCAGCCAAAGAGGAAGAGAAGAGGAAACGGGAGGAAGCAAAAGCGGCGGCGGCAGCCCGUGUGCAAGCAAAGCUAGAGGCAAAGAAGGGCAAGGGGAAGAAGGCCAAGUAGCCCGUGGUGGCAAGAAAAACGGCUACUGUUUAUCAUUGAUUCACUGGCGAUGGCGAACGGUAGCCUUGAGACUUUGAGACACAUGAGUAUGGAGUUUGAGUCUUAAAAUGCAACGCAAAUAACAGAAUAAAAACAUGCAGACAUGCAAUGGCGAAUUAGACGAAUCUUCCGAGACGUCUUCUCUGCAUAUUUUCUCUAAUCGUCGUUUGUAUCUUUUCAUGUGUACUAGCCCAUUCGAAGUUCUGCAGAAUUAGGCACGUCUCUGCUGUAAAAAUGAAAAAUACUCUCCGUCAACUGAAGCACUGCUUUACGGUCUACGCCAAGUACGUCUGCAGACUAUUCUGGCGCUGGCGCAGGGUUCAGCCAAUGCAAGAGCGAUUUGCCAGUCCACUCUUGCAUUGACCAUAAUGCUAUGCCAGACGAUUACUCUGCAGGGUCAUUCCCAAGGUUUGUUGCCACACAAGCUGUGGAACUGUAAAACCAUGAACAUGCAGGGAUGCAAGGAGGCACAGCCAACAAGUGCCGCGUGCUUGUACAGUUAACAUAGCACCUUCAGGUUAAACAAAAAAACAAAACAAAACAAAACACAUGGAACUUCAGAAAACAACAGUUUCAGCAUAGCUUUACAAUAGAUCAGCCUUGAGUACAGACUGUUCUUUUUUUUUGGUAUUAGUACAAUCCGCUGUAGAUUACUACUGCACAAGCAAUGAUGGCUUCUUUGAUCAAGUAUGUCCAACAAAAAUGUAAGAAAAAUCUAAGUCAGCAUUCCUAAAUCCUAAUUGGCGAUUGAUCCCACCAGGCUUAAAGGACCCUGAAGCUCAUCUUGUUUCUUGAAGUAUCCUAAACACUGUUUUCUGCUGUAGCAUUCUCUUAGUGCAAAACUGUCAAGAAUAGCAAUUUUACUACUUGUGUGGACAUCUGGUGUGCAUCACAUUGGUGCUUAUGAUAGCGGAAUGUCAUAUGAUGUGCGGAAACGAACACCGCUUCCUAUGUUCCUUGAUAUUGGGCAAAGCCAGCAGAACACAUUAGGACCUAGCACCUGUAUAAGAAAGAUAACAAAUGUAUAAGAAACAUACGGGGAAGUGUGAUAAAUAAUUGUUAAGCAAUGGACCAACGAUUUCAAGAGAAUAUAUUUGUAACUUAGAGUUAAGAUGAAAAUCCCAGUAGUGAAAUGGUUGGUGCAAAAAAUGACAUAAACAACGCCAAAGAUAAGGCUACAUAAAAGCGAUUAUCUGGAGAAUGGCAUGACUUCAGGACUUAGUCCUUUGAAUACAAAGAUAGAAAACUGCCCAGGCUAUGUGAACGCUGAACGGAGAGGACAAUACUAAUGGUAUUUCUGUUUAGCAUCUUCAAUCUGGGAAAGGUACUUUAUACCAAUAUAACUACUCAAAUUUGAAUAUUUAGUUAUUUACAUACCGAUGCACUUAGUUUGGUCUUUUGGGGGAAAUUUUUUAAAAAUAAGCAAGGAAAAUAGUCCUCACCGAAAUAAGGUUCUCAUAGACUCCAAGGUUAUAAGGAUGAUGAUAAAGAUUUCCCGCCUUUUCAGCCAACCACAUAGCUCUAACUCCUUCAUGGUACUGCAAAUCACCAAUUUAACUACCAUUACACAACAUCUACAAAUAAUAAUAUUCUCAAAGACAAACGAUCCUGUCUGUCAAACCUCAAUAGUAGUUUUAUUGUGUAAGAUGAGGUAAACAUGCCAACCCAAUAGGACCAUCAGUGCCAAAGCUAAAGGACACAGAAGAACCCCGCAAAUAAUCUGUACAAUAUAUAAAUUUGUGUUACUUAUUCAAUCAUAACUCCAGAUGUGAAUUUCUGUUAGUGUUUGAUAUUCUGGUAGCUGAAACAUCCCUCCAGGGGUACUUACAAUAGAUGUUCUAGGAGAAUCACUGCCUGGUUGCUCAUCUUUAGGCAAAUGCACGGCACCCCCUAUAAUCAGAACCUGAUGUAAACAUGAAUAACUUUAUGCGCAAUCUUUGAGAAGACUUGGUUGCUCAAGAAAAUAAACGAUGGCACAUACCAUAGAAUAGAAGCAUGCAAUCACAGCAUACAAAACGAAGAUUAGAAAGACCUUGUAGUUCUCGUGCCCAACACAGUUAUUAAUCCAUAUACAGUGGUGAUCCUGCACAGGAAAAAAAUGUUAAAUUGGGGUUAAAAGCAAUAAUAGGGGGGAAAAUGAGUUGCACAACGUACUGGCCAGUACCAUUCUUAGAACACAUCUUUUGCAGACACGGCAAUGGUGCGCUCGAGGAGGCUUAUAAUGGGAACAUUUCUGGCAGUAUCUCAAAUCACCACCCUGCAAUGACAAUUACAUCAAAAUUUUAAUCAGAAGUUAAAAGGGAAUACAGCAGAUAUAAGAAAGGUAUGUCCCAGUAUUAAACUAGCUCACAGUCCCCAGUAUUACAAUGAAGAUAAUCUAGCACACCAAGUCUCCAACUAAUCAAAUUCAGUCACAAAGAUUAUUCCCUUUUUUCACAUUCUUGUCAAAAUAAAAACACCAGGAAAUGUAUUCGAAUCUGAAAAGAAUGCACUUUUGUUUCUAUUUUGUGUCCUAGAUUUAUUUAUGUGAAAAGAGGAUAAUGCAAGCAAGAAACUGUGCCAAAAGUGGUGUUUAAUCAACAAUCAAUAAUCGCUGUACAAAAUUCCUGAACCAAUAUAUACCUUGACCGAUCAAUGAAGUUAAGCAGCAAUAUAAUUAAUUAAUUAAAACUACUUAAACUAUGUAGAGAGCAAAACAAAAGGAAAACAGUGCACUCUAUUGUCUUCCAUGAGCACUACUAAAAAUAUGACAGUGACUACUCAAGAAUUAAGAUCUUGUUCCAGGCCUAAUAGGCAAUACUGAUAUGAACUCCAGAAGGUCCCAGAGACACUGAGAGUAACAAGAUUUGAAUGGACUUAUAUUUUGAUUUUUCUUUUUGAAGCUUAGCUGAUCAGUAUGGUUAUUUUCAAAGCAACAGCAAAAUAUGCCAUUUCUUCUUGUAAAAUGCACAGCGGUUGGAAUAAUACAAUAAUUAUGUCAUUGUAAAAUGCUCCCUGGGCAGAUAUGCGUAUAGGAUGGUACAAGGUUACCAGCGUUCGUGCUUAGAUCUAUACCAACACACCAAAGCUAUGCACAUAUAAGAUUCCCACUGGGCAAUUAUGCGUACAAGUGACACUCCGUUUGCUCAAAUUGAGUGCUGAUUAUCAGUGAACAGUGCAAGGAUUCAGAGCAAAGAUCCCAACGACGAGGUCUUCCACUAGUUAAAGGACAAUUCCCGUCCAAGAAUCAAAACAUCACGCGCGAAACUCACCGGAUCUUGCUUGCAGAGAUGCAGGUAGUGUUCGAAAUCUAAAUUCAAGAUCUCAAGUUUGAUACCAAAGUCUCUGACUCAAACAACCAACAGGUAGUACCAUUCCACUACAUAGAUCCGAACUUCCCAGCACGCCGCGGCGGCGCCCGCGAGAUCUGGAGUAGUCCCGUGGUCCAGACGGAUUAGGGAGACAGGGGCCGUAAAGUACCUUUCGCUUAAUCUCGUGGAUGGGGCUCUCGGCGUCCUCGACGUCGGGCACGAAGGACGCCGGCACGCGGCCCGGGUCGCGCAACACGGCGACGGCGUAGGUGGCGACGCAGGCGGCGGCGAGCGCGGUGAAGGCUGCGGCGUUGGCGACCCCGGCGGCCGUGGUGAGCCCCAGCCACGCGGGGAUCGCGAGGAACACCGUGGUGUAGUAGACGUACCCGAUUGCGGCGAGCACGGAGAGUAUCGGCACCGUCACGUACCCCGGCCGCCCCAUCCGAGCCGCCGCCGCCGCCUAGCGCUCCUCCUCCGCCCGGCCGCGGGGGCAGGGCAUUCCGAGGAAAGGAAGCCCGCGAGGCGUCGCCGGAAGCGAUCCGCCGGCAGCUCAGCGGGCGAAUUGGUUUGCUUCGCAGUUCGCUCGCUUGCUGCCGCGCUGGUUUUUGACGUGGGGAGAAAAAGCGCGGGGGGUGUGGGUGGUGAUCGCCGUUGCAGCGGCGGGUUGAGUGAGUUGGGGUUGGUAGCGCGUGGACGUCCGGCCCGGCCGCGUGGUGUGCCCGUGCGCCGUCGUCCGUCGAUGCGGUUGUGGCAGGGACGUCUGAACUUGCGUGGACGCGACGGCCAGGGCCUUGCUGGCUACUGGAAAAGAGAGGUUGAGCUGAUUCGCUUCAGGUUAGUACUCGUCGAGUCGUCGAGCGCGAAACAUUAGCAAUGGGGACGUCCCUAAACUUCUAUGGAAGGACGCAUAGCAUUUGCAUAUAAGAUUUGUAAGAAUGAGAGGCAGGAAAAUAUGAGGGGCAUAAUCAUCUUUUCCAUCUUAAGAUAACAGCAACUUAGUGGUCAGCCGAUGGAAAUGGCAGUGAAGGAAAUUGUAAGAAUUUGGAUGGCAAUAAGCAAAAAAUUCUUCAUUUCUUCUUUGUUGCGCCUCCUUAACCCCUGCCAGUUAGCGCCUAUCAUUGGUGGACGGAUGACCGACGUCACGCCGCAUCCAUGCAUUUGUCAAUCCUUGCUAAGCUUAAGUCUCACCAUCUUUCAUGACAUAUCUUAACAGCGAUUAGUCAGAUGAUUGUAUGGUAUAAAACGCUAUUAGAUGGUACCGAACCGUUGUUAAAUCAAGACAUGUAUGAUUAUUGCACUGAUUUAUUUAAGGAGUUGAUUUGCAGGGAAUCUAAGAAAGAUUUUCCAUCAUUUUCAUUCUUUUUUUAAGCGAAUUAUUUUUAUUCUUUGUAGUAUAGAUUUUUUAUAGUCAUGUGUGACGCACGUGCACCUAAAAUACAGGAGGAGGAGGAGGAAAAGAAAAGAAGGAAGAGAAAAAAAAAACAACCCCUCCCUGACGGUCCAAUAAGCCCAUGUAACUGUGAGAGCGCUGCUAGACCGCCACUUUAGACCCUGUUUGUAUACGUUUUUUCUAGCCACGCUUGGAUUAUAAUCUAAGCGAAGAUUUUCUCGCUUCUCGCUUUUCGCUUCUCGUAGUUCAAAUCGUUGAAGCGGCUUACCACAUAAGCGAGAAUCGGUGGAAAUAAGCAAAGCGUUUAGCGGGAUUCUCGCUUAUUUCCACCGAUAAGCCGCUUAUAAGCGGAUACAAACGGAGCCUUAGGCGGAGCGUCGAACAGGAAGGAUGAUGCAUCAACCGAAGCCCUUUCACCGGAACCCUUCGUCGUCCGGCGGCUCCGGGGGCUUCGUCAUCUUCCUGCUGUCGAGGUUUGCUGCCGUCCACAUCCAGGUUCUACAAUUUAUUUUUCUAUAUGCGAAUAAUCUCAUGUGAUGGCCAGGUCUCGAAAUCGAGUUGGAUCCUAUUGCUCGCGCGAGAUGGAGACGGCGGGGGUCGAUACCGCCCACGAUAGUGAGAUGAAGAGGAUGAUGUUGAAUAGGGAGGGAAGUCGCUUCUUCUCCUACGAGGAGAAGCGCAACGAGGACGACGAAAAUAACGAAAUCGUUAGAUUCCGCCGCAGUUGGGAAAGCUGCUAUGCCGAUGGUUACGGUUCCUUCGAUAGCACCAGUAAGGCAAUCCAAUCCAGUGUAAUUCCAAGUUCCAACCUGAUCAUCUUGCCUUCAUCGAUUAACUGAAUCUAGUGUAAGGUGACUUAUGACUGUAUUGUUAUCUUACAAUUUGCAUAUCUCUUAACUAUCAAAAUCUGACCCAUAUAUUCUCAAACCACAAACUUCCACGUCGUCUCUAAAUAAGAGCCCUGGGGAGAAGCUUUGGCAAAAUCUCAACCAUCAGUUCGUUAGCCUUGCCCAUCCUUUUUGCAGAUAGAUCAGGAGCCCUAGCGAAGACUCAGCGACGUUUCGCGAGGAUGACCGGACUUCGACAACCUUGCCGUAUCAGUAACUCUGACUCUAGCGGCAGUUAUCUCCUCAUCUCCCUGAUCGUGAACAGCAAAAAACGAUUCCCUCUCACAAGUUCGACUCCUCAGCUCUUCUGAUCAUGAGCAGCGCUGUGCCAGCCAGCCGAUGCUUCUUCAUCUCUGUCCACGAGCAACGGCCCCGAUCCCCCUCCCCGCGGCACUGUGCCUGCUUUGUCGAUCCACCUCAGGAUCGUAAAAAAAGAGAGACAAUUUCUUUUGCUUAGCCUCCACGGCCUUCAAACCCAUGACACUCUUCUAGUUCUUGAGUCAGAUGAUACAGAUGUAAAAUUAGAUCCCCAAUUCUUUUAUUCUUUUGAGGAAUACAGAUUUCAGAAUGCUGCAAUUUGGUCUAUCGGUCCAGGGCUUGACAAUCCAUCAAUCUUUUAAAUUCAAAAGCUGUGGCCUCAAUUGCUUGACUUGGUACUUGAUAGGCUAUAUGCUUCACUUCAUACAUAGAACAUCCUAUAUUUCAAUUGUUGCUUAACUCAUAUUAGAUCAUACAAGGAUUUCACUGUGUCAGUGUAUUCACUGUAUCAGUUAGCACCAAUGUACAUUUUAUAUGUGUAAUAAAUUGCUGAUAGCCUUUAGUUUUUUUCCACCAUGAACUCUCAAACCACAUUGUCAGAUGGAUUUGCUGCUUUCACCAAGCUCCAGUGUUCCAUUAGGAGUUUUUAUGCCUGCAUCGGUGAAGGCACCCAUACUUAUCAGAGUCCAUCCAAAGAUUUGGCUAGCUUAAAACGACACUUUCAUUAUGCAACAUGAUUUUAUGUUUACAAUACUAAUUGGAAAUUUGGCAUUGCUUCAUUUCGUGUUAAAUCUGCAGUAGUAGCUGGAGAAUAAACGCUCGAAUUAAUUUCAGCAGCUGAGCGAGACUUAGUGCCUUAGUGGUAGCUGUUAUUACAGUUACAGUACUAUUUUUGCCUUGCUGUGAAGUACAAUCAUCAAUGCAUCAGCAUAGCUUUCUUUUCUAAUAUAAGAAAUCAACCUGUAAACAUAAUGCAGCCUUGAUGGAACCCGGCUUGAGCUCAAUAUACUGGCCUGUGCCGCGCCCUUUAGUUCUAGUGCUACUGUCUAGGUAUCUGGUUGGGUCUAGCAUGGUUAAACUUUUUUUUUUAUCAUAUACUAGCAGCUGCUCCCUGCUCACUCACUGACCGAGCGGACAGCGCCCAGCGGUAGAGCAAGGAAGCAAAGCAGAGGAGCAAUGGAGUACGGGUACCCCUACAACGGCUGCGGCAGCAACAAGGAGAAGAGGCCGCCGCUCAAGAGGGGCCAGCUCAAGCUGCAGAUCACCAAGACCCUGCUGGGCGGCCUCGUGGUGCCGGCCGGCGCCAAGAACAGGGACCGCAGCUUCGGGAGAUAAGCAGUAGCAGCUAGCUGGGUAGAUGCAUCUGUGGUGCUUGACACAGAGAUUACGCAAAGUGUUGUUCUCCUCAAUUCGGUGCCUACUGGUGCCAAGUUUUGCCCCUUCGGUUCCCCUUCCCCUUUUGCUCACCUUCAGGUUAUUGGCUCCUGGAACAUGCAGUUUAGAGUCGAGAGAAAAGGGUUCCUUGCUGUCCUAAAACAUGGUUUCGAUGAGUUAUGGUGCUAUAACAUGGUUUCGAUGGUAACACUCUGCUUUUUCUUUGAAAGACAAACACUGUGCUUAACUAGCAAGUUGGCCUGCGCAAAUAGCGCGGGUAGCUAGUUUUUUUUUUGACAUCUGAGUUUUUCUGCAUCAACUUAAAUGGAUGCAAAUUGUCCAUCGUCAUAUUCGGUGGUAAUAUGCAUUGUUCGGUGUCCAUAUGAGUUUUUCUGCAUUUAUAAAUGGUAGCAAGUUGUAAUUGCAUUGUUCUAAUAGCCCUGACGAAAGUAUAAUCUAUAUUUUUUGUCCAUCGUCAUAUUCGGUGGUGUAUUUUUCUGGAACAUAAAUUCAUGAGAAAAGGGAUAUAUUAUAUAGAAGUAUAAUUGUAUUCACUAAAUGUAAUAUAAAGAUUUAUUCUUUUUAUCAUAAGUUUAUUUUUUUAAAAAAAUGACGAACAUUUUGGCUUGUGAGUUUUAGUUACCAUGCAUGAUAAAUAUCCUUAGAUUUUUAUAAGAUACAGGUGAGUGGUUCAAUGCACAGUAUUAAAAUUGAUAAUAUCCUUGUUCUCCAAUCUCUGGUUGCUACAUCCCCAUGCUCGCAUGCUCCCAUAUCAUCUUAAGACUACCACACCUUUUUCUCAGUAGGAAUCAUACACAGGGUCAAUAAACUCACUGUUGCAGCUGCAAAGGUAUAUCGUUCUCCUUUGUACCGCCCCCUAUCUCCUACUUCUACUCCUAAGGAACUUCGCCCGCUACGCCAUGGUCAUCGAAGACGUCCUUGAUGGUGCAUUUCAUUCCUUCUCGUCAAACACUAUCUGCAGCUUGCCAUGGAUAGGCAUGCAUGUCCAACAUCAAUUUCUGACUCACUUUGUUCUACAGAUCACAUCGGCACUCCGCCAUGCUUGCAUCACCUAUCAUUCCUUCUCUUCUAAAUUUUCUAGCUCUCAACCAUCCACUGAUCACAACACUACAUAGCAAGACACCACCAUCUCACUGCUUCUCAUUGUCACUGGUGGUGAUCGAUCACCAUGCCUUGCAAAAUGGUGGUAGAUUGCGUUAGGGUGAUACUCGACCUAGCUAAUGGCUGGGCUAGGAUCGUGUCUUGGCUAUGGCAUCACUCACCGCCUUGCUAUUGUUGUUGCGCUCCUAAUCUUUAUUUGCUUGUUAUCAUUGUGUUUCCAAGUAUAGCGACUUUUGUGCAGUUGUUAUCCAUAUCCUGCUAUCUGUCUAUGCUUCUUUAUGGUAAAUCCACUAUUUUUAUCCACAGUUAUCAUGACCCUCUCGGAAUCCAACCCAUGCUAACUUUUCUUCUCUCUCCUUUCUAUUGAUCGUAGGUGUUCCAUGUAAGAUGUGCUUGUCCUUCACUGCUCUAAAGCUUUUAUUCAUGGUUGUUGUCACGCUCUCUCAAUUGCGCGCUAUCUCAUCGCCUUUUGGCUUUGUGCUGAUCAUGGUUGCAUUUGGAGUUUGCUAGCAGCUUCGAUCUGCAAUUUGCUAGUUGUUUCCUAUGUCACCUUUGUGUUCUUCUCCUUGUGCUUUCAAUUGGUGGGGCGUUAAAGACUCUCAAGAAUAGCUAGUGAGAAGGUUACGAAAAGGAUAAUAGUCGGUGACAUUAAGGACUUCUCUCUCCCCUUAACGUGGAAAGUAAAUUAAAAUAGGAAAUAAUAUUAAUAUAAUUGGUAGUUUCUUUCCAAUUGUAUUGGAUAUGGACUUCAAGUCAAAGUGCUAAUUUUCCUUGUUUUUUAAUUCUUAAUUUUUGCAUAUUUAUUAGUCGUAUUCGAUAUGGAUUCUUUAAGUUAGUCUAGAUCGUUGGAUCUUUGUAAAAUCCAACGGUGUAUAUUCUUUCCUUUUUUGAUUAAUGUGGGAAUUUCUAGACCCUCUUGGCAAACGUGGUGGCUUCUUUUAACAUUUUAACAUUCCCUUAAUAAGUAUAUUUAACUAAUUAUACUCAAGAAUGUUUCUUAUUUAAGAAAUAUGCUUCCCAAUAUCAAGGAAAAUUAAAAAAACCAUUUUUACAUUAUUUUUAUAUCAAAUUUAGUUAUUUAUUAAUCAUGUUUUGUACAAAACUCUUUAGGUUAGUCUACACUAUUAGAUCAUUACAAAAUCCAGUGAUGUAACUUGUUUUCAAUUGACCUGUUAAUAUCUAGACCCUCUCGGAUUCAUGGCGAAUCAUGUUGAAGAAAUCCCUUUGGCAAGGAAAAAAAUCACGGGAUACCAAACCAAUUGCAUUAGCGUUGUAUUUACUUUGCUGAUUCAGAUAGAUUACGUUUGUGUCGUUAGUGUUGGUCAUGUUAGGUGAACUUAUUUUGUGUCCAUCCUAAAUCUUGUUUAGAAUCAUACAUUAACUUCACCUUAUUUCGUGAUAGGAGAGUGCUUUUGAAUAUCAUAUGGAUGUAUUUUAUUGUAUAUGUCGUAUGGAAAUAUGGAAUCCAAUGCAAAUCAGAUGGAAACACUAAUCAUAUAUUCUAUUAUUACAGCAAAGGAUCAACCGAAUAUGACUACACCAUGUACAAAUCAACCAUGCUAAUUUUUAAUAUUUUAAUUACACAUAUUAUUAGUUGUAUUAGUCAUAGACUCUUUGACAUUGUUUAGACUGUUAGAUCUCAUAAAAUCCAAUGGUAUAUAUGCCUUUCUUUUUUCAGAUUAACGUGGUAAUUUCUAACCCCUUUUGGUAUAUAUAGUUUUGCACUAUAUGUGAUGCCUUGUAUGAAUUGGACUAUCAGAUUAACGUGGUAAUUUCUAGCCCUCUCGGUAUAUAUAGUUUUGCACUAUAUGUGAUGCCUUGUAUGAAUCGGACUACUUCUCAUAUUCUCCUGGUGUGCCAUCUCCACUCACACAACCCCCUCAAGUUGCUCCAUGGCAUGAUCAAUUGCAUUACUGCUACAUCCAACCUCUACUUCAUCCAAUAUAUGGAAUCUCUGCUCCCGUUAUCAUUGUCCCACCUCCAAUCACCAGCAAGGAAGCAACAUAAAUGUUACCCAGUGGGUUUUGAGGUAUAGAAGGCCAUAGGAAUGGGUUAGUGUGGCUUCUACUUGUUAGUGUGGUUCCAACUGCCAGCGCUACCAGCUAGCGGUGAUCGAUAUAGGUGGGUAACAGAGCUCGAUUGUACUCUAUCUCUCUCAACCCAAUUUCUAGAAUUGACGUUUCGCCAUGCACAAAUGAAAAGCCUCGUGCAGAUGUGCGCUGGUUGAGGUGCUCCUCGGUGUGAGAGCAUGUGAAUGGACUUGGCUGGGGAGGGGGGGUUAAGAUAAUCGAUAAAAAUAUAGAUAGACACAACCAUGACCAUUUUUACUCUUUUAAUAUCUAAAUUAUUAAUUGUAUUAGGUACGAACUCUUUAAGAAAAUAGAAACCAACUGCUAAUUUUUAAAUUCUGAAUUUAUGUAUUUGUUAAUCAUAUUCGAUAUAGCCAUAAUAGAUGCGUGCAUUGACAAAUAUGCUGCUCAGCCAUAGAGUUCAAGUGACAACUGUUAUCCAUAUCUCAACACACCUUCACCUUUAUCUUUUCUUGUUGAUCUCCCCCUUUUCUGUACCUUGCUCCAUCGUCAUCGUGUUUUCUCAAUCCCAUCGCCCGUGUGUUGUUUCCAUACUAUCCACUGUUGUUGCCCACUGCCUCGGCUCUUCAUCGACCAUGGUGCCGUCCACUGUUGUUGCCCAUUGCCUUGGCUCUUUGUCAACCAUGGCGCGUCGUAUAGCUAGCCGAUAGGAAGUCAUUGUCUCAUUUGCACCAUUGUUGUGUCUGAAUCACAUGUCGUCGGUCGCUCAGUGCAUCAGUGCUAAGCCGCAUCAUGCCACCUUUGCGCCUCCAUGAGCCGCUUGUCAGGUUCAUCCUAUACGUGAGAAUGUCAGAUCCACCAUUGCCAAAAUGUAGGACCCAUCAGGGUGCCGUGAUAUUUUAUUCUCCCUUCUGUCCAUGCUCUCUCUCUCCCCAAUAAAACUCUAAAACUCUAGGUUUAAUUCUUACCUACCUAUUAUAUCUAUUUGGGAUAGAGUUGCAUUCAAUAUGUUUUUAUGAGUCGUAUUCAACAUGGAUUGUUUGGGUCAACAUAGGGCGUUAGAUCUUCAUAAAAUCUAACAGUGGAGGUUCUCUCUCUUUUAAAUUAAUGUGGUAAUUUCUAGCCCCUUUCGAUGAACGUGGUGGCUUCUUUUAACACUAUUGUAUUAAGAUAAUAGAUUGUGCCUUUGUUUCUAGGGUUGACUACAACAUUUUCAAUUUUUUCCCCUUAUGCUAGAAUAUGUUGUCUGCAGAAUUUAAAAAACUGCUUUAAGCAUAAGCGAGAUUUGAUCCACCUUUUGUAUUGACACACCCUUUAAUUAAUGUCUGUUGUAGCUGUUGUGCCCCCUAUGCUAUAUACAUUUGGAUCCACCCCAGAAUAAAAUGCUAUCCCGGACUGCACACUACAGAUUUUCUCCAUUAAAGUUGCUGAGGUCAAAGAGGGUCUUCAUUGGCCACUGCACGUCUAUGGCUUGAUUGCCACCAGGGACUCUAUCGAUCCUAGACGCAACAUUCUUUUCCACCGCAUUAGGGAUAACUGCCAAACCAUAACUGAAGGGUUAUGUGACCAUGUAAUCUUCUUUUUCUUUCUUCUCAAUUUUCUAUUUCCUUCUUAUAAUGAUCGGUGCACUUUUUCACUGCAUUUGUAUGUGCAAGUACAUUGAGUUCUAUAUAUGUAUAUGUAUCAGCUGUAUAUCGUGUUUUUUCUCUUUUUGCACAACUAACUCAUUGUUAAAAAUAAAAUUGUUGGUCGCUAACUUCUAUUUAGCUCUUGUUAUUGUGAUGUAUCUUGUAUGCUCUUAGUCUAGCCUUUGUAUGGUCAGGUAACCGUUUUCAUUGGUAAUGGAUUGGCUGUAUCCUGCUUUCUUUGUCUUCUUUCCUUUUAAGAAACAAGACACUACUAGCUAGUGUAUGUUUGAAGAACUGACAGUAAUGCCAAUGAAAUUAGUAGGGAUGAGAGAGCUAUCCAUUGAUUAAUAAAUGGUGAUGCCUGCAGGCUCCCUAUUUGCUGUUAACUGGCCCAUCUCGUGCAGUUGGGUUAAUUGAUCCGGUCACAUUUGAAGUUCAAUUGAAAGCAAGGGGAAGGACUGAGUCUGAAGAUAAAGUGCUCUGCUUUGAUAUCUUGACUACCCAGCAUGCUUCUGGUUAUUUGGGGUGUCCUCCUCACAUAUCCACCAGUUGUUUACGCUGCAAGCAAAGCAAACUUGAGUUUGCAUUUGCGGUACUUUCUCAGUCAGUUGAGGCCACUAUCCGCGUCGAAAUUGUUGAUGGAUCAUGGCCAGAACACCUCAGAGGACUACUAACAACCAGCACAGCUACCAUAGACCAUGCACGUAUUCUGCUUGUAGAUUCUCAAGAUGGAAGAAUGCCUAUCAAUGGUUCUGGUGCGAUUCAGCUUUCAAGACAGGUUGUUUGUGUAGAAUAAAGUGGAGAACUGAAAGUUGAUGCAGUGGCUUUUCAAGUUGAUGAUGACAACUUUUACUUAGUUGCUGCAAAAGGUUCGGUUGUUUUCAAUCCUAAAGAGGCCGCAAUCAGUAAUGACACAAUUGAUCUAGGCUUCUGUAAGCUGGGAGUCACUGUUGCUUGGUCCCUCCUUGCACCUGUGGAGCAUGAACCGUGGGGUCGCCCUGUGCGAUGCACUCGCACGACACCACCUUCAAAUGGUCCUUGAUUGGUCGGUUGGACCUCUUCUACUUCAAAAGGCGCUUGAUAGGCACCGUUGCAGCUUGUCACAGGCCGCUCGGUGAGAGCCCAUGAUACCGUGCAGCCCGGACUUUUUUUUUUUGUUUUUUAGCCUUUUUUCCGAAAGAUAUACGUCCCUGGUGGAACCAAUUCCAAAAAUGGACCCUUAGCUUGGCGCCAUCCACGCUAACGCCAAGCUUACACGUCUCAGCAUCAGCCACCCUAGCGCCAAGGUCCAUGCGCAGUUGCUGACGCGGAUGCCGACGUGGCGGGGGCUUGGCGCCGUGGAUCUUGGCGCCAAGAUCCACGGCGCCAAGGCUUGGCGCCAGGGUGGAUCGGCACCCACGUCAGCAGCUGCGCGUAGACCUGGGCGUCAAGAUGGCUGGUUGUAGCUUGGCGCCAGCAUGGAUGGCGCCAAGCUAAAGGUCCAUUUUUGGAAUUGAUUCCACUAGAAGCAUAUUUAUGAGAAUCUUUCGAAAAAGGGUUAAAAAACAAAAAAGUCGGCCGUGCAGCCUCCAUAAACGGAGGGACAGGCAGGAGGAGAUCUGCCGCUGCUCUACCUCGCAUUAGCGCUAAUAAUCUGCAGCCGCUCUACCUCGCUUUGGCGCUAAUCUGCAGCCAUGAAUGGGAAAGAAACAAUCUGCAAGAUAUCAGAAUCCGUCUGCAACAUAUCUUACGAGAUAUGACUUAUGAGCCUAAAAAUUAUCACAAGACCUGUUGAUUUCCACGAGCAGCCGCUGGUAAGCACCGCCGUCGCAUAGCAAUUCCUCGCCGAAGGUCGCGUAGGAUGAAGACGACCGGGAAAGGUUGAGACGACGGGAAAAAUCGGGGCCGCUAGUGGACGCAUAUUCACAUGCAUAUGAAGGUAGAAUAGUAUAAAAUAGAUAUUUUUCAUAUUCACAUAUGUGACUGUACACUAAAAGAACAAAAAUGUAUUGUAAAGCGAAACGUGUGGGAACCUUUGUGAAUUUGAUAAAAAGAAAAUUCAUACCAAGCAAUCAUAUAUGUGCUCCUCUUUCACAGCAGAAUAUCAAGUACUUUACAGAAAUGGUAAUAUGACAAUGAUGCAUUAAAAACAUUGUUCAACAGAAAUAUGUUAAUUGGCAAGUAACGGUUUCCUCCCAUUCGUUACAUAGGAGUACAUACUACCCGCUCCAUCGACACAGAGAACAAUGAUUUUCGUUGGUUUUGCCUAUGCACCGUUCGGGAGCCCUAGGCACGCAGGGAUCGCCAUGAAGGCAGGAACACCCUGGUGUGGCCACCCCAUCCGAGCACGCAGGAAAAACAAAAUAGAAAUGUAUAGUUUAUUUACUUCUCCAAACAACCCUCACAUGUUUCUGUCUUCUUUACCCCCUGAUGAUUUUCUUUAUUAUUUUCUUAUGUUCGAGUGCAGGAUGCAUUUUGAAUUGAAAAUCCGUGAGAUGACAGACGUCGUCAUAUCUAAUUAAAGAAAAAGUUUCCAAGAAUUGUUCGUGAUUAUUUUCAUGCAAGAAUCUAGUGUACCAACCUACAAAAUGAUUAAAACAUGCAUACAUUUAUUUGUUCAUUUACGAAUAUUAUUUCACAAAAUUUGAACUCCAAAAUAGAUAACCCACAUGAAAAUGAAGAAACACAAGUUUUGUUAGAGGAGUAUUGGUCACCUGCUUUAGUUUGAAUAGUAUGGUGGGUAAAAUGAGAUGGAAAAUAACUUUAGAAGUUAUAUCCGUACAAACGCAAUAAUGAAAUGUGAAUUGGACUUUUUUAUAAUAAUGAUAUAAGAGGGGAAAAUAAGUAUUUUUUUGGAACUUAAGAGGGGGAAAAUAAGGCACAUAUGUGCUUAAGUCGCAACUUCUUCUUUUGGAAAUAGACAAACACAUCAUGGAAAUAUGCGAGAAGCAGGAAUUGGCCCAACUGAAAUAUCCAACUCUUAUGAGCGAAUGAUUUCUUCUUCGACCCGUUCUUUGCAUUCAUCGCACGAGGUCCUCGCAUCAGGUUCUAUCAUGUCUCAUGUUAUUGUCUUUUUCUGUCACCUUUUCUUUUAAUUUUGUUUUUCUGGAUGCAUUGAGCCUAACAAAAAAUGAUAUUUAACUGGAAUCUUUUUGCUCCCACAGAAAUAUGUGAUUCAUCACAACUGAAUCAUAAUAUGCAGCAUGUGAAAGGAAUAUGCGCGCAUGCAAACAUUAUGCCAUGAAUUGCUAUUUCGUCGAUCGAUCAGUCAAAAAGAACAGCAUACAACUUGGCCAAUUUUUUUUUUAAAAAAAUCGAUUACUUAUAAGACAAAUUUAGUAAUUGUAUAUGGUCGACCGUGACAAAUGACAUGCCGUAAACCUUGAUCAGCUCAAAACUGUCUCGAUCGUACGUCAUCAAUGGAGAUUGGAAACAUCGGGGCGUUCUCAAAAUGUCAUGUUAACCAUUGACCAAAAUGGCUGUGCUUAGCCGUUCCAGGAAAAAUGACUUUAUUUAGUUUCAACAAAAGAUGACUUUACUUUACUAUGCUCCCGUCCGGCCGAAGGCCCGUAUGUUUGGAAUGGCCUGGUUGUCUUUUAAAAUCAGCACGACUUCUCGAGGCACCCUAAUCGAAGAAACACCGGCGGGAGAGCAAGCUCCAAGAGGGUUUUAGCGAGGAGCGAUUGUGGUGGAACCGUCCAACUUAAACUGGUUUAAGUGUGCCUAAUCGCUAUUGAAAUAGCAAUUAUACGAAACACACCUAAAACAGUGUAAGCCCGACAGUCCGUUGAGUGUCCCUAGGACGCCUCGAAACAUCCACGACAUGUUUCACAGACAUACAUCAAGAUCGCUUUCACGAAGGGAAAGCAUCAACAAACAUUACAUUUUUACAUACAUACAGAAGGCGCGAAUUGUUACAAAUCGUAGAUUGAAAUAAACUUAACGAUGCAAGUUAGACCAUUACUAGGAGUUUUGAACAUAAAAUCAGUCCAAGGCAAGUAAUUAUACAACUAAGUUUUAUUCCAGGGUAUUAUGAGACCCGUAAAUACCCUAGUUCUUCGAUAUUCUUCUUCGGUCAUCCCCUGUUGUACUUCUGAAAAUAACAACAAAGGGAUCCCCUGAGUACGAGGGUACUCAAUAAGACUGAUCCGACUAACCAAUAUAGAUAGAUUUAAAAUAUUGUAUGAUAGCUUUAUGGUGUACUAGCUGACUUACAUUUUGCGAAAAAGCUUACUAUUAGUGGGACCUUAGUUUUAUCAUUUUAUUUCAGAUUAGUUUUUACCUAACCAGAUGAAUAAAAUAUUUUUGAGCAACCAGGUGGAACUAAGUCAUACAGCAUUCUAAUUUCAGGAAAAAUAUUAUAUUCAACUUGAUUACUCUACAAUGCUUAAGCGAUAAUCAAGUGCAUUCAUAAUCAAGAAUUGCGGUAAUCCGGACCGAUUUACAUCUUGCAGGAGAUACCUCAUUACCCGCUAUGCACAACGGAUCAGGUUGUACAUAACAACCUUUCGACUAGCCGUACCCAAAGAUUGGAAAUAUGACUACACGAACCCAGGGAUGCAUCCCCACUUAGGACCCCACGUCUGGCCUGAUCUCCAUGUGACUUUCAGGCUACGCUCCUGUCUUUCCACUGCACGCCAAGCACGGGUAUAAAAUAUUUUCAAUCAGAGAGCCAACUAACCUAUCAGGUUUUGCUGGUCCCCACAGACAGUAAGCAACAAGGUAAAAUCAUUUGAUCAAAGGUUAAGACAACGAACGAGCAUUAACCAAAUUAACUUAGUGGACAGAACUACCAUCUCUAGCUUCUAUCCACCUUUCCAAAAUUCCAAGCUAUUUUCCUUGAUUAACAUAUAUACGUUAAAGGUUGAGUAACACAAGUUACUUUAACGGUACCUAAGCGUUACUAAGUAUAGGAUGUUUACUAAAUAAUUGAAUAGGUGGCAAAGAUAUCCUAUAAAUAAGGUAGGAUUAUGCACAAGAGUGGUUUGCAAUCAACUCCUAGACUUAAUGCAUAAGGAAAUAACCAAUAAUUGGACUCAUGAAUAAUAAUUUCUGAAAGUAGAUAGGCUUAGAUGCACCGAGACUUACCUUGAUUCACAAAAAAGUUAGUAUCCUCGGAACAUCCUUCCACACAAGGGAUCAAUUCAACAACCUCUUCGAAUUCCUGAGGUUCUUCAGAGAGAUCCAAGAAAUCCACUUCUGAGGCUUCUAUGUCUACGGUAUGAUGCAUGCCAUAUUUAGAGAUGAAAAACUUUUUGAAAUAAAAGAAUAUACAACUUAUCUCAUGAUAAAGUUGCAAGCCAACACUAAUCUACCCAUAAAGAUUAACCCACAAUUUUAAUUUCUUUAACUAACCUAACUUAAGCAUUUUCUUUAUUUAGAAAAGGAUUAUAAUUUAUUUCUAAUCUGAAAAACUUAAUUCCUAUGGAUUAGUAAUUAUUUAUGAAUAAUAAAACAUUAUUAACAAUUUUAUUCAUUUUAUAAAGAUUAAGUAUUUAUUUAAAUACCUUCAUCAAAGGUAUUAAUAAAUACUUAAAUUUUACUAUUUUAUCCUAGGGUUUUAGAAUUUCUAAUACAUAAAGGAAAAUAAAAUACACCUAAUAAAAUUGGUUUCACUAAAUUUGGACAAUUCUAUAAAUUAUAAUGAAUAAAAUAUGAAAGUAGGAAUUUAAAUCUAUUUUCUAAAUCUAAAAAUCAACAUUAUCCUGAAAACCCCCUCCCUGGACUUUUCUCACGUGCCCACGGCCUACCCCCACUCACUGACAUGCGGCCCCGGUCAACAGAGCCAACCCUCGGCCUUGACCGAGAGCUGGCCGGCGGGUAAGCGCGGCAGCUCGCCGGCGACGAGGUUCCCGGUGACGGGGACACCUCCACACGACUCGCGACACUACUCGGUAUCCCUUGAUGGUACUCUAGGGGUGGUUGGCUUCACAUCGACGAUGAACUUUGCAAGACGGACGGUGGCACGACGGCGCUUGGCGGACGGCAGCGCAAAGCUUGUCGGCGGUAGCGCUAAGGCAACAAGCGGCACUGGCAGCUCUACUACGACCUAAGCAACGUAGCGCACCCUUCCACCCAAGCUAACCGUGGCCGGAGCAAGCCCCUCCACGGCGGCGGCCAUGGCCGAAGCGCGGUGCAUGGCGGCAAUCCGGCCAACCUGGUCGAGCCCCAAGCCAACAAGCACGGCCUAAACCAUCCCUAGCUCAUGCGUGACCUACCUAGACCCUUGGACCAUGACCAGAACUCCGGCAUAAGGCAUCUCCAUGGCGGUGACCAUUACCAGAACAAGCGGCGGACGGACCCGAGGGAGAAGGUGGUGGUGAACUGAGGAUGUGGGGAUGGUGGCUGUCAGGACAGGCUUAGGGGCUCAGGGCAGUGUCUCUAGCGAGGUGGAGUCGCUGGCGGUGGCGAAACAACGGCGGAGCAGGACGCCGACCGAGAGCAGUUGGAAGAGUAGAGGAGCUCGGUGAAAGGAUAAACUCACCAACGGGAAGGUGAUUUAUACAAAAACUUACUGAAAGGAUCUAGGAUGUCGACUAGAGGGGGAGUGAAUAGUCGAAUCUGAAAAUUUUACACUUAAAACAAGCUUAUGAGACACUUCCAGAAAUUUUCGGAGAUUGUUCUGGAAAUUUUCGAAAUUUUCGGAAAUUUUCGGAGAAAUCUUCGGAUUUUUCUGGAUUUCUACAAAAAUAACUACAACCUUAAGAUUGACCUGUUAGAUUUUAGAUUGACGAAUAUAGGUUGUUCCACAGAUAUUCUAAGUUUUUUCAGCAAGAUAUAGCAGCUUCAAACACACUAGAAAAGGAGAUCGAGUACAAAUCCUAAAUAUGUUUUCUAUGCAAGAAUAUAUAUAAAAGCAAGAACAACAAGCAAGAGAGACACAAGGAUUUGUUACUAGAGUUCAGCUUCACACCAUGAAGCUUACGUCUCCGUUGAGGACCCACAAAGGGUGGGUUUAUAUCAUCCAGCCACUUUCCUCCCUCUAGCGACCACAAACAUCAAGUUAGAGUCACUUACUCAAUUAAAGGGAUAAUACAAACUUCCCGAGGCAGCCACAAAGCUUGGAUGCUCGUUCGAGCGACGCCUAGCCGGCUAGGAGCUUGAAGCUCCAAGAGUAACAAACACGAACUACCGGCUUGACGAAGAACGAAAGUGCUCAAGAGAUGGAGUUGCAGCUCACUAGCACAAUCUCUUGCUCACUCACCAUUUUCUCCUCAAAUCCCCACCAAAUCUCACAAGGAAGUCAAAGGGGAGCAAGGAGGGAACUUUAGAGUGUUUCUGUAGAUCAGAACAGUACAGAGGCAAGAGAGGACGAAAGGAAGAGGGUGAGGGGGUAUUUAUACCCCUUCACUCCAAAACUAGCCAUUAUAACAAAGAUUCAGAAAAUUUCCGGAAUUUUCUCCGGAGAUUUUGAGUAUCUCCGGAAUUUUCCGUAAAAACUUUCAGAAAAAUCCAGACCUCCGGAGACUCUUCCGAAACUUCUGGAAAAACUUCCAGAAAAAUCCGGACCUCCGGAAACUCUCCACUUCUAGAAUAUUCCAGGAAAACUUCCGGAAAAUUCCGAAUCUCUCUGGUUAGCACUUCUAAUUAUCCCCCAUGUAACUUGCAAGUGUAAAUAGUAUCUCUCAUAGGUUUUGUUAGGUCAUCUUGAGCACAUUUUUCAUCAUCAAGAUCAGAGAUCACGCAUCCCUCUUAAUAGUGAGGCAUUCAUAAACUCAAAUUCAAACCGAAAAUAAAUUUAAACUAGAUAAGAUGCUGCUCAACAUUUCAUUGCCUUUUGAGGGGUCCAUCACAAGUGCUCCACGACCAAUAAUCCAUUUAAAUCUGCUUAUGCACUUCAAACUUUGUUAGAUACUCAAGCUUUUAUCAUUAAAUCACCAAAACUCACUUAGGGGGUCAAAGAUACUCUUCACUUACCACCCUCUCGAGUACCACAUCCUGCCUGCCUGCUUGCUUUUGCGUCCCUUGCCGGUGCUGGCGCAUGGCACGGCGGCGCCGCUCUUGCCAUUAGUGGCAAACAGUUGUGUAGCACCGGCCGUCUCUGUUAUGCUCCUCCCUUUUCUUUUCUUUCCCCAAAUCACCCGAAAGUUCAGCUUAAAUUGUGACCGAUUUGUAAUUCAAACUCCAGGAAUUCCUUUAAGCAAAGUUGGAGAGGAUCCUUGGUUCUACAUUUGAUUUAUUUGCAUCGAGGACCAACAACCACUCUAUCACCGUGAAUUUCGGUCUCAAACUUGAGCUAGGGUUCGGUCAGUUCAGAACUGAAUCGCCCCCCACCAUUCAGUUUCGUCAGAAACUUCAAAAACAGCUCGAUGCUUCACUUUGAGUUCAAAUUCAACUGCUUGAAGUUGGUUCAUUUUACCCAACAUCUACUGGAUCUUGUUAACCAUAUGACAGGGGUUCCAUUUUGCAUAUGAAAUCCCAACUCUUACAUACAAUUUCUUCCAAAAACUCAAGAUAAAGUUUGCUAUUUUCCACUGUUCUUAGAACUAAACGGCGAUAGCCUUUCAAUUUCAUCAAUUAAACUGACAGUGAAUGAUUCCAACUUUGAGCUCCCAGAAAAAUUGGAAUCCUGCUCUUUCCUUGUCCAACAACAUGCUCAAAAUGUUUACUGGAUAUCAUAGUUCACUUGGAAUUCAAAGUCUUUCCAAGUAUAUAUGAAAAAACUUCUAGAAUUAAAAUUCAAAGUUGCCUCCUUGACACUGUUUGCAGACUUAACUCAGUUUUAACAGCUGAGCUGAAAACUAAACCACUUUCAAACUUUGAACCUCCUUUAAAAUAUGGAUUCUUUAUUUUCUCUAGCCAACAACAUGUCCAAUAUAUUCAUUAUAUAUCAGAGUCCACUUAUGUUCCACAACAUCUCCCAGCUUCAAUGAAAAAUCUCCUAGAAAUCACUUUCCAAAUUGUCAGCUUGUCACUGUUUUUAAACUAAAAAUUUUCAGAUAUGAAACAGUAACUUCCAAUCAACCACUUUGACUUUGAAUUUGAGAUGCUCGUGACUUGAAUUUGAUUCUUCUGAAUUCUAAAUAACUUCAAGACUUGAAUUCAUAUUUUUGUCAAAUUUCUUCAGAUCUGAAUCUUGAAUUUGCCUUUUUGGUCAAAUUUGACCCAAAGUUGACUUUGGUCCAUAAUACAUUCUUAUCAUCCAAUUUCUUCAUUAACACUUUAAUGGUCAUUCUUAAGCCUUUAGCAACCUGGUUGUUACACCACCCCCACCAGAUUAGUGAGAGUAGGUUUCCCUCAACAGUCCGACCCGCACAAGCGCAAUUUGCGUUAAUGUUUUACUCCUAAAUAUAUAUAUCGCUAUACUAUAUUAUUUUCAAUCAAACCUAUAAAUUAUUCAAAUUAAAAUAAAGUUUAAUUAAUUGUCCUUCAAUAAACUAACAACUCUAAACACAUAGAAGCAUGCACUCUUAAGUUCACUUGUGUCAUGAAACAUCUCAACAUAUGUCAUGGGCUCACUGGUCUAUUAGCUUCUAUGCUAUAUAUAAUCACUCACACCGUAGUUUUCCUCACAAAAUAUCAAAAUUUACCAAUGUCCUCCUAUAAUCAUUUUUAAAACAUACACACUACCAUUCUUAUAUAGGAAUAAAAAUAUCUUCUAUAUAUUAAAUAUUUUAUCUAUAUACAUCGUCAAAAGUAAGAACCUCUAUAAGAUUUUUAUAUUAUCUUAUAAAAAUCACAUAUCUAUUUGAUUCAAAUAAUAUUCUAGAAAAUUUCUUAGGAUGGUAAAAGUUUUUAUAGGUGCCCAUUAGCAUGCUAUGUUACCUUUGCACAAUCUUGAAACGGUAUAAUGCACAAGUAUAAGAACUUCUAUUCUAUUUGGUAUGCUUUCAUCAGUCAUGACAUUUACAUGUUGUUUUAUAUAGUAUAAGCCACUUAAAUUUCAAAAAUAUAUAUGAUUAAGCGAAGUAUAUUUCUGUAAGUGUUCCUAAAUGCCAGAAUGUAGAGAUCCAAAAUACAUGUAAAAGCAUGUCGAAUCCUAAUCCAAACAGAAUGAGUCGAAAAGAAAGAGGAGGAGUAGGCAAAUGCUGAACAGAAGCGAGAUUUAGUUUGAGCGUUCGGGGUGCUUGUUGUUCCUUCCAACUUGUGUCAGUGGCCGAACACCAAGCAACCACCGAAUGUAGUACUAUAUCAAUCAAGUUAGGUGCCGAUGAGGCUAUUUAUCUUAUUUCGGCUCAACUAUACACGAUCUAGCACAGUUACAAGUGUACCUUUAAUUUUUAAUGCAUGCUAACUAAAUUUUUUUUUCAAAAAUUGGGUGUACAUUUGUACACUCCUGCACCUAUAUUGUGUCCACCCCUAGGGAACCAGAGCUGGAACAGGUCCGGGCUCGGGUCCGGCAUCAUCUAGGUUAAGCUCUCGCAUUUUCUUCCUCGCUGCUAUGUUUAUCAUGUGUACGGGGAAAAAGGAAUUCACUUUUAGAAACAAAACCACAUUUGCUUGGCAUAAUUGAGGUGAAAAUAUCAUAUUUCUUAUCCUAUUUUGCUUCAUUAAUGAUGUAUUUGUGUUGUGUUUGGGAGAAAAGAUCAUCUUUUCUUAAGUUCUAGGUAGAAAAUCAUAUAUUUAGGGAGUAAUUGAGGCUAAUUUAUUGUGCUAAUCACUUGCUUACCUUGGCCGACCGAUUCAUUUGCAAGAUAUUCCUGUGUAUACUAUCUUGGAGGACGUCGAUGACAGAGAGUUCCAUAAGCUCCUGAUGCAGAGGUACGACAGAAUGUUUGAUGUGGCAUCAACUACAAUCCUCGGUGUGCUGGUGACACCUCCUAUGCUUCUCUCAGCCGCCGAAGUAAGGGAGGAGAUGUUCACAUUUCACAUGGUGAAGCUGAUUGGUCAGAUCCGCACUGUGUUGCUUCUUUUCAGAGAAAUGGAUCUUUAUUCUGUCUCUUUCAAUCCUAGCGGCGAUCCUAAUUCGACUUAGUUCAGAUUCUCGAAUGAGCUUAUUCCAUCAUUUCUUACUUAAGUUGUCUUGCCCUACAACUGCAGAUAUGGUGAUCUGUAAGUAUAUUCAGCUUCAUACAGGCAUGGAUUUUUUACUGACAACUACAAAUCCAUAUUUGGUAAAAUCUAUAUAUAAGAUAUACAAGUCCUGGUUUCAGUCAUAAUUGAUCCCUUGAUUGGAAUGGACAUUUGAUGUUGGAUUUGGUACAGAACUUAUGCAAAUAAUGAUAUUGAAUUUUAUAGAAUAGAUAUUUGAAACCAUGGUCAAGCGAAAAUUAGUUUUCAUAUGAUAGAAUGAUCGAAGAGAUCAUGGUGGGAUAGAAAUAAAAUUACCAAGAUAUUUGACUGAGUAAGAAAUUUUUGUUGAUCAUAUGACAAUUGCUGGUAUAGUGAUACGAGUACCACUGGAUAGGUUAAAAUGUUGUUGAUCGAGCAAGCUCUUGAUUUAAGGGGACAUAAUUACUGAGCUGAUCACAUUAAGUUAGGAUUCAGAGUACUUUUAGAGUACUCUGAAAUUACUGUUUCAGUGAAAUUUCAGUAAUAUUCAGAGUACAUUGAGUUAGGAUUGCAAAAUUACUGUUUCACGGGUCACAUUGAGUUACAUUUCAGUGAAAUAGUAAUAUCCAGUAUCAUCACCAAAAAUAGAAAAUAAUUCAUACUGCUUUCUAGAGUUAGGAUAAUGAUCUUGUAAAAGAAUAUAAUGUUCUUUAGAUGUAUGUUAUUGACUUAUAUUUUUGAAUUAACAUGGCCGUUCCAUUAAUAAAGUCACAUUUUUGUUAUUGUAGCACAAAACUAGAGAUUGGAUAUUACUGUUUCACAGACAUUAUUGAUGUUCUAUCAAUGUUUACCUUUGCAAAUGUCAAAAAGAAAACCAAUGAGCGCAUGAGAGUGUUGUAUCGCACUGGUGUUAUGUUUAGUGAAACAAUGCGCCUUGGUGAUGCACAGCAACUUGUUAUGAGAAUGCUGCAUCUACGUGCACGCACGCACGUUACUAGUCUUCAGGACUCAGAAAUACAUUCUUGGGGAGUAUAUUGUCUCUAUGGGAUACGCCAUAUGUGUGGAGAACCUAUGUUGUACGCUAUAGAUGAGGCUGUUGUCCCAGGGCUCUAUAAUGCUAAGAAAGGAAAACAUGAAAUUUGGGGAAUAAUUGGCUGACGAAGAUGUUCUGAAGAUGAUGACUUUCAGAUGAAAAGGAGGGUGGCAGUGAUUUUGGUUUUCCUUUUCGGUGAAGAUUAUGUGCCACACUACCUGAUGUUGAAACAAAAGGUAUUGGUGUGUCUUGUCAAUCAAGAGUAAUUUGUGUGCCGCUUUUGUUUUCCAGGGAUAUGUAGCGCCAGAAGAGAUGAGAAAGCCUAUCUUCAAAACUAGGAAGGUCAGGAGGGCAGCCACACCAAGUGCUGUAGGAAGGUGCCUACUCAGUUUCAGCGAACCAACUCUUUUUUGGUAGAAUAAUGUCCCUUCAUGUUUUGUUUACCUUUUGGUUUUAAUUGUGCUGUCUUUUUUCUUUCUUUCUUUUGCGGGAUACAAAGAUGGAGACUACAAUGCUCAGAUCGGACCUCAACACCCUCCGUGGUCAGUCAUGGUUGAAUGAUGUUGUUAUUACAUUUCUAUUUGAUAUCUUCCAAUCGAACGAGUACAGAUACGAAAAUACCAGAGCCUGCACAAGGGUCCAAGGGCAUCAAAUAUGUACAAAAUGGCACAUCUCAAGUAAAGAAUGAAUUGUAAUGACAUAUUUUCAAAUAGACGAAUUGUAACGGUAGUUCUCCAAACUUGGAUAGUUGCAAUAGCAUAUAUCCAAUUAACCCAAGAUCAAAUCCUGAAAUCCCUAAUCAAUUCUACAUGUCAAGUAAAGAAAUUGUACUAGAGAAUUGGGGCUUUGGGGUAUUGUAACCACGUUGGUCUUGGGAUUGGCCUAGGCCGCAGAGGCGGAGGAGCUGCCGGUUCCCAAGGUGUCGCUGUGCCGCUGACGCAAGGCGAGAAGACCUGCACCUUGUGGGCCGUUGCUAUAUGGGCUAGCUGCUAGGCUGCCGGUGUCACGAUGGCUUUUUACUAGUGUCAAGGCACGUAAACAACACAAGGGUACAAGAGCUUCGGGCAAAAUCGUCGAUGUCAGCUGACAAAACGAUUGCACGUAGCUCCACCCCUGCUGGCCUUGAGCAUCUGCAUGAUGCCAUCCACCAUAUGCCGCUUUGAUCCCAUCUCUUCAAUUCUUCAUUGUGCCAAAGCAAUAGGAGAGCUUUUUGUUACUUGUUUCAGUCUAGUAGUCUACUGGACGGUGUAUUUUUAUAAGCUGCUGCAAUGUAAAUUGUAUUCGGUUGCAAUCGAUCACAGACAGUUCACAAAUAUGUUCAACUAAUGUUCUUUAUCUUAGGCGCUGGCUCUCUGAUAAAGGGUUUGUUUGCAUAACAUCUAAAAUCUUGCGAGAAUGGAACUAAAUGGUCUUAUUAUUCAUUGCAUGUCAAGAGGAUACCAGACACUUUUAUGUUAUCUGAAUGUUAUUUGUAUUAAUUUGUUGGCCCGUUGAAAUAGUACACGCUGAUAUUUUCAUCACUGGAUGCUUACGCCCAAGCGAACUUCACAGAAAUGGGAAGGAUGAGAAGUCGAGGGAGACGAACCCACAGAAUUUGAAAGCAUGAGUCUGAUCUGGCACAAAACGAGCCAUCGUAUAUACGAGGUUUGGUUCUCAAAACUCAAAAGCUCACACAGGAUUUCAGAAGCUUAUGAUGAAAAUAAAAGGAUGUUGUACUAGAGCUCACAUGGCAAUACAUUGUGUCAGAUGAUGCUCUACGAGAGAUCACGUCUCAUGUUUGCGUUAGCAGUCAGCAAAAUUGAUGGGUUACUGAUAACGCUACGCCUGCUAAAUUCAGCUAAAUCAUCUGAGAUGCUGCAUCAGACGUUCAGAACCAACCAAAUAAGCAAAGAAAGUCAAGCUUCAGACCGUACAUUGCAUAAUGUACAUGUACACAUCGAUCUUAGUUCUUUACAUACAAAGCACAACCCUACAUGCUCAGUCAAAGGGUGAACACAUCAGUACAUCGCACGCUUAAUUUCCAGAUUACACUACAGACUGUACAUGCCACACGCACGAUCAGGAUAAGCAAGUUCCAAACUGAAACGUUAGGUUAUCCUACAAAGGCAGCGGUUCCUCCAG
rnacentral:lncRNA from 1 species